AGCGGGUCAAUGCUAUUGCUUCAAGGAAGGGUUGUACUCCAUCACAGCUAGCGUUGGCCUGGGUCCAUCACCAAGGCAAUGAUGUUUGCCCCAUACCUGGCACUACCAAGAUUGAGAACCUCGAUCAGAAUAUAGGAGCUUUGUGUGUAAAACUGUCUGCAGAGGAAAUGGCAGAACUUGAAUCUAUUGCUUCAUCUAUCAAGGGUGAGAGAUAUGCGUCUGACGCUGGCACUUGGAAAACUUCUGAAACUCCACCUUUGUCAACCUGGAAGUGCACAUGAAGAAGAGCAAGUUCACUUUGAUAUUAAGUGGACUUACUGUUCUGGUUUUGGCUUGGAAGAGCACAUGAAGUGCAAGUUUGGUUUGGUACUUCGUUGGAAGACCACAAAGUGCACAAGUUUGGUUUGAUACUUUGUGGACUUUUGUUUUAGUUUAGCUUUUCUUGUGGAAUAAUCAUCAGGUACAACAUGUUAUGUCCUGAGUUCCGGAGCAAUCAUGAGGUAGAACAGUAUUAUGUCCUGGUUUCUGAAUGUAAUAAAAUCCUAGCGCGUAGAGUUGGCACAAAUUAACUUUUGUGCAAAAUUGCUUAUUAGGUUUCGGCUGUGCAGCUAUUUGAACUUAUCGGGGAUGAUUUCACCAUAGAGAUGUAAUGCAGUUGUAUUUUGAACCUAUAAUUUAAUUUGACGUUUGUAUGUUGAUUUCCUAUUUUCUACUUUUAUUAUGAUACUUGCUGUUUGAGAGAGGUCAUUUCAGUCGGGCUUCGCUGAGCCGAGCUCCCCCUUCUCUGAAUAAAACUCUGUUAAUCCUCACCUUGGCCUCCUUGUACCGAGACGAGGAUCACACACCUAAGGUUGAACCACCCGUUCCUAUUACUCCGGCUACCGCGGUCACCACCCUAAAGUUUCAUUGUGUCUGAUGGAACGGGCGAAGUCAGGUCAACACCUACACGGACAGGACGUCUAAUAAGACAUGUCCUCAACACCGACCUGUCAAGAUAGAUUGACAUGCUCAGUCUUUUAGAUUCUAGGAAGUUGAAUCCUACUGUCAUUCCCUUCCAAUUGUCUCCUAUAAAUACAGAGAUUUCACUCAAAAAAGCACACGAAAAAAAAAUACACUCUGUAAGAACUACUCUAACGAAAAAUUUCACUACUUUCCAUUCCAAAAAGAAGACUAACUACAUCGUUGGAGGAAAAUUGGGGGAUUCAGCCCCAUCUCUAAUAAUUUGAGCAUGUGACUUCCGCAAGACAGUACCCACUUCAGGAGGUCACUCCCGCACUUUGAUACAACUUGUCAACUCCAAAAAUUAUCUCUUCAAUUGGCACCGUCUAUGGAAACCGCAAAGACAUCCAAGAAUGAAACCUACGCGUUCUAGGAGCAGGAAGGUUCUCACCAUUGAGGCUGAGCCAAGUGCUGCAGCCCAACCGGAAAAUGUUUCCGAAGAACAGGAGUCUCAUGAGGCUCGACCCACGAAUGGAGAAGCCAUGGCCCGAAUGGCAAAGUUUGUGGCUGAGAAUCCUAAUAUUUUCAAAGAGUUAAGAAGAUAUUUCAAGAGACAAGGUAAACAAAAAGCCGAAUUUUCUAAGAGAAAGCCAGAUGAAUCUUCCGAGGUCCCAUUCGAGGAAGAAUCGGAUGGAAGACAUUCUAACAGGAGCACCCCGAACGGGCCUCAUCCAAGGUUAUUUCGAGAAUUGCCUCCAUUUCUAGGGCAAUCUUACGGGGUUUCCUGGGGAAACAAGUCGAAGACGAACCUCGCGAUCGAAAAGGUUGGAGGUGGAUUACAUGAGAGCUCCGCCUUUCACGGAUAGCAUUAAUGAAGAGAGGGUCCCCCCCCCAAACUUUAAACUCCCAACGUUGCUACCUUAUGAUGGCCGAGGUGAUCCUGAGAAUCAUCUCCAUGCUUUUAUCUCAGCUUUUCGAUUAUCUGGUGUCUCUGACUCAGUUAUUUGUCGAAUUUUUCCGGUCUUUCUUCAAGAGACUGCUCGAAAAUGGUUCUGCGGUCUAGAAUCUAGGAGCAUAUUCUCCCUAGGAGAGCUGAUGAAUAAAUUUAUCCAUCGGUUUAUAUCUUCCAGGCCAACGACAAAGACCUCGGCCUAUCUGCUAAAUAUACAGCAGAAUUCGGGGCAGUCUCUCCGUUCUUAUAUACAAAGAUUUCAAGAUAAGAGCGUGCAGAUACCUGAUCCUAACAAAAAGGUAAUCAUAGCCGCCUUUACAAAUGGGUUUAUUGUCGAAGAGUUGAACACCGAAGUGCACAAAAAAUACCUUCGAACACUUCGGGAAUUGUGGCAAAAGGUCGAGAAAGGCAUACAGUCUGAGGACUUGAACCGCAUAAAUAGAGAAGCCCAAAUAGCUUGAUCAGGGCCUGAUUCCCGAAAGAAGAAGGAAUCAAGUCGAGGUGACCCUGGCACUACUGGCGGUUUUCAGAGUCUCAACCAAGAUCGCUGAAGCGUCUUUGACCGAAUUGCCAAGGGAAAGUCGUUUGUCCCUGAUUCCGACCUAACACCCUUAAAUACCAACCGAUCUUAUAUCCUUGCUCUCAUGGAGCAGAAUCACCUCGGACGUGCUCCCCCAAGAAUGGCCGGAAAAAGAGAAAAGAGAAACUCCAACCUCUAUUGUGCUUAUCAUCGAGGUAUUGGACACGAAACCGAGGAUUGUAGCGAUUUGAAGAAAGACAUUGAGAAUUUAAUAAAGCAAGGGUAUCUGAAACAAUUUGUUCGCAGAGAUGGAGACCACAACAGAAGUGACUCCCGCCGCGACAACCGAGGUGAGCAACGCCUGGAGGAUAGGCAGAGACCACGUAGCAGUUGCCGAUCCCUGAGGAUCCUAGGAAGACGAGAAGGCCUCUCCAAGGUGGGUCCUCCGAUUAUGGGCCGAACAUAGUCGGGAUUAUCAACACCAUAGCUAGAGGUCCUAUGGAAAGGGAUAGUUAAAACUCCUGAAAAAGAAUCUAUAAACAGGCUAAUCCAGAACAGGUCGAGAGCAGCUCCCGUCUUACUGAGACAAUCACGUAUGGCCCAAGUGACCCCGUCCCAACUGCUUCCAGUAGUCACGAGGCCUUGGUGAUAGAGUUGCUCACCAACAAUUAUAUAGUGAAGAAAGUGUAUGUCGACCCCAGCAGUUCGAUAGAUGUCAUGUAUUACCGAACCUUCAAAAUCUUGAUAUUAACCAGGGAUCAGCUCAUAUCUGUAAAGACCCCUUUAGUAGGGUUCAGGAGACACGUGGUCCACCCGCAAGGGAUAGUUACGUUUAUGGUGACCAUUGGGUGCCACCCUUAAUGCCGAACCAUUUCUGUCAAUUUUGUCGUAGUCAAAGCUAAUUCCCCAUAUAAUUUACUUAUGGGUCGACCCACCUUGAAUGCGCUACAGGCUGCGUAUUCAACCUAUCACUUAAGCUUUAAAUUUUCAACUCUCACAGGCAUCGUCGAGGUAAGCAGCGAUGUCUGUGUAGCAAGAGAAUGCUAUUUUGCUACCCUGCAGGCCGCCUUUUCUUCAACGGCCGAACCGAAAAUUGAGGAUAGGAGGUCUAAUAUUCUCUCGAUAGAUUGUAUAGAUCCUCAACAGUCCGGGAAGCCUAAAAAGCUAGAGACCAAAGAUGAGGUAGAAAAAAUUCCUCUGAAUCCUUUGAACCCGGAUCAAACCAUUCGCGUUGGCACCAGCCUAUCUGAGCCUCUCAAAGGCGAGCUAACCUUCUCAAAGAAUACCAGAACGUCUUCGCCUGGAUUGCCGAACAAGUUGUGGGGGUACCCCAUCAACUUAUGCUGUAUGAACUGAACGUCGACCCGCGUGCACGACCAGUUAAGCAAAAGAGGAGGCACUUCGGCCCGGAACGCAAUAAAAUCGUAGCCGAGGAGACGAACAAGCUCUUACCGGCGCGGAUGAUUAAAGAGGUGCAAUGUUCCAUCUGGCUGUCCAACCCUGUUAUGGUCAAGAAGGAUACCGGGGGUAGAGGAUGUGCUUAGAUUUUACUGAUUUGAACAAGGCCUGCCCUAAGAAUUGCUACCUACUGUCGAGAAUUGACGCUUUGGUCAACUGGAUAUUGGGUUACGAGAUCCUCUACUUCCUUGAUGCCUUUAAAGACUAUCAUCAGAUGAGAAUGAAUGAAGAGUACCAAGAGAAAACAGCCUUCUUCACAGAUCAGGAAAUCUACUGUUACACCACCAUGCCCUUCGGCUUGAAGAACACUCGGGCGACGUAUCAGCGACUGGUUAACCGGAUUUUUAAAUUUCAAAUAGGUAGGAAUGUUGAAGCGUAUGUGGACGAUAUCCUCCUGAAAAGCAAGGAGACCUCGGCUUUCUUAUCCGACGUGAGGGAGGUCCUUAGGAUCCUCCGCAACACUCGAAUGAUGUUCAAUCCCAAGAAGUGCGUGUUUGGCGCGAUUUCGAGAAAUUCUUGGGAUACCUUGCAUCACGCCGAGGUAUAGAAACUAAUCCUGAUAAAGUGAAGGCCAUUCAAAAAAUGUCUUCACCUCGAAAUUUCCGAGAUGUACAAAGACUAACAGGUUGGCUGGCAGCUCUGAACCGGUUCUUGUCCCUGUUUGCUGUCAAGGCACUGCCCUUCUUCAAAGUAUUGAAGAAGACUGACAAGUUCUCUUAGACCGAGAAGUGCCAGUAGGCCUUUGAGCAAAUGAAGGAGCACCUGCACCACCUUCCCACUCUUAAUUCACCACGCCCAGGAGAGAGUUAUAUCUUUACCUGUCUGCUGCUGAGGAGGCUGUGAGCACGGUGCUAAUACAAGAUAAUAGUGCCCAAGUGCCGGUUUACUAUGUUAGCUGAGUUCUCCGCGGGCCGAAGACUCAAUACAUCCGUGUAGAGAAACUCAUAUUAGGUUUGGUUCAUGUAGCUCACAGGUUAAAACCUAAUUUCUUAACUCACCCCAUACGUUUGAGAACAGAUCAGCCCAUUAGGCAGAUCCUGUCGCGUCCCGAGACUUUCGGACGACUCACCAAGUGGGCCAUAGAGCGAGGGGAAUACGAUCUAACCUAUGAACCUCGGACUGCCAUCAAGGCUCUGGCUCUGGCAGAUUUCUUGGCCGAACUCACAUUUCCCGUGAGCCAAGAAGCCACUCUGGAUGACGCCGAAUCGCAAAAGUGGACCUUGUACGUGAACGAGUCAUCUAACAGUGAUGGUAGUGGAGAUAGACUGCUCCUCGAAGACCCUCACGGGGAGGCAUGCUCAUAUGCCAUCUAAUUCGAUUUCACCGCCUCUAACAAUGAAGCUGAGUACGAGACUGUCAUCGCGGACUUACAAUUAGUUCGCAGACUUGGUGCUCAACGUAUUUUAGUCUAUAGCGACUCACAACUCGUCAUAUGUCAAGUACUAGGGGAGUAUGAAACUAGAGAGGAAACCAUGCAAUGGUAUCUCUCCAAAAUCCACCAGUUAGCGGCCUACUUCAAAUCCUUUGAAAUCCAAAGGAUACCUCGGUUCUAGAAUAGGCGAGCAGAUGCCCUAUCCAGGUUGGCCCCCACCUUGUUAUCUGCGCUCAACCAGACUGUUCUCGUGGAGGUCUUAACCGAACCGGAUUACCUAGAGGAUAAGGUCUACCCUAUAAGUUCAGAAGACACCUGGAUGAGUCCUCUAAUCAGAUUCUUAGGUCAGGGUGUCCUUCCGGACGAUAAGGCAGAAACGAGAACAAUUCAGUGCAAAGUGGUCCGAUAUGCACUUCGCGACGGCAACCUGUACAAACGAUCCUAUCUCGACCCAUGGGUGCGGUGUGUUACCGUAGAGCAAGGGCAAAAUGCCUUCCAGGAUAUACAUGAAGGACUGUGUGACGCUCACGUCGACUAUCGGAUGUUGGUUAAGAAGACUUUGUUCCUUGGAUAUUUCUAGCCAACCAUUCGGUGAGAUGCCCAAUUUAGUCCUUUGCUGUCCCUCCUGCCAGCACCAUGCCUAGGAGCACCACCAGCCAACUAGUCUCAUGGUCCCCAUCACAUCAUUAUGGCCUUUUGAGCAAUGAGGGACAGAUAUUAUUGGACGCUUCUCGAGCCGUCGACAAUUAUGCUUAUGUGGUGGCCGCUGUUGAUUAUUUCACGAAAUGGGUUGUGGCCUGACCAUCCAGAAAUUCUUUUGGAAGUGUGUAGUUUGUCGCUUUGGUUUGCCUCGGAUAAUCAUCUCUGACAACGGGAAGCAGUUUGCGGAUAACCCUUUCAAGGCAUGGUACGAAAAUCUUGGGAUCAAACAACACUUUACCUCGGUGGGUCACCUCCAAGCCAACGGUUGGGUCGAGAAUUUUAAUCGAACACUUCUCCACAACCUCAAAACUAGGCUACAUCAGCUCGGAUCUUUUUGGGUGGACGAACUCCUGAGCAUGCUGUGGUCUUACCGAACCACGCCAAGAUCCGCUAUUUAGGAAACUCCAUUUUCCUUAACCUAUGGGUCCGAGGCAGUGGUUCCUGCCGAAUUUCCCACUCCAAGUUCUCGAAUGGUGGCUUUCACUGUCGUGGCUAAUGAAGAAGAGCGAAAAAUGAAUCUCGACCUCGCUAAGGAGAAGCGAGAUGCCGCAGCAGCUCGAGUUGCCUUGUACAAGAAUAUACUGACUAGCUACUAUAAUGUCCGUGUUAGACAUCUUCGGUUCAGCCCAAGAGACCUUGUCCUGCGAAAGAACUUAGUCAGCCAAUCUGAAUCCUAAGGCAAGUUGUCUUCGAGGUGAGAGGAGCCGUAUCGCAUAAUUGAGGUUAGUCAGAAUGGGUAUUGUAAGUUGACUUACCGAGAUGGUACUUUAGUAUCCAGAACUUGGCAUGCUGAGAAUUUCAAAUUGUAUUAUCCAUAAAUCAUUUACAUUCCACUCAAGAUUACUUGUAGUAUGUCUUUUGUUUAUUUAAUUACUUUUCUAGCAUCACUAUCUCGUGUUGUUAAAGAAAAUAAGGGGACAAGACAAGUAGAAAUGGAAUAAGUGACUGACAAUGAAGUAAAACAAGUCAUUGAUAUUAAAGGAGGUAGUUACAAAAAUUGUGAAGUACAAAAUGCCGAGACCAAAGGCUCUUCUAAGAGCCCCUGCCUCGGCUGAGCCCUCACCCUCCCCCGCACUAGCCUCUUCUUCAGCAACCUUGUCGGGCCCAUCACCCUCAGGUGUCAGCUCGAACUCUGCCAUUUCACAAUUGAGCUCCUCUCGGACCUCAGUUAGGUUUUUCUCCGCCUGGAUGCCCUCAGCCAUGCGAUCGCAAAGCUCUUUAGCAUCAUCAUUGUAGCUGGCCUUGUCUUUGAAGAAGUCCAUCUAUUCUAAGGUGAGAAAGGGGGCUACGUCUUGGAUAGCCGAUGUAUAACCAAACAUGAAACUCAGCAGAGUCAACUCGCCGAACUCAUGAGUGAAGGCCUUGGAAGAGCGAACGGCCUCUACUACCGAGCUGCCAGCCUUCUUAAUGGCCUCCCUUGAAGACUGCUCCUCUUCAAGUCAUCGCUUCUUCUCCUUUUCUAAAGCAGUCUUCAAGGAGUUCAUGGUGGUCUCGGACUGCUCCAUCUCGGCCACCACGGUAUCACGCUGCUUGAGGAAUUGGGCCUUUUUUUCCUCAGCCAACUUCAGUUUCUUCUCCAGGAGGGAGAUCUUAUCCAGGAGCUCGGCUGAGAGCUAAUUUUCGACCAUGUUGAUGUGUCUUUGCAUCAACUCGGAGAGAAAGGCCGAGGUAGAGGCCCACACCACUGAAGUGCUUUGCAUCAGCUCGUCAGCAGUGAGCUUCUUGGCGUAGGAGUGGUCUCUUGGCAAGCUGGAGUGGACCAAAAGAUGGUGGGCCACUCUAGGGUCCUUGCAGCGGUCGUUGAUGCUCACAUCCCACUCUGGACAUCAGUGCUAGUCGGGGUGCUUCUUGUCCAUUCCGACAGGUUGCGACUGCACGUAGUGUCGGUUCUAAAGAGAUGACCUCGUGAUCGGAGUCUCGGUCGUUUGAAAUUGCUUGCCCCGGCCGAAGGUGGAGCAGUCACGGUCACACCUCGGGUGGCCACUCCUUCCGAAAUGGCCGAAACUCGGGAGGUGUUCUCGAGGACUACCGUUAGCGGGGUGCUGGCCGAGGCACUAGGAGUGUCCUUCUUCUUCUUCUGUAUUCUUGAGGUCUCACCAAGAGCCUUUCAUUUUUAUUGCUUCUUGGCCACUACGGCUGUGCCUGAGGUGAUCAGAUCUGACACUCUCACAACUGUAUAAGAAGAAGAUAUUACUACUUAGAAUCAAUGGAAAAAAGAACAAAACAAGACAAUGAAUUGAAAAAUAUAAUAUUUUUCAAGCCGAGUAAAGAAGUAAGGAGGGCGAUCCGGGCUGAUUAAAACUUGACUUAUCCCGCCGUUUACAAGGACCACCUCAGGAUAAUUCUAACUGUUGAUCUUGAGACCCGACCCGAGGAGUUUACAAAAGUUCUCCUCUUUAUGUUGACCCAGGAAAGGAUCUUUAGCCGAAGUAGAUGGCCUUCACCAAAAUCCCCGGGGGAACUUCUCGGCAGGGACGAAGAUGAAAUUGCGCUUCCACUCUUUUAUUGAUGAAUGAGCGUCCACCAUUAAUUUCGAGACGUUCUUGUUUCGGUUCUCGAAAUAGAACCAUCCUUUCUCGUUCCCAUUAUUCUUGAUGGCGUAGUAACGGCGAAAAAGGUUCACUAUGGGAUUCAAGCCUUGCUCUCGGUAGAGCAUCUCGAAUCCGAUGAGUAUCCGAACUACGUUCGGGACCAAUUGGGCGUUCUUGAUGCCCCAGUACCUUAGGCUAUUUCGGAAGAAUCUUGUUGUGGGCAUUCUCAACCCUACUUCCAGUUGGUCAACGUAGAUGGCCACCGUAUCAUCCGGGGGCAUCUCGGCUGUUUUGGUCGCCCGGGGUGGAUAGAUGUUAUAGUGUUGACGGAAGGGCUACUUUCGAAUCACCUCGUUCGCUGCGGUCUGACCAAUGACGCUGCUGAAGAAGGGAGUUGGCCAAAAUCUACGAUCAAGAGAUCUGGAGGGGUGGCUGGCUCCUGCACUCCCUCGUCUUGGGGCAUCUCGGAUCCGAGUUUAUUGUUGUACAACACCUCAGAUCCUUCUUGGCUCUGGUCUUGUGAUGUUUCGUUCCCAACGGAUGCCUCGACUGCUUCUUUCCCCGGGGUCGAUGAAGCAUUUUCUUCUUCUUCAAUCAGGUCGGGCCUUUCCGCUGUAUCAUAGUUCGGCCUGACCAUCUCCUUGUGUGUACGGGCUAUCCGAAUCAUAUUGCAGAAAGUAAAAGGGGUGGUGAACUUACUGUUUAUAGAAGAAAAGGGCUGGGGUGAGCAGUUGAAACACUUCGAGUAUUCUCCCUGACCUCGGAUAUUCAGACGUUCACGCAGGGGAUUGCUGUAAAUUUUUGAGGUAAAAGGUUAAUAGCGAGGAAGGACCCCCUAUUUAUACUGGUAUUGCGGGAGAUGAAAGGUCCGCGUCUGUUGAGUUCCCCCAAGACGCACCCUCUCUUCUCAUUUAUGACCAGCCGUCGUUCUGACUGCCUGUCACGUGUCCUUUCACGCCCUGUCAUAAUGACUGACGGCCGUCUCAUCGCCCCUUGCUUUAUCCCAUUUGCUGAUGAUUGAUGUGUUAUCACCCAGACACGUUGAUGACCUGUUGUACCCUCACGAAAGCCCCAGAAGGCAACAAAUAACCUGUUCCUUCUCGAGGCUAGGGAGGCCUAUUGAGGGUGGUCAUUUCAUCCCAAUUUCGCUGAGUCGAGCUCCCUCUUCCCUGAAUAAAGAUCUGUUAAUCCUCACCUCGGCCUCCUUGUACCGAGGUGAGGAUUACACACCUGAGGUUCAACCACCCGUCCCGAUUACUCCGGCUGUCGCGGUCACUACCCUGAAGUUUCACUGUGCCUGAUGGGACGGGCGAAGUUAGGUCACAGACUGACACCUGCAGGGACAGGAUGUCUGAUAAGACCUGUCCCCGACACCGACCUGUCAAGAUAGACUGACAUGCUCAGUCUGUCAGGUCCUAGGAAGUUGAAUCCUACCAUCAUUUUCUCCCAAUUGUCCCCUAUAAAUACAGAGAUCUCACUCAAAAGGGGACCCGAGAAAAAAAUACACUCUGUAAGAACUACUCUCUAAAGAAAACUUCACUACUUUCCAUUCCAAAAAGAAGACUAACUAGAUCAUCGAAGGAAAAUCGGGGGAUUCAACCCCACCUUUGAUAAUUUGAGCAGGUGACUUCCGCAAGGCAGUACCCACUUCAGGAGAUCACUCCCGCACUUUGGUACAGCCUGUCAACUCCGAAAAUCACCUCUUGAUUGCUCAAGUUGGCAAUUCUUUGACUACAUGACUAACGCUUAUGGUAAAUCCAAGUUUUUGUAGCUUCUUGUCAUGCUUCUCUGUCGAGGCUGGAACAGUGGCUUUGUUAUAUUGUAAUCUGUUAAGAAAAAAACAAAAUAAAAUAGCGUGUGUGCUUUUUAUGAGAAGAGGGUGUGGGGCGGGGGAAUCCUCUUCAGUGGCAAAAUUGUUUCAUUGCCAUCUCUAUUUUUGUUUGAGCCCUCACGUCCUUAGAUUAAGAUAUGGUUUUGAAUCUUGGAACUAGUUCAAAUAACUUCUUACAUAAGUUAUUUAAUGACUCGUAGGGCAAAACUUGUAAACCUUUCUUGUCCUUUCUUUCAUCUAAUGUGGGAUUUUUUUUUGUCGGGAUUUAGGUCUCUCAUUUAUCAACAUAAUAAUCAAAUCAAACGCGGGCAAUAUUUUAAACUCAAUGUGGAGUCAAAUCAAAAUUAAAUAAUAUAACGUUCGACUCUUUUGAACUCAUGUACAACUAUAUUUUUCAAAAUUUUGUACUAUUCAGGGUUUGUUUUAGUUUCUUUAGGAAAAUUAGACAUCCAAUAAAUGAGUGCUUGAAAAAUGAAACCAAAGGACAAAGAAAAUUGCUUACUUUGCACUUGCAUUAUCCAAGUUCGUGUCUCAUGAUAGAGACUUAGCUGUCAAUUAUCAUCCACAAUUACAUGGUUGCUUGUAAUGGAGUUAUUUUUGAUUGAUGGAUCGUUGUCAAUCAUGAUACCUCAGCAGGUAUUGGAUGGGUGCUCCAAGAUCCACUUCAUAAUAUAAUCCAUAAACUAAGCAAGAAGGUCUAUUCUCUCUCUCUUUUUUUUUUUUUGGGCCUGACGUAAUAGAUCUACACUACUCUCUACUAAGAGAAGGGGGAUCUGAAGAAUUUUAAGGACAAUUUGGAGAGGACUGAACCAUCACCAGUCCAAACGGGUGCCUACACACCCACUGACAACAUUUCUAGAAAACCUAGAUUUUUAGAAUAUAGGUCAAGGGAUUUAAUCUCUUGAUUUACAUUCAAGUAAAGUUUUAAAACUCUCUUGAUGGCCGAUUAGCAAGAAGGUCUAUUCGUCAUCUCCAAUUUGCAUCGAAGCUCUAGCUUGUUUGGAUGCUUUAAUAUGGGUUAAACAACUAAAUAAUGCCACUAUUCUGGUCAAGACAGAUUCCCUUCUGCCCCUAAAAUACAUUAUGGAUCCAUGAAUUUCGGAAGUGUAUGUUAGGUCCAUUUCCGAGAUAUAAUUUGUAUGUCUCAAUCGUUUGAUAGAAUUAUAUUUAUCAAGGUUUGCAGGUCAUCUGUCAAUUUAGCCCAUAACUUUACUAUUAAAGCUAGACCUCUGUAAUUAUGUGUAAAUAUUAUUAAAUGCUUUCAUUUUCAAGAAAAAAAAAAGAUGCCAAUUACUUCUCUUUAUUGAAUUUGUCCACUUGUUUCCAUUAAUAAAUAUAUGUUUGGAUAGAGUAUUAUUUAAAAUAAUUACUGUAGCACUUUUGUGAUAAAUGUGAGAUAAAAAGAUGGUCGGGAAUAUAAAACAUGAAUUAAAAAAUAUAUUUAUAAUGCAAGCGAAAUAUUAUUUGCAAUAAUAUGGUAUCAAAACAAACUUCUAGUUCGAAAAUCGGUAGCAUGUUGAAUCAAUCAAAGACAUUUGUAUCUUGUUUAUGAAUUGGAUUGGUAUACUUGGUACUCUAAGGUUAUUAAAUAACAAGUGGGCUUGGUAUUAUUAUUCUUUUCACAAGAAGCUAAUUUCAUCGUGAAAGUGUUGUAACUCAGGACUUGGAUAGUAAUUUUAAAACUUUAAUAGUGCACCUAACUUUCAACUUUUCAUGUGCUUUCAGGGUACCAAAUGGAAAAAAAAAAACCCAUGUAACUUCAAGUCUAAGAUGGUAUGCAAUUCAUUAAGUUAAUAAGUAUUCAUAAUUUCAUAUGUAGAUGUUAAUAUACAUUAAUAUAUAAAAAGUGCAUGAUUGAUCACAAACAUAUUUAUCCUAAUAUUAGAGUCUUUUUUUUUUUUUUUGAGAAUUCAACUUUUCGUGCAAACAUGUAAUCAACAUGCAUAAAUGAGAUAACAUUAGAUGAGUUAAACAAGUAGCCUUCAAAUAUAAAAUUUUGAUUUCAUAAAUGUGCAUUGGCAAUUUAGAAGAGAUACUUUUCAAAUGACAAAUCUAGAGAGCAACAACUACUCCUACUUUAUUUUGAUUUCUAAUCUUCUUUUGACGUAUCAAAAAGGUGAAAACAUGAAAUUAAUAAUGGAUCAGAUAGAGAAGAGUACACUGUGAGUAAAAAUAAAAUGAAUAAUUUAUUUUCAAUUUCUUCGUGUAUAAAUUUUUCCUUAACAUUAAUCGUUGACGUAUCAUUUAUUAUAGACUCUUUCAAGGCACCAAUCAAAAGUUCUAAGUGCUCGAAACAAUAUAAAACCUAACACUGAAUAUGAACAAUAGAACAUGUAAUUACCCAAAUGCAAAAUCAUAUUAUACAUGCACUAUUCACCCACGACGUAAAGCACAAUUUUAAAGUUUAUUCAAAUUUCGAGCUUUGUUUGGUUAGGUGUUUUAGAGAUAUUAUAUUAUAGGUUUUUUUCUUUUGUCUUUUCAAAAAAAAAAUAUACUUGUAAGAUAAAAAAAUAGUUGAAAAACUAGUUUAGAGUUUUAUUAGAAAUUUAUCAGGAGAGCAGUAAUCCCUCAUCAGCCAUCCCCUCAUUCUUCCAUGUAUCUUUUUCAUGAAUUGGGUUGAUCUAUUUGGCGUUCAAAGAUCACAUUUAAAAAGUUUUUUUUUUUUUUUUGCGAAAGUAUUAUAAUUCAGAAUAUGGAUGUAAUUUUAAAACUUUAGUAAUGCACCUACCUUCCAUAUUUUCGUAUGACUAUUGAGUGCUCUUAGAGUAUUAAUGGGAAAAAAAAAACCUUGUAAAUUUUACAUUCGAGCAUAUCCACUUUCUGAAGAGCAGGAAAAAAAAACACCACAUAAUUUCAAUUCCAAAAUUUUAUUUUUUUUUUGAACAAACUUCAAGCCCAAAAUUGUUUUCUUUUUUUGCUAAUUAAAAGUUUGAAUAAAUUCGAUUCCAAUCAUCAUUAAAAAUUAAAAAAUACCCUCUAAACCAUAAGUUACUUACAGAGGUUCUUACAUAUUACAUACUAGCACAAAGUUAAACAAAGAGUAUAACGAUCUUUUCCUUGUAGCUCUUUUCUUCUUUUUCUAUUCUUGAUAGGAUAAUAUACGUAGGAGAGUCUAUUUUGUCUUAUUUCUAUGCUCUUUAUAGCCUUCCUUUGGUCGUAUAUUCCCAGUGCCUCGUGGCUGCAUGGUAAUAUAGGGCUCCUGCUCACUAAGUAUACUUCCAAUUCCAGCUUUCAAGGGACGAGGGCCAAAUCUCUAUUUUGUCUCACCACUAAACAUGUCCAUGAAUCGAGUUUUAUCUAGAUUCAACCCAGAUCCAAUGUACUUAAAUUAGAUUUGAAUUUAAUUCUCAAAUUCGGACCUUAUCCAGACCAAAACCCUAUAAAAGAGUUGUGGGUUUAGAGAGGGUUUGAUUUUCUAUAAUCCAUAUUGAAAUCCAAAUUUAUACAAAACCCUACUCAAACCCAUAUAUAUAUAUAUUAGUAAAUUUAUAAAAUAUUCAAAUAUUCUAUGGUCAUUGGAUCGAACAUAGUAAGACUUCGUGAUUGUUUUCUUUUUUCAAUCUAAUCCUAAUUAUCAUUGUAAUUAGUACAAACUUUUUCAGAAAAAAGUAAAGGCAAAUAAAUAAAAGAUUAGACGUAAAUAUAGUUGAAAUUUUAAAAAUAAAUCAAAGUAGUCAAUAAUAGUUUUUUUUGAGUUUAUAAUAUUGCAUUCAACUUCUUGAAUAUUAAUUUUAUUAUUUGAAAAUAAAAAUUGGAUGGUGUUUAUACUUUUUGAAAUUUACAUAUUUUUAAUAGAUUUUUACUUUAGGGUAUUUAGAAAAAUACAGCGGGUACCCAUUGGGUAUCCCAAAUUCGAGAGUGUCUAGGUUUGAACUUAUUUUUUAAAAAUCAUAAAGAUCUGAGUUUGGGUCCAACCGAAUUUAAUGGAUCUAGAUCAAAGGGACAUACCUACAAAGAUAUACUUAUUUGUCUCACUAUUAUAACCUUUUUUUUAAUAUAAUCCAAUAUUUCAUGAAGUACGUAAUCAAUGACAUAACAUUAGACAAAUUUAGUCCUCCCUGACAAAUCUUUUCAAGAAAAAAAAGACAUAUCUUUUUAUGAGUAAUCUUUGACAAACCUUUCCACGAGUCUUCUUUUCAAAACUUCAAUUACGGCAUACACUUUUGACCAGAGGCGGAGCCGACAAUAAUUAUCAGUAGGGACAAAAAUAAUAUUAAAAAUUCUUCAUUGUCUUUCUUAAAAGUAGUACAUAAUAACAACGGCCCACUUGAUAAAUGAGUUUUUCAUGUGUUUGUUCAAAAUUUUACUGUAACUUAUCGUAGAAUUUGUAAAAUUUUUUUUUGAGAUUGUAUCUAUUUAUUGGAGGUUCUUGUAUAUUCACUUCGAACUUUUUCAUUGGUCUUGGAGCAACUACUAAGCUUCUCAAGUAGUUGUUCCAAAACCAAUAUAAAAUUUUCUUUGAAUGAGCGAUAUAACACAAAAUCACAUAAUAACACAAUAAUUUUCUUUGAAAAAAAUAUAAGAAACAUUUUAAAAUAACCAUAGACCUAUAGUUUUGUAAGGCACAAGGACAUAAUAUUUAUUGUUUUAUUAAAAAAAAUGACGUUCACCAUAGUAGAAGAAAAUUAUGUUUAACUAAGCCAACAUAAUUACUCUAUAUUUUUACUUUUGUUGCAAAAAUUCACAAAAUUCAUUUUACUGAUGUAGAAGGCUAUUGUUUUGAAUUUUGUAAAAUUUCAUUUCCAUUAAGUUACAAAACUAAUGAUAUUUACAUUUACUUCUAAACAACAAAAUGGGAGCACAAUCGAAAAUUUCUCAGAAUUGCAGGAGUCACAAUAGGGGCAUAAUUGAAAAAUUCACAAAAUUACUUGAGUAACAACAGAAUUCUGUGCGGGGCAGUAGGGGCCCGUGCCUACAGUUCCCCCAUUGUCGAUCCACUUCUGCUUUUGACAAUAUGCCCCCUUUCUGAUCCCCUUGCGAAGCUAUGGAUCAAUUAUUCCCAUUUGUGAAUGUCAAUAUCAUGAAAUGGAGCUUGGAAGGAUGUAUUUCUGUAUUAAAAAACUUCUUCAAUCUCCUGUUUCUUUCAAGCCAGAACUAUUAAUGAUUUUGAAGCUAUAAUUGCUCUUGCAUGAUGAUGAGGAAGCUAUGAUUGAGAACACUAGCGGAUUUAAGGUGGGGUCACUGGGGGCACGGCCCCACUGCUUCCCUUAAAUUCCUACAAUAUGCAUAGAAUUUUGAUAUUAUUUUAAGUGUGCCUUCAAAGUUUUUUUUAUGAAAUAAGUGAAAUAAUUACGUGAUCUUUUAAAUUGAUCCAUGAACUAAUAUUCUAAAAGGAUAUGUGGGUCACAAAAUUUCAUUUGAAAUAAGUUCAAAAAAUCUUUUUCAUUUUAACUUGUUGGUGAAUAUUUUUUUACUUAAAAAACUAACAAAAUAGUAGGAAAAAAAUUUUAAUGCUGCUUUUGCCCCCACUGAAAAUUUUUUCAAGCUCCGCCACUGAUUGAGAAUAUCUGACUGUCCAUGAUAGAAGCAAAUAUUGUUGAUGUAAAAUACAUUACUAAAUGUGCCAAUAAUGUAGCACAUGAAUUAGGUUUUCAUACUAACACUUCUAACAUUAUGGAAUUCCUAUGAAAUUCUCCACCUAACUUUGUUAAAAAAUUCAUGCUGGACCAAUUCCAACGAUUUAGUUAAUAAUAUUUUCUCUUUUUAUCAAAAAAAAAAAAAAAAAAAGCUCAUAGGCAUCAAUUGCUUUUUCAAUACAGCUUGCUUUUACAGUCCUACGACCACAAUCUUUUGUCAGAGGAAAUAAGGCUGAAAAAAUAUAUAUAUAAUUUUUUGCAUCAUCAUUGUGAUACAAUGAAGUACAGAAACUGCUUAUGAGAAAAUUUAAGAUAUUUUUACACUCAACUUUUUUUUUUUUGUUUCUUUCUCCUUUGUAUACAGGUUAAGUAUAUGGGAUAAAAAAGAUAAGUAUGUACCACAUAAUUACUAGCUGCUCUCAUUGAAACCUGUUGCUGCGUGAAUACUUCACAAGAUUAUGUCAAAUUAUCACUUCAAAAUAAAAAUAAAAGGAAUUCAAAAGAAAAAUUACUAACAAUUAAGAGCUAAUUCCUCAAAAUAUUUCCCCAAAAAAAUCCAGCUAAUGUGGUUCUGAUAGAGUCCAUUUCAAAAACUAUGGUUUUUUUUUUUAUUCUUGGUAGCCGCUUUUAAAGGAAAAAAAAAUUCAAGGGCUGCCAUCUCUUUUUAAAGGCAACAAUGUUUUUUUUUUUUUAAUUCCUGGCGGCCACUUUGAAAUAAAAAAAAAAUUGAAGGGAUGCUGUAUUGAAUCAGCAUGACAGCCCUCUUCUUUUUUUUUUCUUUUGAAAAAGAUGCUGAGCCUGCAUGUUAUCUUACAAAUAGGCAGUUGCUUUAUUUUUUGUGUUUCACGGCAGCCCGGUGACUUCUACAAUUGUUUAUGUUUCACACAAAACAUAUUGAAUACUUGAUGGGGUAUUAUUCAUAGAACCUAAAAAAUCCUGUGAAUGAUACUCCAUCAAAUAUUCAAUGUUUUGUGUGAAAGAUAAACAAAUAUAGAAGUCAAUGGGCUGCCGUGAAACACAAAAAACAAAGCAACUGGCUAUUUGUAAGACAACAUGCAGGCUCAGGCAUCCUUUUUAAAAAAAAACAUGGCAGCCCUUGAAUUUUUAUUUUAAAAAAAAAUUGGCUGCUAGGAUUUUUAAAAAAAGAAAAUUGUUUCCUGCCAUGCUAACACAGCGAAUUUUUAUUUAAAAAAAAAAGUGGCUGCCAGGAAUAUUUUUUUUAAAAAAAAAAAUCUCAUGGCUGGCAUAAUUUUGGAAAUGGACUCUAUCAAAGUCACAUUUGCCAGUUUUUUUUUUUUUUUGGGCAAUAUUCUGAGAAAUUAGCCACAAUUAGCGGUAUAUUCUUUCUCUUUUUUUUGACUACUUUUAUAAGAACAAAAUGUAUAACAGGAAAGUCUCAAUAGACUCCCUUAUUUGACAAGUGACAAAUAGGACUCAAGUACUACGAACACUAAAUUUUAGGGGGUUUAAUAUAAUUACAUUUUAGAAUUGAUUAAACAUGAGAAAAACUGGAAUGUGCUCUUUGUCUGUCACAUUAGUGGCCGUUUUGGAGAUGUAAUGAUUUAUUAAAAAAUAUUUCACCCAUUAGAGCUUUUGAUGAUAACACUUGAAAGUGUGUUAUUUCGACGCAUACAUUGAUGAGUGAUUGUUAUGUAUGGAUUGUUAACCCACGGAUUUUAUCAAAAUUUUAAAGAUUAUUCGAUUUUUAGGCUAUGUUUGGUUAGGUGUUUUCCAAGGUGAUUUAGGGGUAAAUUGACUAUAAAGAUGCGACGAAAAUAUACUUUGAACCUAAAGUUCAAGUUGUGAUUAGUAAGUUAAUUUCCUAUUUUCUAUUCUUUUUAUGAUGCUAUAUUCAGGUUAGAAAAUCUUUGAUUAAAUGACUGAAGCUUGUGGUGAAUCGAGUUUUUGCAACUUCUUGUCAUGCUUCUUUAUCGAGGUUGGAACAUUAGCUUAGUUAUGUUGUAAUGUGUUAAAGAAAAAUAAUUACAGGUGCCCCUGUGGUGGUAGCAUGCAGGGCAGGAAAGUUAUAUGACAACGGCGUUGAGAUUGGAGUUGCUCACUCUAUCUUUGCAUCCUCCCUCGCACUUGUAGAUGGAAGUAAGGAUAUUUAGCCUGAAGUUUUGAGUUUUAGAACUGAUCCAAAUGACUUUUAAGUGAAAUCACAGAUUCAAAUUGAUUUAUUUUUUAUUAUAUAUAUUCCGAGAAUGGAAAAAUUUUACAAGUAUACGAGAAAUGAAAACCAAAAUAAAAAUGGAAAAUGCUUACCUUUGUGCUUUUACCUCAUCCAAGUCAGAGUCGAAUGUUGCAUCCCUCUAUAAGUGGCAAAUAAAUUUAUUUAACUAAAUUUAUCCAUACCCGUCCAUGAAUAGAUGAAUAUAAAUAUCUUAAAUUUUUGCAUAUGGGUAUAAAUGGUUAUCCAAUAAUGCUCAUUUAUUAAAUGAGCAUUAUUGGAUAAUCUAUCAAACUCAAUUAACCCAUUUAAAAUUAUCUUCAUCCAAGCCUCCUCUCUUCCCCCACUCAUUUUUUUUUCAGAUUCUUUAUUUUGUCAUGAUGUUAACUACUUUUGAUUCAUUAUUAUUAUUAUUAUUUGUUGGUUUUAGCUUAUCAUUUUAUUUUCCCUUAAUUUGUUAACUUGUUCAUUUUUCAGCAUUAUUAAUUUAUAACAAGUUUUAGUCUCUUUUCCUACUUUCUCAAAAUGAAAUUUUAAAUUUACAUAUGAAAAAAAUGCUAGGGGUUCAAAAUUUUUGGAUUAAGUUUUUAUGUUAACUUUUAUAGUACUUAAUUCAAAAUUUUAUAUUCUUGUUGUUUAAUUAUUAAAUAAUAUGUAAUUUUGCGACAUAAAGUAUUGAUAGGAAAAAAAUUGGUAAUUAGAUUUAUGAGCAUUAUAAGUAAAUAUUUAAAAUUAAUGAUGGAUGCAAAUUAUGGUAUAAAUUGAUAAUUUAGUUUGUAAAAAUGAAUUUAAAUGAGUUCACAAAAAAUUAAAAUAAAUGGGUUAUAGAUAGGUAAUUAGGUUAUUCAAUUCAUUUUUUAACUUACUCAUUAGAUGAAUAUAAAUGAGUUGACUCACCUAUUCCCAUUAUCCAUUUUAACUGAUUCAAACCCGUCCAAAUCACUGAUUUUGGACACAUCUACAUCCCUCCAAAGUCUACCUCAGACUUUAAGGUUCCCAUUUUGUCCUGCCUUGGGAAGCGGGAUGGAAGAAGGACAUGUGUGAGUGUGAUAGUCAUAGAUGGAUGCAUGGCACACGCUCGUUAAUUCGGAGAGGGAAGGCCGACGCGCAUGUACAUGGAAGCAAAAUGCUACGCGUCGGGUUAGAAGGAAACAUGAAUAAAAAAGAAAAUGUGUUAAGUGAGGGACCAGAGGGGCAAAUACCAACGAAUACCGUAUGUGAUCGGUUAGAUAUAUGUAUAUAAAGGGAUAAUUGCAUAUUCCCACCCUGAGGUAUGUACCAUUAAAAAUAAAGACUAAAGCCAGAGAGCGUCGAUGUAAGUCUCGCAAAUUGUAACAUUAGCAUGAGCGUAUUAGAAUUUAGUAACAUCAGCAACCAUCCAUAAAACUGCAGAAAAUGCAAAAAUCAAUAAAGUGGAGAGAAAAUUUUUUUUAAUUUGGAAUCGAUAUUUACAUGUAAAGUUGUUAUAGUGUUGGUAAUGGAAUUUCAAAAACUUUGAACAGGAAUUGGACAAGAGGUGAAAAAAAACACAUAUACACAAUACAUUCCCAAGGUGAAAAAAAAAAUAAAAUACACUGCAAAAGUUAAUACGUUUGGAAUCGUUUUGUUCACUCAUGGAGUCCAUCCUUUUACAUGAUUAACAAGAGAUGUUCAUCUUUGUAAAGAAAAAGUAACAAUUUUGAGGUGAUGUUGUAAUUAAAUUUUAAAGAAAAAACAAGUAAAGCAAAGUAGAGAAAAUCUUUCUAACCAUCUUGUUCAGAUUACGUAUACAAAAAAAAAAAAAAAAAGAAAAAAAAAACACUAAACAUCAUUGAAAAGAGCGAAAAUAAUAGAUUAUUUGCAAUUACAUUUUAUCUACCUAAUGAAAUCUAACUGUAUUAAGUCCCUCACAAGUACAUUAACUUACUAAGACCAUGUAAAAGAUUUGAUUGUUCUAUAUUAAUAGUAAAACUUAUAUUAAUUUGAUCGUGCUGAGUGUGCAAUAAUAGUUGGACUCACAGAAAAGACCAAAAAUAAAAUACGAAAUUGAAACAUCCGCUCACAUGAAUGAUUUGGUAAAACAUCAUACUUGCAAAUAUAGGUAAACAUAACGCCUUCUUCAGAGGACUAAGAGUGGAGUGACGAAAAAAAGGGUAUGAUACUCCUCUACAUUUUGGUGAUCAAAAUGUAUAAUACCAAAAUGUAUAAUACCAAAAUGUAUAAUGAACAGUAUAAACUAGAAUAGUAACAAAUAAAAAUGGUUGCGAAAGUGUAAAAAAUUAAAUCCUUCUUCAAUAUAUUGCCAUAUUCCCCUCCAUUUAUUUCUUUUCUUAUGCGUCCCACAUUCGCUUUGCCAGGCGCGUUUUGAGUGCUUGCUCGGCCAAUUCAUUUCGGACCACAAACAAGUGGCACUUUGGAUCGCGUAAGACGUGUCCAUUUAUUGCUUCGUUCCUCCCAUAAAGCCAUAAAGGGGUCCCGUCAUUUUUUUUUGUCUACUUUUUUUUUCUUUUUUUUUUUUUACACACGAGAUAUCCGGACCUUCGAUCCAACUAAUCUCAUUUGUCUAUAUGUAUAUAUAUUUUUUGUCUACUUGUUUCUAUUUUUUUUUCUUCCAACUUCUAGGGAAAUCCCAAGAAUUCGCUAACUAAACUGAGCCCAAGAGCAAUCGUAAAAAACCGGCAACUUUUGACGACGCCCCAGGAGCUUAACUACCCAACCCUUAACACCCCCACAGCCGAUGUGGGAUAGAAACCCCAACAGGGGCCAAGCCUGCGCUGGAAACUGCUACCAGGCCUUAACUAAGAACCCAUCCCCAACCGCCGACCCCUUGCUGUUGUUUUUUUUCUUCCAACUUCUAGGGAAAUCCCAAGAAUUCGCUAACUAAACUGAGCCCAAGAGCAAUCGUCAAAAGCCGGCAACUUUUGACGACGCCCCAGGAGCUUAACUACCCAACCCUUAACACCCCCAACCGAUGUGGGAUAGAAACCCCAACAAGGGUCAUCUACUUGUUUCUAUUGAUAACAUCUUUUGACCGAUAUGCAGCACAAAAAGUAACUCGCCCAUGAGUACAAAAUAGGCGUUACAAAAAAAUCGUUCCUACCAAACUCGUGGAGUUAUUUGCCUAAAUAACUCACUUCACAACAAAUAUAUUCCUAAAAUGAUUCAAUUUCAUACUUUAUUCUCGUAAGAGACUUUUCUCUCAUAACAGAGUUUUCUGUUAUCCGUCCGAUCAAAUUAAAACGAAAAUGAAAAAUAUCUUCCCAUUUCUAGCUAUACCUUUGUUUGUUACUUUAUUAUACAAAAAGUCUUGAAUACUUAACAUGAAUUUAACAAUAUUUUUAAAUAUGAGAGCAAAAGUCUCGAAUACUUAACAUAAAUUUGACGAGAUUUCUAAACAUGAGAGCAAAAUCUACAAUUUGACUAUUUAUUUUUGUUUCAGUUACGACAAUUUUCUCUUUAAGAUACUUGUAAUAAAAUUUGAAAUCGAAUCAUUGUAGGAAUAUUUUUUGAAAAAAAAUGUUAUUUUGGUAGAAGACUCUGAGUGUGUUUGACAGUAUUUUAUUUGGAAAAUUUUUUAAAAAAAAUUAUGAAAUUUUUUUAAUAUAAUAAAUAUAAAAAAAUAUAUUAAUGAUACAAAUAAAUUUUGAUAAAUAAUCCACCAUCCAAACACACUCAACAGGCAAUGCCAGAAACAAAGGUUCGCGACUCAAUGUGUUAACCACCCAAAACCUUCUAGGCAGUGCCAUAAAGAAUGGUCAUUGCUCUACGUGUUAACCACCUAGAAGCUUCUAGGCAGUGCCAGAAAGAAAGAUCCACAACUCUACGUGUCAACCGCUUAAAACCCUGGAAGAACGGUAAAGAUGCUUUUAAUAAAAUUAAAGUUUAAAAAUUAAUAUCUGAACUCUGAAUCCGUCAAAUUAUUAAAUCUUAUAUAUCAUACAUUUGAAUGUAUGUCACGUUAUAUUAAGUGACAAGUAAAUAGUUUAUUAUUUAUUUAUUAAAAUAAAUUUUAUUUAAAAAAUUUAAUAUUAUUUAAUUAAUUUAUAUAUUUUAUUUUUUAUUAUCAAACGCGUCUGAAUAUAUUAAAAUAUGAAUCUAUAUAAUUACAAAGUUAAUUGUGAUAUUAGGGACAAAUAUAAAUAAUUAAGGUGUGCUGUGCUGUGCUGUGUGACAAAGUCCCGUGAGUCUGGUCCAUCAAUUAAAUUACUUGAUCCAUCCAAUUGAGAUGAAUUUUUUUUUUUUUUUGUCGGAACAAUAAGUCCAAUCGAGAUCAGCUUGAGUGUGAAUUACUAUUCCUUGUUUUAUUUGUCCACUUGUUUCAAUUGACAACUCUUUAAGAUACCAAAAAAUCAACUGAAAUCAGUGGGAUCUCCGCAAUUAAUUGCGGAAUAUAAUCCUGUUUUUAUAUAUUCUUUGUACGUCUAAUUAGUUUCGUCUCAGGAAAGGAAAAAUAUACGCACAAAACACAAGUCUAGCUCAGAAUUUAGCGGUGACCGAUUCUACCUUCCUUUUUGGUAUCAUACCUUGAUCCUGAAUUCACGGUUGAAUGGUCAAAUAUUACUAUUUUUGACAUUUAGAUGGUUACAGUUUCAAUCGUUUAAAUUAUGGGUUACUAUCAUCGUUGAAAGAUACGCAUUGAGGGAACGGUAUCCUAAGAAGACUAUAGAAUUUUCCUAAUGGAUUAUACAACAUAUUAAUAUUUGGAAAAAAAAAAAUACUUCUCACACAGUUGUGUUUGAUCUCAACGAAUCUUCACUAUUUUAAAUUGGUGUGGAUCACAAUCAAUGUCAUGACUUUACAUGAAUAUCAAAUAAGGGUGCACGAAUAUUAUAAUAUGAAAAGUACAUGAUAUGAAAAAAAAAAUAAUUGUGUUUGGUUAGAAAAUUAUUUGAAAUAAUUAUUGUAACAUUUUUUAUGAUUUGAGAUAUAUAAGAUAAAAAAAAUUUAAAAAUAUAUUUAUGAUGUAAUUAAAUAAAUUUUUUUUGACAAAUAAUGCCCAUCCAACCGCACUUGUAUGUACUCCUUUUCAAUUUCUUUAUGUAGAAUAUUUUUUUUGAUUAAUCGUCAAUUAUAUCUAUAUAAUACUUUAUUCUAAUUUAAUUAAGAGAGGAUCAACUGGACCUACAAAAAGUUGAUGGGAACAGAAUCACCAUCAGAUCGGACAGGUGCAUCAAGCAUCCAUUUGAAUUUUUUUGAAGAAAUAAUUAAUGUGGCAAUUAGUGGAUGGUAAAAUUUGCUACUUUAAUAGAAUAUUUUCUUGAAUAUUGAUUUUUGACAUGUCUUUUGUCAAGGCCAUAAAUCAACCCGGGCCUACUCCACAGUUCACACCGAUUCCCGCCGACGAUGGAUAUCUUAUCCACAAAAGCAUGUUCCUACCGCACUAUUAUAUAUUAUUCCGUCAUCCCCACCUCCUUCCUCCUCACUCCUCCCUCGCAAAACAGUAAACUCUGAUCCAUUCCACUCUUUCCUCUGUGCUUUUUUGUCUGAAAAUGGCAGCACCAGUGACAGUGCCAAGAAUCAAGCUGGGCUCGCAAGGUCUUGAAGUUUCAGCUCAAGGGCUGGGCUGCAUGGGCAUGUCAGCCUUCUACGGGCCACCAAAGCCCGAGCCCGACAUGAUCAAACUUAUUCACCAUGCUAUUAGCAGAGGCAUCACCCUGCUUGAUACCUCUGAUGCUUAUGGACCCCAUACCAACGAAAUCCUCAUCGGCAAGGUGACUUUAAUCAUAUUUAUUUGCAUUUUUCUGCAGUUGUGCGGUAUGCAUGAGCUCUUGUACUUUUAGUUUUGACUUUGUUCUUGGUUGCUUUAGAUUUUGCAAAAUUUGAUUAUGGGAAGUGUUUAUAAAAAAUAAUUAGAAUCAGCAAAAAUUGUGCUUUGGCCAAUUAUGAAUUUCAGAUUUUUUGGUUAUUAAAAAAAUUGUAAUCUGAAGCGUCAUAAAAAUUGAUUAUUCAAAAUUAGAAUAUAUAAUCAAUUAAAAUAACAAACCUGUAGUUAGUGAAUGCGUAGGAACUCUCACUAUCUGGGAAGUCUUUCUGAAAACUACCAGUAUUAGAUAAUUUACUUUCCAAACAGGGCAAUAGGAAAACUGUACUCCUCUAGUCUCCUAUUCUUUCUUUUUCACUUGGAUGUUUUCAUUUGGAUCCUAAUAGGGCACUAUUUACUGCACCUUAAUAAUUUGAUUUGAGUUUCCUUUUUUUUUUUUUCUUUUUUAUUCAGGUUCAUGUGUACGACUCUCUGUCUAUGUUCAUGUUUUGCAUCAAAUCUUAUCAAUGGUAAAGAUAGACUGAAAGAAACAGAAAGAAGAACAGAAAAAAGAAAAGGGAUUGGCUCCUUUAACUGAAUCAAACUUCUAAAGUCCAUGGUUUACAUAAUCUUCAUUCUGCAUGCUACCAUAUUCAAUGGGAAGAAGUAGAAUAGUCUUAAAAAUGAAAAGGAUGGAAAAUCUCUGACAGUUUGUGCCAUGCAUGGAUCACAAAUCAACUUGCUAUAACAUGCAAUAAUAUGUAUGUCCUCGGUGAUUGAUGUUAUGAAAGCAUGGUUGUAGGCCUUGAAGGGAGGAAACAGAGAGAAAGUGGAGCUAGCAACAAAAUUUGCAUUCACUUAUGAGGGUGGGCAGUUUGGUAUACGUGGUGAUCCAGACUAUGUGAGAGCUGCAUGUGAAGGCAGCUUGAAGCGGCUUGGUUUGGAUUGCAUUGAUCUCUAUUAUCAGCAUCGCAUUGAUACAAAUGUGCCCAUUGAAGUCACGGUUUGCUCUAUUUUUCCUUUCUUGUUUUUAAGUUCCACAUUCUUAAUUAAAUAAAAGUUUGAUCAACUUCAAAUAUAGGCAUACAACUGAGUUUCGUGUCCUUUGCAAUUGCUUCAAAAAUACAAAAAUAAAAAAAAAAUUCUUAAAAAAUGCAAUUGGUGUACUAUGCAUGUUAGUCUGCAUUAAUGUAAAGCUCAUUUAGCACCAGCAUCUCAAAAUUAAAAAGAACCAUAGUGUUAGUCUUGUAGGCACAAAAAUUGUAGCUUGACGGCCCUGCUGAGGGAGUUACCAAUGGAUAUGACAUGCUAUAGAUUCUAUGGCUUUCCUUUAGGACGAGAAGGCCUGUGUAUUCUCUUUCAUUUGAAAUAUGUAAUCUGGUUGAGUAUUCAUAUGCUAAUUUAUCCACCUUGUCAGUUCUCAGUUGCCACUUCUUUUAAUUCAGUGCAUAAAGCAGCAGAUUGGUACUCAGUUUUUAUCAAAUUGAAGUUUUUAUGGAACGAUUUAUGUAAGUUCUUUUCCUGGUGUAGCCAGCAAAAUAUAUUUUGCUUUUCCUGAGUAGUAGGAAGAAAUUUUCAUAUCGUACAAUCACUCAAAAUACAGGUAAGUUUGAAUGAGAUCAAGCAAAAUUGAUGACUGACAAUUGAUGUGUGCAGCCAUUAGUCUGUUUAAAAGAAGUCAAGAAAGUUGUAUAAUGUUGUAUAAUGUGGUAUAAUGAUAUCAGAGCUAAGUCAACCUGUGAGUUAACAUCAUCAUCAUCUAGAGAAGUAUAUUGGCUGCUUGUUGCCAUUUUUGUCAAGUAGUGCUUUCAGUUUGAUGUAUACUUUGUCAAAGUUGUGCCACUGCACUGAACUAGUUCUUCUUUUCGUUUAUGCAUGUAUAAUUUCAAUUAUCUACCUUAGUAUGGAAAAAAUCAGCUGGGAAAUUUCUCGUCCAUUACAAAAAUUCUAUUUUGCCCAGGUAGGAGAACUUAAGAAAUUGGUUGAAGAGGGUAAAAUAAAGUAUAUAGGUCUAUCCGAGGCCUCAGCUUCAACAAUUAGAAGAGCACAUGCUGUUCAUCCAAUAACAGCUGUACAGUUGGAGUGGUCAUUGUGGACCAGAGAUAUCGAGGAAGAGAUUAUUCCCACUUGCAGGUAGUGCAUUUAUCCUGCUUCAUUUUCUACAUGGUCUGGAAGAAAUAUGAAGUUCUAAGUUCAUUUUGGUGUAAUCUUGUAGAGAGCUUGGAAUAGGGAUUGUUGCAUACAGUCCACUUGGAAGAGGAUUCUUCUCUUCAGGUCCAAAGCUGGUUGAGAAUUUGACUGAUGAUGACUACCGAAAGGUUUGUGAAUAUCCAAAAAGAUUAGUAGUUUCUAGUGUAGCAUAGUCAGUAGCAAUCUUGCUCAAUAUCCCUUUGAUGUCCAAUAAUUUGGUGGAGCUUUUCUGAAACUAUCUAAUUUAAUUAACUUCUGUCCAACAAAGCGGCACAACAAGCUUUUUUCUAUCCACCAAGUCUUCUAGCGUUGGAUUCCAAUAAAUGCAGUUUUUGGCAUUGUUAGAAACUGAACCUUUUGUACAGACAGGAUUGAAAGUGUGUGCUCUGUAUUUAGUUUGAAUUUGAAGAUAGCAAUAGCAUUGUCAAAUAUCACAAGCAGUGGGAGUGUUCUAUUUUAUGGUGGAAGAACAUCCUAGACAUGAGAAAAGGAAGAAACUAUGGCAUUUUUUAGUAAUAUUCUCUUCACAAUUUUGAGGGGAAAUGGACUUACAUUGCAAUGGCAUCAUCUGGUGUUAGGCACAAAAGUUAUACAUUGUCCUCUGAAAUUGUUUUUUUUCCCUUUUCAUAUACAUCCUCUACAGUUUGGUUGGUCACAAGUUCACUUGAUAAUACUGUCCAGAUGGUAUGAAACUGUAUUGGAUUUCUAUUUCGAGUUUCCUCUCUGAUGGGAUAUGUUUCUCAGGAUCUACCUUCUACAAUUGAUGUUUCUUAGCGUACUCAGUCCACCUUACUGGAUUGUUCUUUCCCCUGAACUUUGUACGCCUCAAGCAAUAGUAUCGAUCAUCUUGAAGUUAUUCGUAAUGUUUUCAUUUGUAGACAACACGUGUUGCUCCCUUUUGAAUUUCUGGCAUUACAGUUGCUUAAAUUUCGAAAUUCGUACAAUGCAGUAUAUGCCAAGGUUUCAAGCAGAGAAUUUGGAGCACAACAAGAACUUGUACGAGCAGGUCAAUGCCAUUGCUUCAAGGAAGGGUUGUACCCCAUCACAGCUAGCUUUGGCCUGGGUCCAUCACCAAGGCAAAGAUGUUUGCCCCAUACCUGGCACUACCAAGAUUGAGAACCUCGAUCAGAAUAUAGGAGCUUUGUCUGUGAAACUGUCGGCAGAGGAAAUGGCGGAACUUGAAUCUAUUGCUUCGGCUAUCAAGGGUGAGAGAUACGAGUCUGACGCUGGCACUUGGAAAACUUCUGAAACUCCACCUUUGUCAACCUGGAAGAGGACAUGAAGGCGUACCUUUGUGAUGGCAAUAAUCCCUUCUAGCUGUGUGCCUGUUGGUGGAUUUCACUAUAUUGGGAGUUGAGUAGCAUGUAUUUGUUCCAAGAAAUUUCGUCAUAUUAUUGUCUCGGGGGUUAAGGCAUGUAAAGUUAUAAUAAGAAGAAUGGAGUUUUAAGAGUGAUUGUAAUGAAUGAAGAUUUGGUCAUGUAAAAGCAUAUAGUAAUUUUCCUUGCAGUAUGCAUUAAAAAUUAUCUAUUGUACUUCUGAAUAUUAUAGUUUGGAAAAAAAAAAGGAAUACUUGUUAUCAUUUGGGGGAAAAAAAAUAGUGUAGCUGUCACGCCUCAUUGCUCUGUUAUAUUUCUCGCACGUGCUAGUAACGAGACAUCUGUUAUAUUUCUCAAGGACAAGACAAUAUUAAACUAGAAAUACUUACUUAAAAAGUAAUAGCAUUAAUGGAACUAAUUAUAGUGCGGUAUAACUUUGUAUUCGAAAUAACCUAUAAAUAUUUGAGGAUUUCAUAUGCUAAACAUCAAGUAGAGAUAACAUGUGCGAGUAUCAACUAUUAUAGUAUAGCGAAGUACAACUAUACUACUAAUUCCUAUCUCCUAAAGAUUUAGUAGAAAUCAUUUUUUGGGUUUUGGACAUAGACUAACUCAUAAUAUCCAAAAUCUACAAAAGUAAUAAAAAUGGGUUGAGCGAUGAUUGCUCGGUAGGUAGCAGCUACUGUGAUGUCUCGCAAAAAUUUAUUAUUUUUAAAAUCCAUUCCGAGCAUAUUUAAAUAUUUAAUUGUCCAUUUACUCUGAUUAUUAUUUUCUAACCUCUUUAAAUCUAAUUACAUGGAUUUAUAGUUUCGUUAUAUUUUUUUUAAAGUGUCUCGUUUCAAAAUUUAAUUUUUGGAAGCUCAUUAAGUGAAUAUGGUGAAUACGCGAUUAGGGAUUUUAGCUGAUUUGGAAAUACCAUAAGUUGGGAAAAUUGGAGACUUGUACAAUGGUCCUAAAAUAAGUAUUUCUAUGUUUAAAUAUUCAAGUGAUAGUUAUUAGUACUAUCGUUAUAAGAAUUUCUUGGAAGUUUCGUUUUAUCGCGCUUAAGUUGGAGAUACGCGUUUUUACACGCGCGAUUUAAUUGGGGGACUUUAGACCCUUAUUCUGGGACAAUUAAGAGUAAAUAAUAUUAAUAUGAUUAUAAGUAUAUUGGAGGUUUAGGGCACUAGUGAAAUGAACGCGAGAGAAAUCGAGCACAAAACGCACGCGUACGCGCACUAUUGAAGAGUUGACUUUUGCACCAAUUCUAGCCACACAAAUAAAGCUUUCUUAGGAAGCUAAAUCAGAUCAAAACACUCUCUCUCUUCCUCACAAAGUGGCCGGCCAUCAGCUGCAAAAAUAACCCAAGGAGUUCAUCAUUUUUCAUCUCAAAAUCUUGCACAAAUCAUCUCCAAUUCCUUCCAAAUUUCACACACACUUAGCUUAAUACUUGGAGAUCAUAUUAAGCUGCAAAAAGGGGGAGCUUUUCACGGUUUUCUUGAGCUAAGAGAGGGCCAAAAUUCUGCCUUGUUUACCAACACAAGUAAGUGACGAUCAAUUCUCAAAUUCUUGGUCUAUGGAAGUUGAUUUACACUUAUGAGCUUAGAUAUUCAUGUGGGUGGCUUGUUAUUGUUGGAAAAUUUUGAAUGUGGGCUCUAUGAACUCCCACUCUUGGGUUGAUGGCUGAUAUGAUGCUUGAUGAUGGAUUUAAUGUUGGUUUAGUGCUCAAAUUGGUAGAUUAAUGGUGCAUAGCUAGUAUAAACUUCAAGGAGUGCAUGGAUGUAAAGCUUCCAAUUCUGCCCCUGUUAUGAUUGUGCCUCUUUUUGCAGAAUUUUGAGGUUUUAAUGGUUUGUAUAUGAUGUUUAUCUGUUGUAUAGAUGUUGUAUAAAGUUUCAUCGAAAAAUAUUGAGGUUUGGUUGGUCAAAUGGAUUAAUCUCGCACAGCUAGCAAACCUGGAAAAAUUUUCCCGUAAUGCUCAGACAGCUUUCUUGUUUCGUCCAUAACUCUGUGCUUCGAUGUCAAAAUCAAGUGCCGUCAGUGGCAUUUGAAACUAGACAUUCCCAGAUUUCCAAUGGUAUAAAAUAUAACUCCUAAUUCCACCCGAGUAUUCCGUACCAACCGUUUAAAGAUGACUGUCAUGUUUCUCUAUUUUCCUGGAACGAAGUUCAGAAGCUACAACUUGAGGCUUGAAUUUGAGCUAGUUGUGUGCUGAAUUUCAGAACGAUUUCUUCUGUGAAAUUAUAGUUUCAUGAAUGCAUUUUCCAACGCCACCACCCAUGCUCAAUUCCGAGUUGAAUUGAGUGAUUUGUGAUCAAAAUACGAAACCUGCCUUGUUCUUGAAAACCCUAAAUUUUGGGCAGAAUUGAUGCUAGACUUGGUGUAGACUUGCCAAUUGAAUUUCUUGGAAUUGAAACACUUACCAAAUGUACCAUGAAUGUUCCUUAGGUUUUUCCCACACAAAUGAACCAUGUUUGAAGGAUUUUCCUUGGUCAAAUGUUUUGGAAUGGAAAACAAAAAAAAAAGCUCAAGGCAGUUUUGCCUUAGGAUUUUUCGAAACUUUGGAUGUUUGGUUGACUACUUUCCCGAAGGUAUUUUUCCAUGAAAUUUGAUAGAGGGAUACCCUUUAUAUAGGAGUAUUAUAUUGCCAAACUUGGUGUUAAUCCGAGUCCAUUUCACUGCUCGACUAAAUUACCAAGAUUCAUGACUCGAGUUUGGAAAACCCUUGUUUCACAAGGGAAUUUUGGUAACUUUGAAUUGCCAUAUCUUAGUGCUCAAAACUCCGUUUCUCGUUCCGCUUAUUUUGUUGUAAACUUAGAUUGCGACUCUAAUAGAGUUCCUAAUUUCAAAGGCUAGUUCCAAUUAAGUGAAUUUUGCCGAAUUUUCAAAGUUGGCCAAAAACCAACUUAAAUCUGCCUUAUGAAACAAAACAGCGACUUUGAGCUUAUUUUUGAAUAUUUUUCAUUUGGAAUCUUAGAAAAAUGUAUUUUAGGAACUUUUAGUACCUUGGAAGAGGUUUCCAACGGUACCAAGUUUUCCAAUUUUUGACUUGUAAAGCGUGAGAUACGAUUUUUCUAAUGUAUCGUAUCAAAACUGAAAUUUUCCGAAUUCCAAGGAAAUGGAGUUUUUUCAAGUACUCCUUAUUCCUUCGAUAUUACUUGAACAUUUUAUACUUGAUUUCCAAGAUGAAAACUAAAUUUCUCCUGUACUUUGAAACCCCACUUGAGAGCCUUGAUUUAGAAUAAUUUGGGCUCGUUUCACGAGACUUUCUAAGAUUGUACUGUGGUAUGAUCUUCUUUAAUAGUAGGGGGUUUGUGAAUGAUAGUCUAUUAUUAUUUGCUCAGGCGCACACGAGAACCUUCAAGAGGAUCCCACAGUGAACGCCUAAAGCUCUGAGGGACAUUUCUUCCUCAUUACUUAUAUUGAUGAGUGUCAAGUGUAUGAAUACUUGAUACAUGCUUAAUUGUUAUGAUUGUUUGGAGAUUUUGAAAAUAGAGGCGAGUGUGUAUUUUACCGCACUCAUUCUUAUUUGAAAUAAAUGACUCAUGAUUCAAAUGUACUAAAUGAAUUAUGAAUGGCUUAAUUGAAUGAAAUGAGAUGAUUGAAUGAUUGAAUGAAAUGAAAUGGUAUGCUAUGGCUGCAUACGUCGUUGGAGUGAAUCUCCUUGACUCUCAAAUAAAAAUGGGGGACGCCCAAACUCAUAGGCCGAACUUGGACUCGAGCCGGCAUGGGAUUGGUCGGGAACCUUGGCAAGCCAUGAGAUAAAUAAGCUCGACCUAAUGAGAGGUCUUGCUUGGCAUACUCGUGGAGUAUCGCCUUAUAAAUGUCUUGCGGGCCCGGGAGGUGCACGGUGGACGGAGGGAAGUAAGUGGUGAUCUACGGAAUGGAAAUACCGACCCGGUUGACGGAGUGUCAUCGCGGGAAGGUAUACGAAUGAUAUUGGCAAAGUAAGUGGAAAUUAGCUUCUGAGAGCUCCGAUAUCCUUGAAUUGUUUCUGUUUACUUUUCCACUCGAAUUGUUAUUUAUUGCAAUAUUGUCGCUUUACUUGUUAAAUUGGGGUUGUUACUUGAACAAUGUGCUUACAUGUGUGUUCUUGGCCUCACGAGCGUUUUGCUCACCCUGUAGAUUUGUUUUCCUUAACAGGAUUUGGGCUUGGAGUGAGAUUCGGAGGAAUUUCUCUUUUGUGUACUCUUGUAAUAGGGUUCCAACUCUUUUGUCUAGACUUUUGGGAUAUUAUAUAUUUUGGGUUGUAUUAUGGAAACCCGCUAUAAGAAUUUGAUGAUUGUUAUAUCUCAUUAAGCUUGAACGCUUCCGCGUUAAUUGUAUUUAUCUUUUCUGGUUGUUGAUUUCUAGCACCGCUAUAAGCUUGAAUGGUGAUUGCUUGAGUCCUGACGAGAGUUGGGCAGGCGUUCCGCGGAUACCCUUUGGUUCGCCUUAGGGAGAAGUGGGGGCGUCACAGCUACUCUACUGUUGUACCAUGUAAUUGUAGUAUUACAUAUAUCAAAGCAUUUUCACACACUUUACAUGCACUAGGAGGAUUCGCACGGUGUAAUUUUCAACCUUGCCCAAAAAUGACCAAUUAUUCAAAUUUAGAUAUUAAGUAUGAAAAAUUAUAUAAAAAUGAACUUAAAUCUUUGUGGUUAUAUUUUUGUAGUUUUAUUAAACAAUGAAAAUAAGUAAUUUGUUAAGGUAAUGCAUGAUAAUAUAAUCAAUAGAUUACUGAGAUUAUUAAGAUGUCCCUUGUUUUGGAUACAAUGAAAAGAAAAUAAAAAAAAGAAAGAUAUAUUUGAGGAGAAACUGAUAGUUUUGUUCGUAAACUUUUGCAUGAUUGAGUUGGAUAAUCAUUUACUUGUCCUAGAAAUAAAAGAAAUUAGAGGAGAAAAAAUGAAGAUAGAUGAUCAUGCACUUUAGCUUGACAAAGUCCUCAUAUUGGCUCCUAUAACAUGGAAUAGCAAAUUUAUAACAUAAUUGAAGGGAAAAAAAAAAAAGAAAAGAAAAGUCGAGAAAUUUUCAUUGUUUGCUCCGACCUCAACAAAAAGCAACCAGUACUCAAGUUUCGCUUAAUCUGCAAAACAAAUAAGAUGGAACAUGUAAACUUAAACAUUUAUUUAAUUUUAAUUUUAUUUUAUUGUGUAAGGUAAGCUAAAUUUAUAAUAAAAAGGAAACAAAAAUUACAUUUCUUUGUACAUGCGGAAAGAAAUAGGAUAAGUGUAAGGAAGAAUCAUUCUCAAUCUAGAAAAAUUGGUGACUUUUGAGCAAAUAAAAAAAAUCAUGGCCAAAGUUUCUUACCAAUAUGAGAGUAACUAUCACAAAUUCGGUGAGUUCAAAGCAAAAGCCCAAAUAAGAAAAUGAAAAGAAAAGAAAGUCAAUGUCAAAAACCAGAAUUUGAGGGGAGAUCUCUUCGUGAUGGCAAUAGUUUCUUUUGUUCCUUUUUAAUAAGAGGAAAAGAGCAAAUUAGCAAUGCAAACAAAGCAAAUAUUAAAAUAACUAAUCUCUAAAGCAGAAAAUGGAGAGAAAAACGUCAAAAUUAUGGAAACUUAGUAAAUACUAAAACUUCUGGGCACUUAAGCGCUAUGGAGAUAAACAAACAUUUAGAUUUUUUAGAUUCCUAAAUUUCUAUCACAUAAAACAUUAGACAUCAAAGAAGUAAACAAAAUUUAGCCCAGGCAAUCAUCAACAAACAAAAACCUCUACAUUAUAUCUGUAAAUCAGAAUUCGACCAUAUUAAACUGUAUCAAAAAAAAAAAGAGAAAUUCCACCCGGCAUGAUAUGAAAACAACAUAUUUAAAAAACUCUUAUUAUUGCACAUUAAAUUUUUUCCCAAAAAUAAUUUAAAAAAUGCCUACAAAUGUCCUACAUCAUGCAACAAAGCACAAACCACAUAUAUAUGUAUGUGUGUAUGGAAAAAGCUAAAAAAUUAAAGGUCAGUAAUAUAAAAAAGAAUAGUCGAAGCAACUCAUGACAGGAUCCAAACAGAACAAACAGCUACGAACAAAUACAAAAAAGGUAUAGUGAUGCAAAUUUGGUAUAAAUUUAUCUUUAAUAUCUGCAUUAUCCCUUUAAUCAAUUCAAAUGUCCAUUUGUAUUGUAAGUAAGAAAAUCACAUAAAAGCAAGAUACCAAGUGUCGGACAAAAUCUAUGUUAAGGCUAGAAGAACCACCUAUUGAUAACACCUUCGAGGGCUGCUGGAAUAAGAAUAUCACAGUCUUCAAGCAAAAUAGAAUUGGGAUCAACACUGUCAGCACCCCUCCAUGGUUUUCCCUGACAUGCUUCCAUAGGUUUGGUACGUCAAUUCCCUUACCGUGCUGCUUUAUGGCUCCUGUUAUAUCACUUGCGCGAAUUACCUUUUCCCCUUGUUCACUGAUAAGUUGAGCAGCCCAGGAUCCGACAUUACCAAAUCCCUGAAAUCAAGAAGAAAAUUCUAUGAUCAUAUGACAUUCGAUAAUUUUUGACUUUUUAACUCGCUCUCUCUUCUCACGAGUCAUGAGACAUUUUGUGAUGUAACUUCUAAGUCCUCAAGGAAGGCUCUUUGAAUGAGCUUGUAGUUUCAACAAAAUGCAUCCCACAGUAUUUGAGCAUAUCAGAAACUAAAGGUACACUUGAAACUACAAAUGCAUCCCACAGUAUUCGAACAUAUUAUAAACUGAAGGUACACUUCCCAGUGGUGCUACUUGUACAACAAAUCAUUGCCUAGCGAUACUCUUUCCAUAUUCAUUAAGCAGCGCUUUAGUUGCAAAGAGUACUCCCCUCCCUGUUGGUGCAUCUCUGCCGAGGGAUCCACCAAGAUCAUGUCACCCAAGAAUUUGAAUAUCUUGCGAUAAAUAAAAGUUGAAAUUUUUUGAGGUUCAAAAUCUUAGAAAUCAAAGAAGCACAUUGAUCCUUAUACAUUUGGAAUUGGAUAAUUUACUACAGGUUUUCCAGUUACUAUUGCAGGUGAAUAGCCAUGAAAUUUAUAGUACUCAUCCAAGCCAUUGUCCGCUCAAAUGCGAGACAUUUCCAAUCCAGUUAAUUGGAUGAGCUUCAUAGACAAUGUUGUGUUUAUCACUAUAUUUUUCUCCAAAAACAAAAAUGUCACCUAGAUAUGUACUCCAAUCAUAUCAUACUGUUGAAAACCAGUUUUGCACUGACCUGUGCAUUUGUUCCCAUAUCAGGCGCAGGAACAUCAGUGUGAACUCUAAUCAAAUUAUUCUUAGUGCUGCUAGUGUAACUCAAAAUUUUGGUCAAUGACUAACUUGGCAUGGAAGUUCUAGAUUCCCAGAGGAGAAAUGUAUUAAUUCAUCAAGUGCUGAAAACCAAUGAAGAAAAGGGAACUGGAAGAACUAAAGCAAAUAGAAAGACAUUUUAAAGAUGAAAAAAUCUAUUUUAAACAACUGAUCUUUUUAGUUAGCAUAUGGAUUGCUUUUUCUGAGCAGGAGAUCAACAAAACACCUGCAUGAAAGACACCAAAAAAAUGACUAAAACGAAAACUCGAAAAGAGAAAAUGCCAAAGAAAAUGGCUAAAAAGAAAAGCAUAACAUAAUAAAGAUAACAUAAUAAUAAUUAAUACAGCUAGAGCAUAGCAUAAGCAAUUAUUACAAUAAAUAAAAAAUAAUAAUUAAUAAUUGUGAUUUAUUUGGCAACCAAAAAAAGCAUUGAUAAUUGUGAAUAAUUGGGAUACCAAUUUUUUGUUAACACAAUUUAUUGUUGGGAAAGGGAAAAAAAAGGCUAAAUUUUAGCACAAUCCUACAUGCAAUUAGAAAACUACCACCUCCCAUCCAAUCAAAACUCGCCACAUCACCAUCUUCAUAAACAAUUGGGAGGACUACCACCAAUGAACGAAUCAGAGGGCAACAACUCAUCAAAUUAGAAUCAAUUGGAGGACUACCACCAAUCAGCCAAUGAGAGAAUGCCAAGUCAGCAAUUGAGUUCAAUUAGAGACAAUUGCAUUCACACAUAGACUAUGUAUGUUAAUAACUAUUCAAUAUAACAUUUAACCGGUAACAUAUAAUAUUAAUGUGUGGCAAUGGCAACUUGUAGUUCAUGACAUUUAUUAUCAUACAUAAGGAGUUGCAAGAAUAUAAAUCAUUUCAUAGAUAUUCAUAAUUCAUAAUUUCAUAUACAAUCACAAUCCAAUUAUAUUGAUCUGUUCAAACCCGUUUACUAAUAACCCGUUCAAAUUCACCCAUUAAAAUUUAAACGGGUCUAAGUGAGUACGUAAUUAAAUUCAUUUGAUUGGUGGAUAGUUGAUUGAUUGGACUGACCCAUUUAUACUCAUUUAAAAAUAAAUAUACAUUUAAACUCCAUUUUUACUAAAUGUUAAAAAGAUAAAUUUGAAUUUUCUAUUAAUCUAAUAAUAAUAAUAAAAUAUUAUUUUUUUCUUGUUAAACGACAUGCGAAAAAUUAAAAAAAUAAGUAGAAUUUCAAAUCAAUGAUAAAUGGGAAUAUUAACUAUUCCCGAAAUCAUUUCCUCCCUACGCUUAAUUCAUGCGCGUGUGGCCUCCAGUGUCCAUUUUCCCUUACGGUUCACUACAUUAAUCAUCAGUGUACGUGCACGUGCCUAUUUCUGAGCACGUUCCUAUGGUAGGCACGGUCAAACCGUGCCUGCCAUAGAAUGAUCCCCACACGCAUCCCUCAUCAGUCCCGUCCAUACUUCUUCUUCAGGUCUCAGCUACUAAACAAUAAACUCUGCUCCACUCAACUCUUUCCUCUGUCUUGUGUUUUUGUCGGAAAAUGGCGGCGUCAGAUGAAGUGAAAGUGCCAAGAAUCAAGCUGGGCUCGCAAGGUCUUGAAGUUUCAGCUCAAGGGCUGGGCUGCAUGGGCAUGUCAGGCUCCUACGGGCCGUCAAAGCCCGAGCCUGAUAUGAUCAAACUCAUCCACCAUGCUAUUAGCAGAGGUAUCACCCAUCUUGACACCUCCGAUAUCUAUGGACCUCACACCAACGAAAUACUCAUUGGCAAGGUACCAUAUUUGCAAAUUUUCUGCUGUUGUGCGCUAUGCAUAAACUCUUGUACUUUUAAUUUCUUAAAGAGCAUAUUUGUAAAUAUUUUAUUUAUACUUAACCCCCUGCACUUCAAAACUUGUCUCCCUUUGUGCCCCCUUAAUUUUGCUUGUCAGCACUUAAACUCCAUUUGUUUAAAUUGUAAGUAUUAUUAGUCAAAUAGGACAUUGUUCUUCUUUUCUGCUUCUUCAUUUUUUCAUGUUACUGCUUUUUCAGUUUGUCCUCCUUUAUAAACAUGGAAUGAAUUACUUUGACUUUGAUUUUGGUGCAAUUUUGUAUCAAAUGAUUUUUGCUAUGAAGUUAUUGAUUUAUUAUGAACUAUGCGUUGUAUAUUUACACAAAUUCUGCUAGUUAAACAUUCAUUUGAGCAGGCAACAUGAGUAAUAUAAUUCUCUAUGGGUGCAUUUGGUAAAUUUGAAGUUUGAAAACUGAAAUUUAAUCUAAAGUUUGAAUCCAUAAAGUUAUUAAAUUGUUAAAUACUAAAUCUGAUACGUUUGAGUGCAUGUCACACUAAAUGAUAAGUGAACAACUCUAUCACUUAUUUUUGGAGUAAGUGUUGCUUAAGAAAUUCAGUGUCAUUUAAUUAAUUCAAAUAUUCAAAUUUGAUUUUAAAUGCUUCUGAACAUAUUAAGAUCUGAAUUCAUUAACUUUAAGUGCUAAAUUAGUUGUCAAGCAGGGCCUAUAAUUAUUAGGUAACCAAGCAAACGUGUUUAGGGUAUAAUAGUAAUUAACUUUCAAUUCGUCUCGUUGUUCUUUGGUAAGGAAUUCUUUGAUUCAUUUAAUAAUAUUUUUCUCGUACACAGGAAUCAAAAUAAUUGAAGUUUUAUCUCUACCAUUGAGAUAUGUUACCUUCUAAAAGAAAGGAAAGGGAAGCAAACAAGGGCGGAAAAUAGGAAAGGGCAAAGUGAUGAUAAAUAAAAUUGGAAGUAGCAAAAUGAGACAAGUGAAUUAUUACAAGGGGUUAAGUGUAAAUUAUAUUUAUUUUAUUAGACUAUUUAACCAAAAAGACUAGACUCUUUUAAGGCACCAAUCAAAAGUCCCAACUGCUGGAAAUAACAUAAAAACGACUUUGUUUGGUUUGGCGUUUUUGGAGGUGGUUCAUGAAAAUUUUAUUGUAGUUUUUUUUUCUUUCUUGAAAAAAUAUACUUGUAAGAGAAAAAAAAAGUGGUUGAAAAAUAUUGAGAGUUUUUUUUUAUAAAUAGUUUUCUAUAUAGCUCAGUCACCCAAAUUUUUCAAUAUUCCGACAAUGGCAUCCAUGUGGUGUCAAUUGUCAAACGUGCAACAAAGUUGAGAAGAGAAGGAUUUCAAAAUCUUGUAGCUACACGCGUAUAUGUUGAAUAGCUCUAUCCCAUUAGAAGUAGCCACGUGACAUGAAGGAUUUAGAACUUUUCUACCAUCUCUUUAUUUUCUCUUUUUUUUCCCUUCAAAAUUCGACGUCAUAAUGAAAUUGGUAUUUUUGUCCUUGAAGUUAAAACUUUCAUCAAUUAAUGGAAAGUUUACUAUUUCUCUGAUAAGAGAGAGUAAGUUUUAAAGAUUAUGAAAAGAGAAUUGUAUGAAGGAAUAGAAGGGAAAAGAAAGGUAAGAAAAUGGACGGAUUGUGUUUGGAUUGAUUUUGAGAGGGGAAAGGAGAUGAAACGGAAAGAAAAGGAAAUGGAUGGAUUUUGUUUUGCUCAGACAUCAUUUCCAUACAAAAGUAGACGGAAACAGAGGGAAAGAAAAUCUAUUGACAGGUGCCGAACCUGUACAAUAAUAAAUACCUACUCGAGAAAAAUACAGAUUUUGUAUAUAGCGGUGAGUAGGGUCGAAUCCACGGGGACUGGGGAUAAUUCGUUUCUUCUAGAGUCCAAAGUAUGGGGGGUUUUGGAUUGAAUGCUAACUAAAUAAAUUAACUGCAGAAAAUAAUUGAUUAAGAGAAAUAAUUAAGGGAAAACUCUAGCCAAGGGUACACUUCAGACAUGGUUCAGACACUGAUCAUUGAUUCACACAUAAUUCCACAUUUAUUAAUAGACCAGUUAUAGUUGUCAUGCACGCGAUAAACAACCAACCUUUCCUUAAUUUCUCGAUAGUUAAGGUACGACCGUUAACUAUUUCUCUAACCCAAAAACAACCCUAGGUACGACCGUAGGAUUUAAUUUCUAGAUUGCAUUAAUAAUUAGAAAGGCCCAAUCCUAACUAACAAACACGCUACGGGGGUUUGUUUAAGUUAGAUCGUAUGCUCCCCUGACAUAAACCCAAUUACGCCAGUUGCUACUGAGAUAAAGAUAACGAACAAUUACGGAUUCAAUUAUCCCUAUUUAGCAAAAUAGCCUAUGUGAAUAAUUAAAUAUUGCGCAUCUAUUCAAUCACUCACACGAGCUAUAGCAAUUAAAAGCAGGAAACAUAUAAAUAUAAAUAAAUUAAGGAAGCAAUUAAAAUAAAUUAGAUCUCACAGUAAUUGUUGAACCAAAUCUUCAGUUGUCCCCUUGACUUGAAUUAAGAGGUUAGUUCUCCAUUAAUGGAGAACAACCAUGCGAAAGAGCUAAGAAAAGAAAACUCAAAACUCAACUAAAAACCUCAAACUAGUGAUUCAUUCCUCCCCGUUCUCUUGUACGUUUCUCCCUUUUUAAAGCCAAAAGGAAGUCUAAUGCUAUCUCUAGUGGUCCCCACACCAAAUUCAAAGUCUUGUACGUUUCUUUUCCUAGAGUCCAAAUGAUUCAUGCUUCUUAUCCGUGGUCCCCGCACAUGUGGACAAAGCCUUCCAAGUACUUCUUGUUCCAAGUCUCUUUCCGUAGCUUUCUUUGAAGAGCCCAAAUGACUUAUUAGCUUUUCACUAGCUUGUGGUCCCCACCACUCCAAGGGCCCAAGAAUUGAAGUCCUUAGAAGUCUCCCUAUUUUCCAUAAAGUCCUUCCUUUUUGGUAGUUUCCUGCAUCAUUCCUGAAAUUAAGUCCAGAUACCAAAUAUGAGUAAAUAUUAGCAAUUAACACAAUAUUUAUCAGGGAUGAAAGGGGAAAUUAAUAAUAAAAUUACUAACAAAUUAUACCCUAUCAAUUCCCCCCACACCUGAAUCAUGCUUGCCCUCAAGCAUGGGAAAAAUUCAACUCAACAAUGGCUAGCUUUCACAUUAUCAUAGCCAGCUGUGCUUAUACCCAAAAUCAAGAUCUAGUAACAAAGUGUCAAGACAUGUCUCUCCCGGUUAGCUCCUAAGUUCAUAGACUUGUCCAAUUCAUGGCUAAUUCGCUUAGGAAAUCCAAAUACUAACUAGCAACAGUCAAUAACUAAGUCAACUGGCAACCAAAAUCUCAACAAUACGAACCAAGGAUCGGCAGGCUAACAUGAUCAUAAACUCACAUAUUCUCCACAUCUGAUUUUCUCUUCUUUUUUUUUUCUUCUUUUUUGUUUGAUUUCCCUUUUUUUUCUUUUCUUUUUUUUUUUUCCUUUUUCUUCCCUUUUUUUUUUUUGGAUUGCUUAGUCCCGAGCUGUUUAAAUCUUUUGACGUGAACUCUAACAUUUUUAGAUGAAAGAGCCCAGUUACUUAACUUUUCACUGCUCCAGGACCACUUACUCAUAGAUAUCGCCACUUUUUGACGCGAGAGCCGACACUUGUGGUGAAGACUCCCGGUUACUGGGUGGCGACACUAGCGGAGUAUAGCCAUACGUUAUUCACCAAUAAACACCAAAAUAUCAAGUAAUUAAAGAUCAUAGCCUGCGUCAUGUCCUAAAUAUGGAGAACUAAGGUAGACAGGAGACCAAUCCACACAACAAUGCCAGCCAAAUAUUUACAUUGCCUAAACAAGUUAGCCAUAAAUUGCACCAAGUCGUUAAACUCAAAAAAAAAUUCACCAAGACAGCAUGCUCUUACUUGCCAUCGAAACUCAAUUCAUAGUGUAAACUACAACUAGCAAUAAAUAAAUGAGCUGCCAAAAUAUUCACCAAGAUAACAGCAAGGGAAAAAUACCCAAAAGGGAUAAAGGAACAACACCUAAACAGAAAACAAGAGGAAAACAAUAAUAAAAAAAUGAAAAACUGAAAAUAUCCAGCACCCAAACUGACCCCCCCACACCUAAAAUGACGCAUUGACCUCAAUGCGAAAAGAUAAUAGCAGAAAAAGGGAAGGGGCAACGGUACUUCCCUGAAGUCGUCCAGACAAGGGAGGGUUAGGCGGAAACGGCGGAGGGAAACCGGCUUGCUGCAUAAAUGCCGCUAUACUCUGUGCCAUGCCGGCGACAUUAGUGUCAACAGUGACCAUCCGAGCCUUCAAAGCCUACGUUUCUGAAGCCUUUAUUGGGCCACAUAAAACGCGAUUGAAAACGCGCCUUCAACUCGCGUUUUCUAAGUCGCGUUUCCUUCACAAAACUUGCAGGACUUAAAACGCGAUUGAAAACGCGCCUCUAACUCGCGUUUUCUGAGUCGCGUUUCCUGCACAAAACUUGCAGAAAUGAAAACGUGACUGCAAAAAGCGCCUCCCACUCGCGUUUUCUGAGUCGCGUUUCCUGCACAAAACUUGCAGAAAUGGAAACGCGACUGUGCAGGUAAACGCGACUUCAAGUCGCGUUUUUGAAUCUUGACCCCUUCCUGCACUUUAUCACGCGGGCGCGUCAAGAGGAAAUGCCACCUACAUAUUAGCAACAACGAAAACUGAAACCCAAAAUCAGUCGAAUUCAAGGGAAAUAUAUUUAAACUAUCACACGAAAUCAAACAAACAAUUAAAAGAAACAAUUGGGUUGCCUCCCAAGUAGCGCCUUUCUUUAAUGUUUUUGGCUAGACAUGCUAUGCUUGUUCACGGGGGAUAAAAUCUUGUGGCUCGUUUCAAUGCUUCAUCUUCAAUAUGAUCCUGGUAACCCUCAUAGAUGGAGUAAUCUUUGAGCACACGAGUUACGGGCUUCCAUGGACUAGUAAAUGGCGUUAAACAAGUCAACAAUGAUCUGCAUUCUCCACUCACUCCUCCACCACACGCAUUCAUCGGUUCAAGAUAUUUUUUCAUUGCCACUCUUAACUUAUUCCUGUCAUGAAAUUUCAGAUUUUCUGGUAUAAUAAAAUCAAUUUCAGUAACAGGAAUUGAAGAGGAGGAAUUAGGAAAAUAUUGAUUAAGGAGUGGAGAAGAUGUCACCGCAUUUGGAAAUUGUUCACUGGAUUCAUUCACUUGAAUAAUUUGAUGUUGGAGUCUCAUGUCUUCCGCUUCAACUUCCUUUUCAACUGUAUCUUUGGAUCCUCCUUCUUGAGACUCUUGCAGUUCCAUAUCACUUGUCAGGAUAAUUGCACUCUCACCUUUCUUAGAGUCAUUGAUGGUCUGUGAGGGCAAGUCUGACAUGAAUGACGAUUGUUGAGACUCUUGCAGCUGAAAACUCAUUGGCCCCUCUUCAUAAUUAACGUUGGAGUUAUCCCACCAUCCUUGAUCAUACCGGUUUGAAUAAGGGUCAUACCACGUUUGAGAUCGAGGUGAAGAAUCUCCAAAUUUUUUUUUGAGAUAGUCACUCAGGUAGUCUUGAUAUUCGGGGCACAUACCGGUUGAAUGAUCCCUGGCAUAACAAAUUUCACAGGUUGCAGCAGCCAUUCUUUCUCUAACAGAGUUUAGUGCCUCUGCAUAUGCAGACCUCACAAAAAAACUAGCCUCAUUACCUUCCCCGGAAAUAAAAUCCAGUAUAUCACCAAAAUACGGAGUGUAAGAAACCAUAAACUAAAUAAAAAAAAAGAAUGUAAACAAGAUGAAUUGAAAAAGAAACAAAUAACUAGCGCCAGUCCCCGGCAACGGCGCCAAAAAUUGACAGGUGCCGAACCUGUACAAUAAUAAAUACCUACUCGAGAAAAAUACAGAUUUUGUAUAUAGCGGUGAAUAGGGUCGAAUCCACAGGGACUGGGGAUAAUUCGUUUCUUCUAGAGUCCAAAGUAUGGGGGGUUUUGGAUUGAAUGCUAACUAAAUAAAUUAACUGCAGAAAAUAAUUGAUUAAGAGAAAUAAUUAAGGGAAAACUCUAGCCAAGGGUACACUUCAGACAUGGUUCAGGCACUGAUCAUUGAUUCACACAUAAUUCCACAUUUAUUAAUAGACCAGUUAUAGUUGUCAUGCACGCGAUAAACAACCAACCUUUCCUUAAUUUCUCGAUAGUUAAGGUACGACCGUUAACUAUUUCUCUAACCCAAAAACAACCCUAAGUACGACCGUAGGAUUUAAUUUCUAGAUUGCAUUAAUAAUUAGAAAGGCCUAAUCCUAACUAACAAACACGCUACGAGGGUUUGUUUAAGUUAGAUCGUAUGCUCCCCUGACAUAAACUCAAUUACGCCAGUUGCUACUGAGAUAAAGAUAACGAACAAUUACGGAUUCAAUUAUCCCUAUUUAGCAAAAUAGCCUAUGUGAAUAAUUAAAUAUUGCGCAUCUAUUCAAUCACUCACACGAGCUAUAGCAAUUAAAAGCAGGAAACAUAUAAAUAUAAAUAAAUUAAGGAAGCAAUUAAAAUAAAUUAGAUCUCACAGUAAUUGUUGAACCAAAUCUUCAGUUGUCCCCUUGACUUGAAUUAAGAGGUUAGUUCUCCAUUAAUGGAGAACAACCAUGCGAAAGAGCUAAGAAAAGAAAACUCAAAACUCAACUAAAAACCUCAAACUAGUGAUUCAUUCCUCCCCGUUCUCUUGUACGUUUCUCCCUUUUUAAAGCCAAAAGGAAGUCUAAUGCUAUCUCUAGUGGUCCCCACACCAAAUUCAAAGUCUUGUACGUUUCUUUUCCUAGAGUCCAAAUGAUUCAUGCUUCUUAUCCGUGGUCCCCGCACAUGUGGACAAAGCCUUCCAAGUACUUCUUGUUCCAAGUCUCUUUCCGUAGCUUUCUUUGAAGAGCCCAAAUGACUUAUUAGCUUUUCACUAGCUUGUGGUCCCCACCACUCCAAGGGCCCAAGAAUUGAAGUCCUUAGAAGUCUCCCUAUUUUCCAUAAAGUCCUUCCUUUUUGGUAGUUUCCUGCUUCAUUCCUGAAAUUAAGUCCAGAUACCAAAUAUGAGUAAAUAUUAGCAAUUAACACAAUAUUUAUCAGGGAUGAAAGGGGAAAUUAAUAAUAAAAUUACUAACAAAUUAUACCCUAUCAAUCUAGUUCAUGAUUUUCUAGUAAAAUGCCUCAAGCACCCAAAAUUUUACGUAAACUUGAGUAAGCAUGUAUUUCAUAUCUGUAGAACUUGCCAUUUGUGAAACCUGCUUUAGAUAUGAAUUGUGGUAUGCAACAGCACGCUAGGAAUGUUUGGCUAAGCAACUUAUGUAAAUAUUUUAUCGUUAAGCAAAGUUCCUCCUUUCAUGUCUGUCAUUCUAUGCAAACCUCCUUUUAUCGUUAAGCAACUUAUGUAAAUAUUUUAUGUAAAUAUUUUGGUUUUCUUACUUUCCCAUCCAUAUCUAAUCCAAAUAUGACAAAUGAGAACUAUUUUCCUCUACUCUCCUUUCCUUUCUUUUUUACUAGGAUGUUUUAUUUAUUUAUUUAUCCUUUCCUUUGAUCCAAAUGGUUCCUAAAAGGGCACUAAUUAAUCUACAUUGAUCAGUUCCCUAUAUUUGUAUUAAUGUGCAUGUACACGAUUCUGUGAAUGACAAUUAGGCUAGAUUGCUUCAAAUCUUGUGAAUGACAGAGCUAGAUUGUAAAUUUAAGUUGAAGAAAUAUAAAACAAAAAGAAAAAGAAAAUGGAUUGGCUCCUUUAAGAGUAUCAGACUUCUAAACCCCAAGGAUUACAUAAUUUUCAUAUCCUUUGCCACACAAAGAAGUGGCAUAGCCUUAACAAUGAAGUGUUGGAAAAACUCCAGAAGGACUGUGCAAUCCAUGAAAUCACAAAAUCCGCUUGCUAUACCAUGCAUUAAUGUGUAUGUCCUUGAUGAUUAACAUAAUGAAAUCAUGGUUCUAGGCCUUGAAGGAAGGAAUAAGAGCGAAAGUGGAGCUAGCAACAAAAUUUGCAAUCAGUUAUCAGGAUGGGAAAUUUGAUGUAUGUGGUGAUCCAGCCUAUGUGAGGGCUUGUUGUGAAGCGAGUUUGAAGCGGCUUGAUGUGGACUGCAUUGAUCUCUAUUAUCAACAUCGCAUCGAUACACGUGUGCCCAUUGAAGUCACGGUUUGCUCCAUUUUGCCUUUCUUGUUUUUUAGCUCCACCUCAUUCUUGAUGAAACAAAAGUUUGAUCAACUCCAAAUUUAGAAUAAUUCAGUUUCAUGUCCGUUUCAAUUCUUCAAAAAUUGCACAGAAAAGUUAGUCAACCUUAUGGUCUAGGCUAAUCUGCAGUAUGGUAUUGCUGAAUUAGCACAAGGCAUCCUGAAAAGUGAAAACAAUGAAAAUGUCUUAUAUUAGCUUGACAGUCCUGCUGAGGGAUAUACAGGUUGAUAUCAUGCUAUACAUUAUACAGCUUUCGUUUAGAACCAAGAGACCUGAGCAUUCUUUUUCAUUUGAGAUAGGCUAUCCAGUUGAGAUAUACUAUUUACUUACCUUGUCAAUCGUUUUCAGUCGGUGCCAAAAGCACUGCAGAUAGACGUUUUUUAGUCAAUAUCUAAAAACAUGGUACUCAUUUUGUUCAGAGUAUAGCUUUUUGUCUAAUUGUGAAAGCCAACUGCAACUGCCUCAUUGACCUCUCCAAGCAAUUCAAAGAUUUCAGCAGCUUGCUUACAUUAAGCUUUUAUGAAACGAUUUCUCUGUCUUCUUUUUCUCAUGUAGUCAGCAAAGAAUUGUCUUGUUUUCCCUGAGUAUUAGGAAGAAACUUUCUUGCAGUUUAAUCACUCAAAAUACAGGCAAGUAUAAAGGAAAUCAAGCAAAAUUGGCAACUGAUAAUUGCUGCGUACAGCCAUUAUUAUAUAUAUAAGUCAACAAUGUCAUGUAAUCAUAUUGGAGGAGCAUUAUGUUGGCAUGGUCCAGUAGAACUAAGUCAUCCGUUGGGCUGUACAUAGAGAACUAUCACUGGAUGCUUAUUGCCAUUUUCAUCAACUAGGGAUUUCAGUUUGACGUAUACUUUGUCCAAGACUUCGUUGAACUAGUGCAACUUUUACUUGUUCCACGUAAUAUUUCGAUUAUCUGCCUAAGUAUUGAAUGUAAUAAAUCAGCUUCGCAUCUUCUUGUCCAUUGAAAUUCUCUAGAUUGGAGAGCUCAAGAAACUGGUUGAAGAGGGUAAAAUAAAGUAUAUAGGUCUGUCUGAGGCCUCAGCUUCAACAAUUCGAAGAGCACAUGCUGUUCAUCCAAUAACAGCUGUACAGUUGGAGUGGUCAUUGUGGACCAGAGAUGUCGAGGAAGAGAUUAUUCCCGCUUGCAGGUAGUGCGUAUAUUCUGCUGCAUUUUCUACAUGGUCUAGAAGAAAUAUGAAGUUCUCAAUUCAGUUUUUGGUAUAAUCUUUCAGAGAUCUUGGCAUAGGGAUUGUUGCAUAUAGUCCACUUGGACGAGGUUUCUUCUCAUCAGGUCCAAAGCUGAUCGAGAAUUUGGCUGAAGGUGACUUCCGAAAGGUUUGUGCAUAGCCAAAAAGAUUGUUUAUAGUUCGAAUAAGUUUCUCACUCAGUGGCAAUCUUGCUUGAUCACAUUUAAUCAAAUUUCUAUUAAGCAUAGCAAUUCAACGGGUUUUUUUUUGUUUUCUUCUUGAACAAGUCUUGAACUCUUUAGUUUGAUUCAAUGAAUGCAGAUUUUGGUGUCCUCGGUACUUAGUUCAAAUUAAAAGAUAUAGCACUAGCUUUGUCAAAUUUUAGAUCUUAUAUGAAUUGAAGGUUGUUAUUGCAUGCUGGAAAUUUAUAUAGAGGACAACAAUCGCAAGCAAUGGAUGGUAUUGAAUUUUAAAGUGCAAAGACGUCCUAAGAUGUCAAAACAGGAAGAAACUAUGCCAGUUUUUAAGUAAAAGUCUCUUUACUGUUUUGAGGGGAAAUGGGCCUUAGACUUCAAUUUCAUCAUUUAGUCUCAGGCACAGAACUUAUGUUGUCUUGUGAAACUAUCAUUUUUCUUUUACCAUUAAUCCUAAAACUGAGUUUCAUUGGUCAGAACUCAGAAGUAUACUUCAUAGUUGAUUUGUAUUUUAAGUUUCCUCUUUGAUGGGAAAUAUAUCUCAGAACUUAACUCCAACAGUUGAUGAUUCCUACUUGGGAGUAUUCAGUCCACCUUGAUGCAUUGUUCUUUCCCCUGAACUUGUGCCCUUCAAACAAUAUUUCUGAUCAUCUUGAAGUAAUUAGUACCGUCUGUUCAUUACUCCCUUCUGAUUUCUUGCAUUAUAGUUUCCUCUUUAAUGGGAAAUGUAUCGCAGGAUCUACCUUCUACAAUUGAUGUUUCUUUCCCCUGAAGUUAUUCGUAACGUCUUCUGGCAUUAUAGUUGCUUAAAUUUUGAAAUUCAUACAAUGCAGUAUAUGCCAAGGUUUCAAGCAGAGAAUUUGGAGCACAACAAGAACUUGUACGAGCAGGUCAAUGCCAUUGCUUCAAGGAAGGGUUGUACUCCAUCACAGCUAGCACUGGCCUGGGUCCAUCACCAAGGCAAUGAUGUUUGCCCCAUACCGGGCACUACCAAGAUUGAGAACCUCAAUCAGAAUAUAGGAGCUUUGUCUGUAAAACUGUCUGCAGAGGAAAUGGCGGAACUUGAAUCCAUCGCUUCUGCAGGAGUCAAGGGUGAUAGGUAUGGGCCUGGCCUUGUUACUUGGCAAACUUCUGAAACUCCACCUUUGUCAACCUGGAAGAGGACAUGAAGACAUAUCUUUGUUAUGGCAAUAAUUCCUUCUAGCUAUGUGCCUGAGGGUGGAUUUCAGUAUAUUGACAGUUGAGUGACGUAUUUGUUCCAAUAAAUUUCGUCAUACUAUUGUCUCGAGGUUUUAGGCAAGUAAAGUUAUAAGAAGAAUGCGUUAAAGGUUUCUUCAGAGGUUGUACUGAAUAAAAAUCUGAUCAUGUAAAAAUAGAACAUAAUUUUCCUUGCAGUUGAAUGCGUUAAAGGUUAGCUAUUCUAGUUUUGAAUGCUAUAGCAGUCCAUUUCUUAUAUGCUACACUGUUACAAGAGAUAUAGACUGUCGAACAGCAUUUUAUGGUCGGAAUGUUUACAUCAAAAGCAUCUCCAAGGACAUGUCAUUCUAAAGUGUAUAAACUACAUCAUACCAACAAAAAGCAGAAAAAGGCCUAAGGUAUGGGAUAUUUCUAAAAUUUCAUGGGAGGCUUGUGAUAGCAAAAACUUCUGAAAUUGUCCCUUGAACUAAACUGAAAGACAGACAAUGGUAAGAUUUUAAGCAUGUCUUGUUAAGUUAAAAGGUUAAAACUUUACAUACAAAUAAAUGGUCAAAUUCACUUUAAAAUUGUGGUGUCAUCUUCCACCUUAAACUUUUGUACUAUCCAAGUUUGUUUUAAUUCCUUUGGGAAAAUGAAACAUCGAAUGCAUUCAAAAAAAUGGAAAGGAAAUGGCUUACCUUUGCACUUACGUAUCCAAUUCCAAUUUGAACAUUACAUCAUCCAUCCAAUUGAAAACAAACUCCUAUGGAGAUUUUUUUUUUUCCUUUAUUUUGUUAUUAGAUCUGAAUUUAUUUCACAUUUGGUUGUCAGAUCUAAAAUUUUUUUCAAAGUUUGAAUCUAUUUCAAUAUAUUUCAUUAUCAUUAUUGAAACUUAAAACAGUUUAUUAACAAAUCUGGCGAUUGCCAUAUGUACGAAAGGGAGACACUUUUAAAAUUCUUUAUAUUUUUUUAGAUCUGUUUGUAAUUUUCAAUUCUACUGUAUCUGUUAAAUUAUGAUCUGUAAUUUUUAAUGCAUGUUUGACCUACCAUUAGGGGAGUUAUGUAAAUCAAAUCAUGUUAGAUGAUUUCCAAAAAAAACUUAACCGUUAAUUUCUCUUCCCCGUUUUAUUUGUCCACUCUUCAAUUGUCAAUAACUCUUUUAAGAUACUUUGUAAUACAAAAUCAACUAAAACCGGUAGAAUCUGUAAUUAAUAGCAGUAUUCAUAUCAUGUUUUUGUAUAUUACUCGUACAUCUAAUUAGUCACAUUUGGAGAAAGAAAAAAAAAAGAUGAAAAUAAAAUUCCCCGAAUUUUGUGGUUUUUUUUGGUGCCUUGUUUAAUCUCUAAUUUUGUUUUUUGGGUUUUUAUUUUAAUCGAUUUUGGUUAUAGAGAUUAAGUUUCUCAGCCCGAUUAAUCGGUUAAUUAAUUAAACAUGGUUUGAGUUGGGUUGGUUUAGAGAUUUGGUUUAUAAAAGGACACUUGGCAAGUUUAGAAGGGGUGGGAUAGGGAAUGAGACAGGGUGUGAUACAGAGAUCCGUUGCGCAUGGCGAGCCACAUUUAAAAAUUGGUUCCUACCAUAAAGCCUAUCAUGUCCUGACACAAGAUGGACUGUUUUUUUAAAUUUUUUUUGAAAGCAAGUGAAAAGUGUUGCAACUCAGGACUUGGAUAGUAAUUUUAAAAUUUAAUAGUGCACCUACCUUUUAACUUUUUUCGUGUGCUUUUAAGGUAUCAAAUGGGGAAAAAAACCAAUACCAUAUAACUUCAAAUGCAAGAUGGUACGAAAUUUGUUAAUAUGGAGAUGUUAAUAUACAUUGACAUGUAAAAAGUGCACUUUUAUCAAAAAGAUAUUUAUACUAAUAUUACAGUCAUUUUUUUUUCGAAAAUUCAACUUUUCAUGCAAAUAUGUAAUCAAUAUGCAUAAAUAGAUAGCAUUAGAUGAAUUUAAACAAGUAGCCUUCAAAUUUAAAAAUAUUUGAUUUCGUAAAUGUGCAUUCGCGAUUUAGAAAAAGUACUUUUCAAAUGGCAAAUCUAGAGAGCAAUAAAUACUCCUAGUUUAUUUUGAUUUUAAAUCUUCUUUUGACUUGUCAAAAAAGUGAAAACAUGAAACUAAUAAUGGGUCAGAUGCAGAUGAGUAUUAGAAAUUUGUUUUCUAGACUCUUUGGUCUCGCAAUUUUUUCAACAAUCAACUCCGACCAUUAUCACGGUCAUGUGAUUGUAGGUCUACCAGGUUUCGUAGUCCACGACAUGGAUUGGAUAUGUUGAUUAGCUGCCACCUUUUGGCGGAGGUGAGGUUCAAACCUCACCUGUAGUAAAAAAAAAAAAUUUAAGGGUUGUGUCAUAGUACUUUCUUGAUUUAGUUGAAUAUGUAUAUCCACUAACACCUAACACAAGUCUCCUUAUGCUCCCCUAGAUUAGGAUAGAAUAGGAUAUACAAUUGUAUCGUUGCCGAAAAAAAAUAUUAGUUGCCACCCUAUUGUCAUUAUUUUUCUUUUGUCAAUCAGCAACGUCUAUUCUAUUCAUAGUUAUUAAACCCGGCCCGGGAAGGAGUCCGGUGAAAGAGCUGAGUCAACGGGUUACUGGUUUAACCGGUGGGUGAGUGGUCCAACCGUUAGGUCACUACAUAUAUUUAAAUAUUAUGUUUUAUAAUUUUUUACGCCAUAAUAAAUAUUCAGUUAGUUUAAUUUAUUAUAGAUUCAUUAAUUUUUAUAAGAAUUAACAACCUAAAUUUAAUUAGUAAUCCACCAACUUUCAAGUAUAAAAUUUUAUCUCAGUGUAAUUAUCUAGUUUAUUUAUGAAUUUUAAGUGCAAAAGUUUAUUAAGAAUAAUAUUGGCCUUUAAAAUGAUUUGUGUAAUAUGUUAUUUUUAAGUCAAUUUCAUAAUUUAUAGAGUUCAGGGAAUAAUAAAAAUAUUAUUAAAAGAUUCCAAAUAACUAAUACUCUAAUAUAUAGUAUAAGAACAAAAUAAUUAAUAUAUGGUUGGCUGGUCUAGUGGUAAUGGUAGUCUACUUUUUUGCAUGAGAUCACGUGUUCGAAUCUCCAUUCUAGCAAUAUUUAUACAUUUUUUUCUUUUUCGUAGAACGGGUUCAAUGUUGAAACGAUCUUAUCAAGAACUCGGCUCGGUUUCAUGGCCGGUUUACCGGAUUGAUCGAUUGAACUGCCGGGCCGGGUCGGAUUUAAUAACUAUGAUUCUACUUCUAUUUUGAUUUCUAUUUUAGGGGAAGGGGAGGUCCAAUUGAAAAAUUGAUAGCUAUUGAACCAUCAUCGGAUAAAAUGAGUGCACUAUGCACGUAUGCGAAUCUAGGAGAAGCCGGCGCAAUGAUGGGAGGCAAUGUUUGAAUUUUUACCUGUCAUUCCACUAAGAUUUAUAGUCUUUGGUGGUGGCUAAUCACCCAAAGAGCUGUUGGUUAGCUCCCACCCUAUUAGAAACUAAAGGUUUUCAACCUUCUAAAAAAAAUGUUUUUGACUUUAAAAAAAAAUGUUUUUGUUUUUGUUUUUUCAAAAAUUAUUUUCAUCUAUCACCAACGGCAGUCAUGGGUUAUUUAUCCAAACAUAGAUCCGAACAACACUAAUCUCUCAGCAGCCAUCCCCUCAUUCCUUCUUGUAUCCUUUUUAUGAAUAGGAUUCAUCUUUUUGGUGUUCUAAAAUCACAUUUAAAAAGUUUUUUUCCCGAAAGUGUUAUUAUUUAGGAUGUGAAUGUUAAUUUUAAAAUUUUAAUAGUGGACCUAAAAAAAACUUGUAAAUUUUACAUAUGAGCACAAAGGGAAAAAAAACACCACAUAACUUCAAGUCCAAGAUUGUAUGCAGUUUGUCCAAUAAAUAGAUAUUCAUAAUUCAUAAUUUCAUAUAUACAUGUUAACUAAAAGCGUUAAUCACAAUCCAAUUAUAUUGAUCUGUUCAAACCCGUUCACUAAUAAUCCGUCCAAAUUGGCCCAUUAACUUUAAAUGGGUUAAAGUGAGUAUAUAAGUAAACCCAUUUAAUUGGUGGAUAGUUGAUUGAUUCGUCUUACCCAUUUAUACCUAUUUAAAAAUAAAUAUACAUUUAAACUCAAAUUUUACUAAAUGUUAAGAAGAUAAAUUUGAAUUUCCUACGAAUCUAAUAAUAAUAAAAUAUCAUUUUUCUUGUCAAACAACAUGUGAAAUAUAAAAAAAAAAGUAGAAUUUCAAAUUAAUCAUAAAUGAGUAAUUGAGUAUUCUCAUAUCUAUUUGUUAAAUGGAUAUAAAUGAAUUGAUUCAAUUAUAACUAUUACUCAACUAGAAUCCGCUCAAACCCGUCUAAGUUAAUCAUUUGACACCCCUAAUGUUAAUAUAUAUUGACAAGUGAAAAGUGCAGCAUUUAUCACGAAGAUAUACUUAUUUAUCUCAAUAUUAAAGUCAUUUUUUCAUUACAAAAAUAUUGAUAAUUUCAUAAUUUCAUGGAAGUAUGUAACCAGUGACAUAACAUAGUCGCCAGUGGCGAAUCUUGUCACGAGUCCUCUUUUCAACACUUUGAUUAUGGGAUACACUUUUAACAAUAUGCCCCCACGUUGUUUUUCGAUCACUUUUUUUUUUUAAACCUCACAUUCGUUCGUUAUGUAUGUAUAAUUUCUUUUCAAAAAACUCCAAAAAAGUGGCAGCCCAAACGGGGCCAACAAUCUACUAUGUUCGGCUGUUCUCCCGCCGGACCCACCGCCGGCGGCCAAUAGCCGCCGGACCCACCGGCCGCCGGCGGCCAUGGCCAUGGGUCAUCUAUAAAAGCAUAGAUCAAGACUACACUAAUCCCUCAUCAGUCCAGUCCAUCCAUACUUCUUCUUCAGGCCUCAGCUACUAAACAAUAAACUCUGCUCCACUCAAUUCUUUCCUCUGUUUCUUGUGGUUUUUGUCUGAAAAUGGCGGCAUCAGAAGAAGUGAAAGUGCCAAGAAUCAAGCUGGGGUCGCAAGGUUUUGAAGUUUCAGCUCAAGGGCUGGGCUGCAUGGGCAUGUCAGCCUUCUACGGGCCGCCAAAGCCCGAGCCUGAUAUGAUCAAACUCAUCCACCAUGCUAUUAGCAGAGGCAUCACCCAUCUUGACACCUCCGAUAUCUAUGGACCUCACACCAACGAAAUACUCAUUGGCAAGGUACCGUAUUUGCAAAUUUUCUGCUGUUGUGUGCCAUGCAUAAACUCUUGUACUUCUAAUUUCUAAAAGAGCAUAUUUGUAAGUAUUUUAGUUGGGUAUAUUAUAUUUAAACCCCUGCACUUGAAAUCUUGUCGCCCUUUAUAUUAUAUACGACAACUGGUCACAUCAAAGUGAAAGAGGAGGGCACUGUAAUUUUUUAUAUUGAAAGGUAUUUAUGUGUAAUUAUCAGAAACUUCAGGGGAGGUUUCUGAAAUUAUCCCUAAUAUUUAUACUAUAUAUAAAGGGAGCCUUAAAUUUGGUGUAAACCUUUUUUUGUCAUCUUUUAGAUUUCCAGCUUCACCCUCUCGAUCACUUAAUCAUACCACCAUAUUGCUAAUCAGCUUAACCACAAAUUAACUUUCACCCCAAUUAUCUAAAUAUAUAUUGCCUACAUAACUACCUACAAACAUUGUAACCAACAAGUUAAUUAAAAUUCUAUUAAAGAACUAUUUUUUUGACAAAUAUUCAAAAAACUAGUAAAAGAACUAUAUUGUCUCCCUUAAUUUUGUUUGUCAGCACUUAAACUCCAUCUGUUUAAAUUGUAAGUAUUAUUAGUCAAAUAAGACAAUAAUAUUCUUCAUUUUUUCAGAUGUUUGUCCUCAAUUGUAAGAGAAGGUCGUAGGUCUAGCACAUACGUUGAAUAGCUGUAUCCGAUUAGAAGGAUUUAGAACUCUUCUACCAUCUCUUUUUUUUUUUCUUUUGUUUUUUCCUUCAAAAUUCUACAUCAUAAUGGAGUUGGUAAAAUAGUACUAUUUUCGUCUUUGAAGUUAAAAUUGUCAUCAAUUUAUGGAAAGUUUACUAUUACUCUGAUAAGAGAUGUUAAAAUUUACUUUUUACGAGCACUAAAGUUUUAAAGAUUAUGAAAAGAGAAUUGUAUGAAGGAAUAGAAGGGAAAAGAAAGGUAAGAAAAUGGAUGGAUUGUGUUUGGAUUGAUUUUGGGUGGGGAAAGGAGAGGAAACGGAAAGAAAAGGAAAUGGAUGGAUUGUGUUUUGCUCAGACAUCAUUUCCAUACAAAAAUAGACGGAAACAGAGGGAAAGAAAAUCUAGUUGAUGAUUUUCUUAUAAAAUGCCUCAAGCACCCAAAUUUUACAUAAACUUGAGUAACCAUGUGUUUCAUAUCUGUAGAACUUGCCAUUUGUGAAACCUGCUUUAGAUAUGAAUUGUGGGAUGCAACAGCAGGCUAGGAAUGUUUGACUAAGCAACUUAUGUAAAUAUUUUAUCGUUAAGUGAAGUUCCUCUUUUGCUGUUCAAAAAAAAAAAAAAAAAGAGAGAGAGAAAAACCAUUCCUUUAAUGUCUGUCAUUCUACCAAACAGCAGAUUUAGGUUUUCUUUCUUUCCCAUCCAUAUCUAAUCCAAAUAAGGCAAAUGAGAACUAUUUUCCACUACUCUCCUUUCCUUUCUUUUUCACUAGGAUGUUUUAUUUAUUUAUUUAUCCUUUCCUUUGAUCCAAAUGGUUCCUAAAAGGGCCCUAAAUAAUUAUUCUACAUUGAUCAGUUCCCUAUUUUUGUAUUAAUUUGCAUGUGCACGAUUCUGUGUAUGUUCAUGUUGUGCAUCAAAUCUUGUGAAUGACAAAGCUAGAGUGUAAAUUUAAGUUGAAGAAAUAUAAACCAAAAAAGAAAAUGGAUUGGCUCCUUUAAGAGUAUCAGACUUCUAAACCCCAAGGAUUACAUAAUUUUCAUAUCCUUUGCUAUACAAAGAAGUGGCAUAGCCUUAACAAUGAAGUGCUGGAAAAACUCCAGAAGGACUGUGCCAUCCAUGAAAUCACAAUUCCGCUUGCUAUACCAUGCAUUAAUGUGUAUGCCCUUGAUGAUUAAUAUAAUGAAAUCAUGGUUCUAGGCCUUGAAGGAAGGAAUAAGAGCGAAAGUGGAGCUAGCAACAAAAUUUGCAAUCAGUUAUCAGGAUGGGAAAGUUGAUGUACGUGGUGAUCCAGCCUAUGUGAGGGCUUGUUGUGAAGCGAGUUUGAAGCGGCUUGAUGUGGACUGCAUUGAUCUCUAUUAUCAACAUCGCAUCGAUACACGUGUGCCCAUUGAAGUCACGGUUUGCUCCAUCUUGCCAUCCACCUCAUUCUUGAUGAAACAAAAGUUUGAUCAACUCCAAAUUUCGAAUAAUUCAGUUUCAUGUGCGUUUCAAUUCUUCAAAAAUUGCACAGAAAAGUUAGUCAACCUUAUGGUCUAGGCUAAUCUGCAGUAUGCUAAAUCUUAUUUAGCACCAGGCACCCUGAAAAGUGAAAACAAUGAAAAUGUCUUAUAUUAGCUUGGCAGUCCUGCUGAGGGAUAUACAGGUGGAUAUCAUGCUAUACAUUGUACAGCUUUCCUUUAGAAGCAAGAGACCUGAGCAUUCUCUUUCAUUUGAGAUAGGCUAUCCAGUUGAGUAAUGAUAUGCUAUUUACUUACCUUGUCAUUCGUUUUCAGUCGGUGCCAAAAGCACUGCAGAUAGAAGUUUUUUAGUCGAUAUCUAAAAAACGUGGUACUCAUUUUGUUCAGAGUAUAGCUUUUUGUCUAAUUGUGAAAGCCAGCUGCGACUACCCCAUUGACCUCUCUAAGCAAUUCAAAGAUUGCAGCUGCUUGCUUACAUUCAGCUUUUAUGAAAACAAUUUCUGUCUUCUUUUUCUAAUAUAGUCAGCAAAGAAUUGUCUUGUUUUUCCUGAGUAUUAGGAAGAAACUUUCUUGCAGUUUAAUCACUUAAAAUACAGGCAAGUAUAAAGGAAAUCAAGGAAAUUGACAACUGAUAAUUGAUAUGUACAGCCAUUAUUAUAUCUAGACGAAGUCAACAAUGUCGUGUAAUCAUAUUGGAGGAGCAUUAUGUUGGCAUGGUCCGGUGGGCUGUACAUAGAGAAGUAUCACUGGAUGCUUAUUGCCAUUUUUGUCAAUUAUUGAUUUCAGUUUGACGUAUACUUUGUCCACGACUUCAUUGAACUAGUGCAACUUUUACUUUUUUGCACGUAAUAUUUCGAUUAUCUGCCUAAGUAUUGAAUGUAAUAAAUCAGCUUUGCAUUUUCUUGUCCAUUGAAAUUCUCUAGAUAGGAGAGCUCAAGAAACUGGUUGAAGAGGGUAAAAUAAAGUAUAUAGGUCUGUCUGAGUCCUCAGCUUCAACAAUUCGAAGAGCACAUGCUGUUCACCCAAUAACAGCUGUGCAGUUGGAGUGGUCAUUGUGGAGCAGAGAUGUCGAGGAGGAGAUUAUUCCCACUUGCAGGUAGUGCAUAUAUUCUGCUGCAUUUUCUACGUGGUCUAGAAGAAAUAUGAAGUUCUUAAUUCAGUUUUUGGUAUAAUCUUUCAGAGAGCUUGGAAUAGGGAUUGUUGCAUACAGUCCACUUGGAAGAGGAUUCUUCUCUUCAGGUCCAAAGCUGGUCGAGAAUUUUACUGAAGGUGACCGCCGAAAGGUUUGUGCAUAUCCAAAACUAUGGAGUUUUUGAGUAUAGAUUGUUUAUAGUUCGAAUAAGUUUCUCACUCAUCUAGUUUUACCACAUUCAGUGACAAUCUUGCUUGAUAUCCCUAUUCUUGUCUAUCUGUCAUAUGUUGCUGCACUUUUUGAUGUCCAAUAAUUUGAUUAAGCCUUAUAAUAUGAUCACAUUUAAUCAAAUUUCUAUUAAGCAGAGCAAAUCAACAGGCUUUUUUUUUUUUCCUGUCGAACAAGUCUUGAGGUCUUUAGUUGAUUGAAUGAAUUCAGAUUUUGGUGUCCUCUGUAUUUAGUUCAAAUUAAAAGAUAUGGCGCUAGCUUUGUCAGAUUUUAGAUCUUAUAUUAAUUGAAGGUUGUUAUUGCAUGCUGGACAACAAUCACAAGCAAUCGAUAGUAUCGAAUUUUAAAGUGCAAAGAUGUCCUAAGACGUCAAAACAGGAAGAAACUAUGUCACUUUUUAUGUAAAAGUCUCUUUUCAGUUUUGAGGGGAAGUGGACCUUGGACUUCAAUUUCAUCAUUUAGUCUCAGGCACAGAAUUUCAUCAUUUUGUCCUGUGAAACUAUCAUUUUUCCUUUACCAUUAAUCCUAAAACUGAGUUUCAUUGGUCAGAAGUGUACUUCUUAGUACAAACAAUAGUUGAUAUGCAUUUUAAGGUUCCCCUUUGAUGGGAAAUGUAUCUCAGAACUUAACUCCAACAGUUGAUGUUUCCUACUUGGAUUAUUCAGUCCACCUUGAUGCAUUGUUCUUUGCCCUGAACUUGUGUCCUUCAAACAAUAUUGCUGAUCAUCUUGAAGUAAUGUACCGUCUGUUCAUUUCUCCCUUCUGAUUUCUUGCAUUAUAGUUUGCUCUUUAAUGGGAAAUGUAUCUCAUGAUCUACCUUCUACAAUUAAUGUUUCUUAAGAGUACUCAGUCCAGCUUACUGGAUUGUUCUUUCCCCUGAACUUUGUACACCUCAAACAAUACUAUUGAUCAUCUUGAAGUUAUUCAUAUUGUCUUCAUUUGUAGACGACACAUGCUUCACUUCCUUUUGCAUUUCUGGCGUUACAGUAGCAUAAAAUUUUGAAAUUCAUACAAUGUAGGGUAUGCCAAGGUUUCAAGCAGAGAAUUUGGAGCACAACAAGAACUUGUACGAGCAGGUCAAUGCCAUUGCUUCAAGGAAGGGUUGUACCCCAUCACAGCUAGCUUUGGCCUGGGUCCAUCACCAAGGCAAAGAUGUUUGCCCCAUACCUGGCACUACCAAGAUUGAGAACCUCGAUCAGAAUAUAGGAGCUUUGUCUGUGAAACUGUCGGCAGAGGAAAUGGCGGAACUUGAAUCUAUUGCUUCGGCUAUCAAGGGUGAGAGAUACGAGUCUGACGCUGGGCUUGGUACUUGGAAAACUUCUGAAACUCCGCCUUUGUCAACCUGGAAGCGGACAUGAAGACAUACCUUUGUUAUGGCAAUAAUUCCUUCUAGCUAUGUGCCUGAUGGUGGAUUUCACUAUAUUGAGAGUUGAGUGAUAUGUAAUUGUUCCAAUAAAUUUUGACAUACUAUUGUCUCUAGGGCUAUGUCAAGUAAAGUUAUAAGAAGAAUGGAGUAUCUUCAGAGAGGUUGUAAUAAAUAAAGAUCUGGUCAUGUAAAAGCAGAAUAUAAUUUUCCUUGCAGUUGAAUGCAUUAAGAGUUAUAUAUUGUACUUUUGAAUGCUAAAGUGGUCCAUUUUUUAUGUGCUACUGCUACGAGAGUUAUAGAUUGUUGAACAGCAUUCAAUUCAGGACUUAUUAAACAUAAGCAUAUAAACAUUUUAUUCUCGGAAUAUUUACAUCAAAAGAAACUCCAAGGUCACAUCAUUGUAAAGUGUAAACUAUAUCAUAUUAAUAAAAAGCAAAAAAAAAAUGUCUAAAUGAGGAAAAAAAUGUACUAUAGAAGAAGUCAACAAUGUCAUGUAAUCAUUUUUUCCUAAAAUUGAGAUUCAAAUUUAGUUGAUUUGUAUUUUGAGUUUCCUCUUUGAUGGGAAAUGUAUCUCAGAACUUUAACUCCAGCAGUUGAUGUUUCCUACUUGGAGUACUCAGUCCACCUUGAUGCAUUGAUCUUUCCCCUGAACUUGUGCCCGUCAAACAAUAUUUCUGAUCAUCUUGAAGUAAUUAGUACCAUCUGUUCAUUACUCCCUUCUGAUUUCUUGCAUUAUAGUUUCCUCUUUAAUGGGAAAUGUAUAUCAAGAUCUACCUUCUACAAUUGAGAUUUCUUAGAGUACUCAGUCCACCUUACAAGACUGUUCUUUUCCCUGAACUUUGUUCACUUCAAACAAUACUAUGAUCAUCUUGAAGUUAUUCGUAUUGUUGUCUUUUGUAGACGACACAUGCUUUACGGCCUUUUGAAUUUCUGCAUUGCAGUUGCUUAAAUUUUGAAAUUCCUACAAUGUAGAAUAUGCAGGUAGAGAAUUUGGCAAAAAUUCAACGAAUACUAGUUGUGGGCAUCUGAAAAUGGUUAUAGAUGACAAGGGACGAUGAUUUUACUUGGAAACUUGGGUUUUUACAUUCUUGUGGUAUGUAUUACUAUACAAAAAUGGUAAAAUUAAAACAUAACCAAGUUUUGGGGUUAAAUAAGAAAUUUGAGAUAACAGGUUAGCUAAAUUUUUAAAGUGAGCCAAAGCACAAGGACUUAAUACUACAUGUUUUACUAAAAUGGGACCCACAUCUCUAAAUUCAGGCCUGUCAAGUUCAUCGAGGCGCUUCGUUUGCAAACGGACCCAUUUGUCAGCCCAAAUCAUCAAACGCUUCCUUCCUCCCCUUUUUAUUUAAUACUAGUGCGGUGUGAUUUUCAAUAUUGCCCAUAAAUGCCCAAUCAUUCAAAUUUAGAUAUUAAAUAUGAAAAGUUACAUAAAAAUGCAUUACUAUCUUUGCAGUUAUGUUUUUGUAAUUUUAUUAAAUAGUAAAAAUAAGCUACAGUCUUAGCUUUUCAUAGUUUUAGAAGUUUUUUUUCAUAAAAGGAACUUUAAAAUAAUAUACAAUCAUACAAAAUGAAAAUAAAAUCCCCAAACAGUCAUCUUGCAACUAAAAGAUGGUGGGACAUAACAUCAUAAUAAAAGAUAUCUUGUUGUUAGCAUCCUAUACAUUAGCUAAACAAUCUACCAUCUGAUUUGCUUCACUGCUUACAUGCUUUGAUCAAGACUUGCUGCCAAAAUACGAUAAGACACCUACAAUCAGAUAUAACCAUAGCACAUUGUAAAUAGCAGUAUCAUAUUGGUUUAAAAGAUUAAAAAUAUUAAUAGCAUAAACUUCUAAUUCCAGUUUGUAGCAAUAAUGAUCUAUGAAGAUUGGAAGCUAUUCCUGAUCGUUUACUGAUCCGAUGGUCCAAAAUCCAUAUUAAUUCCUUACAACUACAGCAACUCCAAGAUUGCCUUUUGAAACCCUACCAGUGAUAAGUUUUCAAAAGCCAUCCUUAGGACGAGUCUCUAUAGAAUCAUAACUUCAUAUUUUUCCCUAGCCAUGGUCUGUUUGGGUUCUGAGGAGUAAUUAGAGGUAUUCAAAAGAGGAAAGGAUUGCGGUUUGCCAACAUAGAAAGAUUAGAUUCGUUUUGAUAAUUCAAUGAGGACCAACCAGUGAAAGAAAUCACAAUGCCCCAAAGAACUUGAAAAAUGGUGAAGGGUUUUUUGCUAGGUAUGCUUUUUUUUUUUUUCAUUCAUUCCUCACAGCUUAAAUGAUGAUCAAUACCAAUCUCCCAAGACAAGCGUCCAUGUAAUAAAAUCAGUAAACAGAAUAACUUUUCAAUUUAACUUGAGAGAAGAAAAUGUACAACCGAAGCAAAUCUCACGAGGAAUAGAAAAAACCACUGUUUGGAUAUAUAACUGAAGCUCAUUUCUCAGCACAUCUUUAUCAAUAAUACAAUCAAGAUAUGCCAAAUUAGGUGAGAGAAACUAUUAGGUGAGAGAUGUUACAAAUCUAAGAGAACAUCAUGUUUUGUAAAUACAUAUUUAAAUCAACUAAAACUGAAUUUUCUAACAAGAAUUUCUAAGCUACCAAACAUCAUAGUCUAUGAUUAAAGAGGCAAAACUACAGUUAUGCAGUAAGUUAAUUCUUUUUUCGGCAAAUGAAUAGAACAUUUAAGGUGUUAAAACAAUAACUUACUAUUUCAAGCAGGUGCUUAGAAUCUAAUAUUUGAGAAUCCUUGUGUUGGGCAAAACUUUAACCACCUACAAACAGGAAAACUAUUUAUAAGAUCCAGUGAAUCAGAAACAAUUAAUCAAAAAAAGAUUGCUGAAAAUACUUGGUUUAAUAUCCACUUAAGGCUCAUAAAACAAAUAUUCAAAAGGUUUUAACAAAGACAAUUUUCUUUGCUAAAAAACAAAAAAAUUGAACACAAAGCAUUCAAAAGAGUAGCAUCCCAAGAUCUUUUGUAACUCAAAAUUUUGGCCAAUGACCAACUUGGCAGAGAAGUUCCUGAUUCCUAGAGAAGAAAUUCAUUAGUUCUACAAGUGUUGGAAACCCAAUGAAGGAAAAAAAAACAGAAGAACUGAAGCAAAAAGAAAUACAUUUUGAAGAUGAAGAAAUAUAUUUUAAACAAGUGUAUCUUUUAGUUACCAUAGGGAAUGUUUUUUUUGAGCAGAUCAACAAAAUACCUACGUGAAAGACGCCAAAAAAUGAUUAAAAAGAAAAUUUGAAUGAGUUUGAAAAGAGCAAAGGCCAUUGAAAAUGACCAAAGAGAAAAGCAUACCAGGUCUCAAAAGAGCAAUUUAAAGGAAAAAAUUAAAUCAGAAUGACACAACAAAACUUACGUUUUGUCUCACCAGUUGUUCUUCACAGGUGGCCAUUUUUGCUUCCAACUCCAGAAGAAAUCCAAGAAAGGCAAAAGCUUAGGUUGAGCUAAAUAAACAAAAGGUCAUUUUCUUUAGCAAAUUAUAGGCACAUAAGUAGGUGAGAUAAUUUAAGAGAGUACUCAAGUUUUGAGACUUCAAUCUUACCAGUCUCAAAUGCAAGUAAGAAUAACAUAAAUCAUCUACAACCAGACAACACCAUGGAAAAGAAAAUUUCCUAAACAAUCCAACUUGUAAAAUUACUUAAGAGGUAAUCUAUAAGCUUAAGCAGCAGUCCAUCGGAGGGGAAGAGCUUAUAUUGUCCUCUAGGCAAUGCAAUAAAUGAAGGAAAAUAUAGGCUGCAAAACCAUGUAAAACUCAUAGUUGGCAAGGGUAGCCUCAGCACAAGUUAGGACACUACUGAGUCAUGAGAAAUUUUGUGAUUACAUCUUUAACAGACAUUAUUCAUGAAGCAACAAUAUACAUUGGCAAGUAGAACACAAAAAUGAAAAUCCUUUCCCUUACAAUGCUUGGUAAUGAACAAAACGGAAAGAUGAUUACCAACUAUCACUAAGAAGCUCUAUUUUGUUUGGCUAUGAGCUCAAAACUAUCACUAAAAGAUUAUCGUUAAGCACCUGAUGAUCCAAAUGUCCAAAUAGUGGAAAAUAUACAGGAAUACAAGAUUUAUUAUUCAAUCCUUUAUCGCUAUGUAAUAGUUGUACCCUGAGCUGAUUCGCCUAUAUAAUGGAAUAGAGAAUCAUAGAGGUUAAGCCAAUACCUUAAAAUUCAAUAACCACAAAAAAUUGCACAAGAAAGUAAUACCUUAAGGACCACUACGAGCUAAAAGAUUGCAACGACUAUGGCAGUUUUUUUCCUUCAUGAUUAGUAUAUCAAUCUAAUAAAAUUCCCCACAAAUUAGAGAUCAAAACAAAGUAAACAUUGAAUUUGCUAGAUCCAUAAACCUAAUUACCACUUCCAUACACAAUAUAGCAAGGUCAAUGAAAAUAACACCAUUUAAACAAACAAAAAUUUACACUAUAAUUAACUAUCCAAAAUAUCAACAUUUCAAUUUCUACCUAAUGAAAACAACCUCUGAUGAGAUGUUUCUGCACAUGUGAGAAGUGCCAUUUUGUUAACAUAGUUCUGCAAUUGAGUUUCUUAAUCUGAGAAGUCACCAUGAAAGAAAAGAAAAGCUUGAGUUUAGUCAGAUUUACCAAUCCAAUAUCAUCAUUCCUGAUGAUGGAGUGCUUUAUUAUGCGCUUGCAGCUAUCAAAGUAGUCAUAGCAGAAUGAAAUAGAGUAGCUCACAUAAAGGCCAAUCGGGACUUAUGUACUGCACUUGGAAUUGAUUUUUCUAUCUUCCAACCAAAUAGUGUUUGCUUAUUAGUGUAUUUCAGGUAAUAUCUUGAUGUAUUGUUGUGGGUAUUCCCUUUGAUGCUGAUCAAUUGUUGUGGGUAUUCCCUUUGAUGCUGAUCAAUCGAAAGGAAGCUCAUUAGAAAAAAAGGGAUAAUAAGUAUAGAUAUGUUUAUGACCCUGUGAGGUGAAUCGUGCACCACUCCAAAGAAAACAAAAAAAAAAAGGAUAAAAACCAUCCGUUGAUUGUAUAUCUCAAUUCCUCAUCUUGUAACCAGGAAAAAUGGAUAUGUAGAAACCAAAAAAAAGGGUUCCGAAGAAGGAAAAAAUACAGUACUAUAUAUAGUUUAUAGACAUCACCAAACCAGUAACUUUGAGUGCGGAAUUUCUAGGAGAUCAUGAGAGAGUGAAGCACAAAAAUAUAAAGAGAAAGUGGAGUUAUACAGUACCCAUACCACAUGGCCAAAUCUAGUUAAUAUUUUCUUUUCUUGACUGCAGCAAACUGAGAAAAAUUCUCAAGGGAAAAAAUUUUCAGAACAUAACGUGAACUUUAUAAAUACCAGAUUUCUGAGAAACAAAACAACAGACCUGGAAAAGUAAAAAUCAUGCUGAAAGAUAAAAUUGACUCCAAAUUUCCGACUGCUAUCAGCCAAGAAUCGAAAAAAUAAUUAGCCAGUACUUCUAAAAAAUAAUUAUUGGCUGAUUAUAAUUAGCCAAGAGAAAACCACCAAAAAAAGGCCAAAAUCCUAAACUUACAAUUAGCAAGCACCGAUUGUUUAUGCUUGAUCCCCCCCCACCAAAAAAAAAAAAAGGAUUGAGACAGGCUAAUGCAUUUCAAACAUUAGCAGUCAUGCAUUAGAAAAGCAACAAGUUAACCACAGUAUGUGACAUUAAAUGUUGGCAAAUUCAUCUGCUAAAUACAUUUUCUCACGUCAUCCUAAAAUUUCUAAUUCCCAUCCUGCUUAGUAAAAUAAAAUAAAAAUACUACAAUAAAACAUCACCAGAAUGAGAAAAGCAUCAAUUGUGUGACUACAAAAUUAUGUGCAAGUAGAUGGAAAGUAAUAAAAACUUUAAGAAUUGUGUACUACCAUCCAUAAACCAUUCACAAUUUGAAGAAAUGUAAGCUCAUUUAAGUAUCUUGUUCAAAUCUACAAGAAAUUUUAGCACCAUCAACCUGCAAAUUACAUACAAACAAGCUCAAAUUUGGAUGGAAUCAACCAUAAUUAAUGCAAACUAAGUACUACAUUUCAUCACGAACCAAAUUUAACAAAAAAAUAAUUACUACUAUCACCUUUUUGGACGAAAACAUUAUGCAUUAUUAUCAUUUUCAUAUCCAAAUAACUACCUUUACCAAGCAUCCACCUCAUUGUAAGAAUUGUGUACUACCAUCCAUAAACCAUUCACAAUUUGAAGAAAUGUAAGCUCAUUUAAGUAUCUUGUUCAAAUCUACAAGAAAUUUUAGCACCAUCAACCUGCAAAUUACAUACAAACAAGCUCAAAUUUGGAUGGAAUCAACCAUAAUUAAUGCAAACUAAGUACUACAUUUCAUCACGAACCAAAUUUAACAAAAAAAUAAUUACUACUAUCACCUUUUUGGACGAAAACAUUAUGCAUUAUUAUCAUUUUCAUAUCCAAAUAACUACCUUUACCAAGCAUCCACCUCAUUGUAAUAUAACUCCUUUCCCCUUUACUCAACCCCUAUAGCAUUAUGUAACUCACUUUUUACAUUAUCAUCAAGUAAAUAAAAACAGAUCAUUAAUUGAAGCCGUCCCGCUCAAGGAAUAAACACUUGCAUUACAGCUCCCUACCCAUCCUAAACUUGGCAUCAGACCACAUCAAUUUGCAUAAAUGAUUAUUCUAAGCAAUUAUUUCAUGUGAACAGAUACGGGCCAUAAAUGUACAUACAUAACAAAACAAAAAAUUGCAUUUUCCAUGUAAAAAUGUGAAUAUGGCAUUUUUCCCAAGGACUAAAUUUUCUCAUACUCAACCUUACCAUAACUUAAUAGAAAACUCAUUAUUCUUGCCUAAAAUCUAAUAAAAAAACCUUUUGCAGGUAGUGUAGGUAAAUGAUCUAGUGUAUUGCUGGCAUAAUAAAGCUCUAAUAACUUGACAAAAUUGUAAACCCACUAAUAAGUAUUCAUUAGCUAAAAUGAGUCUUAUUUUGAAAAUACUCCAGAAUAUUCAUGUUUUUGCACGAAUAUACCUUGGCUCUGCAUUUUUCAGUAAUUAUUGCAAUAGCAAAAUGAAAAGAAAUGCUUGCAAAAGAUCCCCUCAUCUGAUUUAAAUAAAUAAAAAAAAAAAGCAAUCUGUUCCAAUACAAAUCUAGAUUUGGUCACAAUGAACGAGAACCAAUCUGUCAUGCCAUCGACAUAAAACAUAUACGAUCCAAAAUAUUCAGUUCAAGAGAAUUAACCAACUAAUUAAAAACAUUGCCUGCAAUUCAUCAAUUUGUUAUAAUAAAAAUAAAAAAUUCACCAUAAUUGCAUUCACAAAAUAGUCACACCAAGGACAACCUCAAGAAAAUAUGUGAUACCCUAUAUUAAAGAACAGCAUAUGGUAGAAUUUGUUGAUUCACAUACCAAUUCAAGUUCAAUGGUAAAUUAGAACAGCCAAAAUUGUUCAAAAUACAAAGAAAAUAACAACUUGGGAUCCAUUUAUCUCUAAUGGCAGCUUGCUCAACAAAAUCCGCUAGCAAGGAGGCACCGGCCUUUUCGUUCACUGAUAUUGCAAUGACAAAUGCAAGAAAAAUCAGAAUGAUUUAGUAAUUUAUUCAAGACGGCACAAAAAUGGAAAAACAAGACCCAUAACUCAGUAUCAUAGAGUGCCAACAACCAACUAUAAAAUUCUUAAAUUGGCAUAUACUCGUAUCUAGAACCACAGGUACAAGAAAAUUUAAAUGCAAAAUCAUAUCCUAACAUGAAUAUGAAUAUUAACAUGACAAUGAAAACAACAACCACAUCAUAGUAGCUCUAUUAGUUUUUUUUUUUUUAAGAAGGUAAUAAUAUGAUCAUUCCUUUCUUAAAACUUUGAAUCCAUUACCUUAAUUAAUCCAAUCUCCUUAGUGUUGCUGCGGAAGCAUUGUCUGCACCACAUCAAGUCAUACUUUCUGAUAAUACCAUGGGAGUUUCCACACACAAGGCUGUCAAAACAAACCAACGUAUAACCAUAAGCAACAAGUCAAAUCAUCAAAUAAUUCAAUCAAGUAUUUAAAAAAGAAAAAGCACCAAACCACCAGGAGGAGAAAAUAUCCACGUGGUUAGGUACAAUUCUUAAAAUGCCAUAGUGAAUAAUACCGUUAUCACUACAAAAUACUACUUACAACAGCUUACUAAACUCCCAAAAUUCAGUCGAGCCAUCAACGACACAAGACUUUUUUAGCAUGAAAAUCACAUUGACCCGUCAUUAGGACCAAUUUAACUUGAAAACAAGAUUAUAUACCAUAUGAUCUAGUAUACAAGGCAGUACACCAUGAACCUACAAUUUCUUGAAAUCCAAUCAAGGACUCCAGCAUCACUGAUACAAACACCAGAUUAUACUGGUAGACAAAACCACAAUAAAUGGGACUAAGAAUGAUAAAAUAAAAAAAGAUUCAAGAACCCCACAUGAUAAAUAUUCAGACAGAAUUAGACAACUGAAAAAAGAUGAAAAGCAAGUACUUUAUUUCAGGAACAUUGAUCUGCUUUUUCUAUUUUCUUCCUUAAACUGAGAAGGUUCAAGAAGCAUGGGAAACAAUGUUAAAGAAUACACUUUUUUGAGAAAAUAACCUUAUAGAAUCUACCUUCAAAAGGGAUAAACAAAACUUACAAAACCGCAUGAAGAUGGUGGAGGAAAUUUCCAGAUUAUGUACCUGCAACAUCACAACAUCAUAAAAGGGAAAAAAUUAGACAACUAAUCUGGUAAAUAAUAGGAGAUAAAAAAUACCAAAGGGCCAAAUAUCUGAGGAAAGGACACGAGGUGUCAGAAAACACAGCAAUCAUGAUACUUAUGCAAUAGCAAUGAAAUGGAGGCUACAUUUCCAAAAGAGGGCAGUAAAUGCAACAGCACAAGUAUGAUCAGUCUGGAACAAAAUUUUCAUUAUAUGCUAAUUCAGAGCCAAUUACAAUGUCACAGAGUAACAGGCAAUAGACAUGAAACUUCCAAUACAAGCCCUUACACAUAAACUCCCAAUUACAAGGCUAAUUUGUAAGAAAUUCCUGGGGAAGUGUCACCAUAGCAAAAAUAAAAGAACGUUAACUGAUUUAAUCCAGUUCUUUGGAUUAUAGGGAUAACAGCACAUUUUCUGUGUCCUAGUUGGUCCAAACAGAGACAAAAGAAAUCUGGCAAAAUUAAAACAGAGAGGACGAAGCUACAAUCUUUGCAAUUUCAAGGCCUAUACAUUUAAAAUAACGUUAACGACUACUGAUGAUGGUCUUUUUUCAUUUAAAUAGGUUUUGGGAACAUUUUCAGUUCAAAUAUGUCUGAAAUUUUCUAUAUUUUUGUCUAAUUUCUUUCCAUAACUUUCCACAGAAAAAAAGUGCAUAUAAUAAGUAGAAAACACAAAACAACAUUUCACCAAAAAAGAGAAAUGCAUUCUUAUAGAAUCCCAUCAAUAAUACAAAGAAUCCCAUCAAUAAUUUCAAUUUCAUAACUCUCAUUAAAAAGAAACAAACAAAAUUCGAAUCAGUGAUCAAAACUUGAACUUCAUAAACGUCCAUGCACUAGUCUAAUGUUGGCGAAUUCUGGGACUUGUGCAUAAUAUUUACUAUAGUUUCUUGACCUAAUAUAAGUUUGCCAGUGUCAAGUGAAAAAGGCGAAUAAUCUGCAACUCUAACCAUCAAAUGCUACCACCACGAGAUGGGUUAAAAAUUCUUCCGAGUGCAGUUCAAGAACUCAGUAGAGGCGAACAGAGGGACUUACGUGAAAGGAACUGCUUAGAAUCAGAGGGAGAAGAGGGACUUACGAGAGCAGCACUAAUCAGCGGGGACAACACUGGCAAGUGGCACGAGAUGUCAGAAAUAAUAGGAGAAAAAGAACUAAAAGACUAAUAAACAUAGUUCGGAGAAAAUGAAGCAAUAAGAGAAUUUGAAGCAAAAAAAUUCCAGCCAACUUUUCAAUUUUGUUGUUGUCUAUCAGAAAGAAAUUGGAGAGAAAAAGUGCAGCUUUCUUCGCGAUGAUGAGGAAGAAGACGAGAAGAAAGAGAGCAUGGGUCAGAGAAAGGGAGUCGGAUGGCUAAUUCUUCCUUUCAUAAAAAAUAAUUGAUGGCUAAUUGAUGGGUUAAAUUAAAAUAAAAAAUAAACUUACAGACCCGAUUAGGCUGAAAAUCCAUUCUCUUCUCUUCAUCUGCUUAUUCUUCUUCUCAUCUUCUUCCUCUGAUCAGGGAAAAAAUUAAACAAAAAAAGACUCACAGAACCAGCUUAAAUUUCACGAAAAAAAUGUAAAACAAAAGCAUACAUGUUCUGAUGAAGAUCCAUUUUUCCCCUUUCUACUUCUUCUUUUCAUGGCUUACGUUUUUCUUUGUCCCAUUUCUCUUGCUGUAAUAUAAAUCCAACAGAUAGACAUGAUAUCUGGGAAAAAAAAAUUGAACUCAAACAGGUGGGCAUUCGACAGUUGGACUGUUGUUGGCUUGUUCCAGUGGAAGAAAAGCAAAGAGGGGAAGAAGAGAGGAAGAAAUGAAAAGAGGAAAGAGAAAGAUGGAACCUUUCCUGGUCUCGAGCUCAUCGGCCAAAAGAGAAAUCGUGUGGCUUGGAAAAGGAAACAAAAAUUGAAUGACAAAGAAUACAAACGGCAGCGGUGGUUUACCAAGGCACAGCUAUCCCAAAAAGAAGAUAAAUGAACAUGGCAACCAGGGCAAAUGAGUAAGACAUGACCCGUCACAUUGAGCUCAGUAACUACUCCAAUUUUUAUCACAAUUUAUUAGUCCAAUCGGUGUCACCAAAAGGCUGCAAAUAGGUACGGUGGGAAGAGAAAUGACCCAAAUGUUUGAAGAAAAAGGACAGCUAUUAAUUAUUGCUCUUUUGGUGGGUUCCAUACAGCAAAACACUCAGGCUUACAAACGCACGACCCAAUUUGCAGCCUCUGCAUUUAAAAAAAAACAAACACACACACACACAUGGACGAACCCACUCUAGCCAAUAAUAAUUGGCCACAUCAGCAAAACAACCAUCCCUUUUGAGCCAUGGCAUUCGCUCUUUUAUACAUAUGUUAAUAAACCCGAUACGACUUCCUGAUUAUUCCAGGAUCCAACAAUUAAAACUUUACACACAAAUAAAUGGUCAAAUUCACUUAAAAAUUGUGGGGUCAUCUUCCACAUUAAACUUUUGUACUAUCCAAUCGCCACUACUUCAAAUUAAUUUGGACCGUAAGUAAUGUCAUUACUUUCUGUGAAUAUCAAAUAUGAAAAGUGCAUUAUAUAUAUGAGGAAAAAAAAUAAAAUGUACUAGUUUUCAAUUUCUUUAUGUAGAAUAUUUUCUUGAAUAUUAAUUUUUGAUAUAUCUUAGUCAAGGUCAUUAAUCAACCCGGACCUAAUCAACUCCAAACCCAGGGCAAAUUUCUUUAAAAUAUUGCCAAAAAGAAGUUCGAAAAAUAUUGUUGAAAAGUUGAGUAUUUUUCUAUCCAGGCUCGUAGUAUCUCUGACAUGCAGUGGACUAGUUCACUAGUUCCAUUUUCUUUUUAUAAAAGCAGUCUGUUUGCCAGACACAUGGUGAGCCACAUUUAAAAAUUGAUUUCUAUCAUAAAGCCUAUCAUGUCCGGACAGAAGAUGGACUGUUUUUUAAAUUUUUUAUUGAAAGCAAGUGAAAAGUGUUGCAACUCAGGACUUGGAUAGUAAUUCUAAAAUUUAUUAGUGCACCUAGCUUUUAACUUUUCGUGUGCUUUUUAGGUAUCAAAUGGGGGAAAAAAAACCAACACCAUAUAACUUCAAAUGCAAGAUGGUACGAAAUUUGUAUACAAUGACAUGUAAAAAGUGGACCGUUCAUCACAAAGAUAUUUAUCCUAAUAUUAGAUUCAUUUUUUCAAAAAUUCAACUUUGCAUGCAAACAUGUAAUCAAUAUGCAUAAAUAGAUAGCAUUAGAUGAAUUUAAACAAGUAGCCUUCAAAUUUAAAAAUAUUUGAUUUCAUAAAGGUGCAUUCGCAAUUUAAAAAAAGUACUUUUCAAAUGGCAACUCUAGAGAACAAGAAAUACUCCUACUUUAUUUUGAUUUCAAAUCUUCUUUUGACUUGUCAAAAAAGUGAAAACACGAAACCAAUAAUGGGUCAGAUAGAGAGAAGUAUUAGAAAGAGAAAUUUGUCAAAUUGAUCCCUAAUAUUUAUACAAAAAUUUUUUUUAGUCCCUAUAAUUUAAAAUCAGUCAGAAUAGUUAUUAACAUAUAAAUUAUGAUUCAUUUUGGUUCUAAUGCUCGUAUUUGCUCAUUUCUUUUACUAAAAAUAGCACGCCUCUCUCACGUGGACAUAUUUUCAAGGGCAAAAUUGAAAAACACAAGCUUUUCUCCCCUUUUCAAGGAUAACAUUUUCGCAUAUUUUUCUUUCCAUGUUCUGAAAUUAGGGCUUUUCUCCCCUUUUGCUUCUGGUCAUGGACUCUUUGCUAUCGAGCUACGUCUCUUCCGAUGAAGAACAAGAAGAUAAACCACAGCUCUCAAAUCCCAGUUCCGCUGGAUUCCUCUCCUCACUGCCACCCCCAAAAUCUUCAUCAUCAUCUUCUUCCUCAUCCAUCUUCUUUCCAUUUCCCCCACCCCCAAUCCCACCCCCCAAAGCCCCCCAUCUCAUCGCCUUCCUCAACCCUGAAUCCACAUAAAUCUAAUGAACUUCAAGAAGAGAGGGAUGGGCAGCAAUUGCUAAAAAAUUGGGAAAGUUCGAGAUUUUUUAUAUCACUUCCAAAACCAUUGUCAUCUUUGUUCGCUUGGUUUCCUCAACCCAAAUCAUCUUCCACGUCAUCUCUUUUCUCUUCUCUUCCGUAGCCCACCAAAACCCACAAUCUUGAUGCCCGGGUUUCGCCUCCUGUGCAAUUUGCUAGAAAGAAGGUGGUGGUGGUUCCUUGGCAGUUGGAUCACACAGCUUUAAUGGAAAGGUGAUGGAAUCAAGCUCGCCGGGUUUAAUGGUGGUGGUUCCUUGGGGGAUCAACAGCAGCAGCCACACCGCUAAAGGGAUCAAGCCUCAAAUUGACGCGGGUGCUUUUCAGUUUGAGGAGAAUAUACUGAAGUAGCAGCAGCAGAAGCUUCAAUUCCACAUUUACACUGAAAAUAAUAGUGUUUUCUAGUUUUGUCCUUGAAAAUAUGCCCACAUGAGAGAGACGUGCUAUUUUUAGUCGGAGAAAUGAGCAAAUACGAGUAUUAGGAUAAAAAUGGAUCAUAAUUUAUAUGUUAAGAACUAUUUUGGCUGAUUUUAAAUGUUAGAGACUAAAAAAAUUUUUUGUGUAAAUAUUAGGGACUAAUUUGACAAAUUUUUCUAUUAGAAAUUUGUUUUCUAGAUUCUUUGGUUUCCCAAUUUUUUCAACGGGUCAACUCGACCAUUAUCACAUUCAUGUGAUUGUAGGUCUACCACGCUUCAUAGUCCAUAACGUGGAUUGGCACCACAAAAGAUGGUGUCAAAACACUUUUUUAGUUUAGUAAGAUCUGUGUAUGUAUUAGUUCCUAACACAAGUCUCUUUAGAUUUUCCCUCCUUUGUAAUUUAGAAUAAAAUAGGUUAUACAAUUGUUAUCGUCUCCAGAAAAAAAAGGAUAAGUCCCACCCUAUUAUUAUUUUUCUUUUAUCAAUCAACAACGCCUAUUCUACACCUAUUUGACUUCUAUUCUAGGGGAAAGGGAGGUCCAACUGGAAAAUUAAUGGUGAUUGAACCACAAUUAGACCAAAAACUUUCUAGAUAAAAUUUGAUCUAAAAAAUAAAUAAUAAUAUAUUAACUUAUUAUUUAAUGCGAUACAUAUUCAAAUAGAUUAAAUUUAAUAAUUUUAAAUUUUAAAUUUUACAUUUUAAAUUUUAAUUUUCAAACUUCAAUGUUGCCAUACUUACAACAACAACCUCUAGAUGGUCAACACUUAGAGUCGUAGCCCUUGCUUUUGGCAUUCCCUGGUCCAUAUGCUAUGUUGUUAUCAAUGAGGAAGCAAAUGUCCGCUAUUAAUUACACGAGACAUCAGUCAAAUCAGUCAAAAGAUGUUAUUGAUUGAACCAAGUGGGCAAAUUGAAUGAACCACCAGCUCCACCAAGCCCUUAAGGCUUCGGUAACCUUGCCUCCCAUUAAAAUGUCAUUCUUGUGGCUUUUCUUCAAAUUUAGAUCGGUGUAUUGUGCACCCGUCUGAUCCAGUGGUGAUUCUGUUCUCAUCGAUCUUUCAUAAGCUCAAUUGAGCCUUCCUGUAAUUAGAAUAGGUGUAGGAGUAAGGAUGACAAUUGAUUAAAAAAAAAAAAAAAGUGAGCAAAUUGAGCGAGGAUGCGUAAUUGACCUGGAAGUCUUGGCAGACUUGGAGGAAUCAAUCAACAUUCUCUAACUUGAAUGAGGUAAGCACAAAGGUAAGCAUUUUCCAUUUUUAUUUUGGUUUUCAUUUCUUGUAUACUCUAAAACUUUUUUCAUUCUACCCCACGCACAUAUAAUAUAUAAUGAAAUGUAAAUUUUUUUAUGAAAACAUAUAAAAUAUAUAAAAUGAAAAAUAAAUUUUUUAUAAAAACAUAUGUUUAUAUUUAUCUUUGUAUAAUGAAAAUAUAUAAUUCAUUCUACCAAUAUAUACGCAUAUAUAUAUAUAUAUAUGUAUAAUGAAAAAUUAAAUUUCUCCUUCAUCUUCAAGGCUGCACCUACAAACAACAAAACUCCGCUCCACUCAACUCUUUCCUUCGUGUUUUGUGUUUUUUUAUAAAAAACAUAUAUAUAUAUAUAUAUAUAUAUAUAUAUAUAUAUAUAUCUUUUAAGUUUCACUAAUUGUUUUGUUUUUUACUAAUAUUACCUCAUGAGAGGUAAAAAGGGUAUAAAUGGAACAACAUUAUUAUCUCAAUUUCCAAAAGACUUUUUUAAUGGUACUUUUUCGAACAUGGGUUGAAGCUAUUAUCAAAAUCUAGUUUAGGAAAAAUUAGUGCUAUUUUUCAAAAUUUAGGAAAGCUGAGUACAACUGUUAGAAAUCUCAGGGACGGUUUUUGCAAUUAUCCCUCAAAGCAUAGACCAAGACUACACUAAUCCCUAAAAAUUUGACACCUAUUUCUUAUAACUAUACUAGAUAAUUUCAUAAUUGUAUAGAAAAAUAAAUUAAAAUUUAUUAUACAAAGGUAUUUUUGGAUAUUUAUUUAAAAAUUUGAUCAAAUUAAUAUUAUUUUAAAACUUUAUUACAAAAACUAUCAAAUCAAAGGAAGUAAGCGUAAUAUUUCAAACCUUACAGUAAAAUUGUUAGAAACCUCAUAGAGGUUCCUGAAAUUAUCCCUAAUAUUUUUUUUUGUACAAAAAACUCCAAAAAAAGUGGCAGCUCAAACGGGGCCAACAAUCUACUAUGUUUGCCUGUUCUCCCGCCGGACCCACCAGCCGCCGGCGGCCAUGGGUCAUCUAUAAAAGCAUAGAUCAAGACUACACUAAUCCCUCAUCAGUCCAGUCCAUCCAUAAUUGCAGAAACUGGUAGGUUUUGUAUUUAACAAAAAUAUGAGACUUUGUAGAUUUUGAAGUUUAAGGAAUGGAUAUUUGAAGUUUAACGAUCGUUAUACAACUUUCAAAACAAAUAAAUCCAUUCUAAUUUUUUUUUGGAUAAUUUCAUAAAUCAAAUCGUGGUCACUUUCGCAAAAGUCAUAUUUUUCCAUAAAAGACCAGCUCUUUAUGGCUUUCCUCCAUUAUAAAAACAUAGUACCCAUUUUUCCAUAAACAAAUUUAUUUAUCGAAUAAAAUAAAAAUAAAUCCGUUUUCCAAUAAAACACCAGCUCUUUAUGGCUUUCUUCCAUUAUAAGAAUAGAGUAACCAUUUUUUCAUAAACAAAUUUAUUUAUCGGAUAAAAUAAAAAUAAACCCGUUCUCCAAUAAAACAUGAGCUCUUUAUGGCUUUAGAAUGAAGGGUUACUCCCUCUUGUUUGAUAUAUCUGAACCUCUUGUUUAAUUUAAAAAUCACCACCAUCAUUCUUGUUUGAUAUAUCUGAACCUUUCACAUUUUUACCAGUUUUUUUCCCUUUUUUUUUCUCUCUUUCAAUUUCCUAAAGAUUGAUGAAAUCUUUGCAGGUCCGAAUAAACCAAAGAACGAAAAUCCAAUCAAAAAGUUCGAAAUUAAAGUUUAAAGGAAUGGCAACCUCAGAAGUCGUUCUCCGGUGCCUCCCUCGUCCCUCACGUCGCAGUAGUCACCAAGUCUUCAGCAGUCAACAAGUCUUCAGCAGUCAACAUCCAAAGCUUAUAAAGUAGCACGAAUACUAUUGUAUAUAAGAACUUAAAUUUUGCAUCCGCGAGGGCGGCAGAAGUCAAUACUCCAGGAGGGACUAGGGGCAGAGGGCGGCCGCCGCCGAGGGAAGUGGGAACUGGCUAUAGAAGGUCAUCGGGUGGUGGACUAUGAGGAGAGCAAAGGAAUAUCAAUUGAGAGUGCAGCGUAUGAUGGAGAGAAAGAGAGGGUAUGUCCGUCAUAAAUGUUGUCUGAGGGAAUAAGUUGAGAGUUUUGUCCAAAACUUCCCAAUUUGCUCGAGAAUGGGAUAAGUCAGAUUUUUUAGAAAUGAUUCCAAAAAUUACAUUCCAAUAGGCUUAACCCAAGCAACAAAUAAAGGGUUUAUUCCAUUCUGUGAUUCCCAAACCCUUUAACCCAAUAGCCCCUUAAUAUUUUUUUACUAAUAUUACCUCAUGAGAGGUAAAAAUGAUAUAAAUGGAACAAAAUUAUUAUCUCACUUUCCAAAAGACUUUUUUAAUGGUACUUUUUCUAACAUGGGUUGAAGUUACUAUCAAAAUCUAGUUUAGGAAAAUUUAGUGCUAUUUUUCAAAUUUUAGGAGAGGUGAGUACAACUGUUAGAAAUCUCAGGGACGAUAUUUGCAAUUAUCCCUAAAAGCAUAGACCAAGACUACACUAAUCCCUAAAAAUUUGACACCUAUUUCUUAUAACUAUACUAGAAAAUUUCAUAAUUGUAUAGAAAAAUAAAUCAAAAUUCAUUAUCCAAAGAUAUUUUUAGAUAUUUAUUUAAAAUUGAUCAAAUUAAUUAUUUUAAAUUUUUAUUACAAAAUCUAUCAAAUCAAAGGAGGUAGGCGUAAUAUUUCAAACCUUACAGUAAAAUUGUUAGAAACCUCAGAGAGGUUCCUGAAAUUUUCCCUAAUUUUUUUUUGGUACAAAACCCUCCAAAAAAGUGGCAGUUCAAACGGGGCCAACAUUCUCCUAUCUUCACAAGUCCUCCCGCUGACCCACCAGCCGCCGGUGGCCCCGGGUCAUCUAUAAAAGCAUAGACCAAGACUACAGAAAUCGUCCAGUCCAUCCAUACUGUAAGGCCCGGUGCAACCCAAUGAGUACAAACAAUUUCACAAUGAUGCACAAAGAUAUAUCAAAUUUAAGCACAAUAAAGAAAACUUAAUUAAAGAGAAAAGAUAAGAAAUGCAAACCAAAUAUCAAUCCAAUAGCCUCUUCAAUUGAUGGCGAUGCUAACCAAGAUGUACAAGUGAAGGCUCACUCCUUCCUCACCCCAAACACUCUUUGGUUGAGCCAAGGAGUUUUACAACUAUUCUAGUUAACCCUCAACAACUUACACUUGAAAGAUCACUCACCCAAUUAAGAACUAUUUUAUACAAAUGAGGCAACAUUCACCAAGAUUUUACCACUCCAAGUGAUAGGUUCACCUUCACCAAGGUUUUACUCCUGCUAGAGAGUAACCUUCACUUGAGCAACCUCACAACCCAACUUUCCCAACCCCUUAUACAACCAACAAAGAAUCUUUCUACUCAAAAAUCUCACUUGUAAGCUUGUAUUUUGUGUUGGCAAAAGUCUGGUGUCUUCUUGUGCUUUGGGGUGUUUAUAGAAGGUGAGAAAUGGCUCCAAAAGGCUCUCCAACGCUCAAAUAUUAAAUGCUGUCAAAACUAGCCGUUGGCUUGUCGGACGUCCGAACCACCUGUCGGACGUCCGAACCCUGCGUCCAAACCACCUGUCGGACGUCCGAACCCUGCGUCCGAACGUCGUCAGAGAGUCAUCAAAUCUUUGCGAAAUUUCUCGGACGUCCGAUGCUUUCUCACGAGCGUCCGACAAAGUUUCCUUCUGGAUGUUCUUCAUCCUUUCGGACGUCCGAUAGCUUCCUUUCGGACGACCGACAUGAGUGCCCUGUUUUUGCUUCUUCUUUUGUGCCACAAGAAUCUGUUCUAACAAAUUGCUCACAUAAAAACAUUAGCCCAAAUCUACAUUUUGGUUUGUUAAUCAUCAAAACCAAGGUCAACACAUACUUCUUCUUCAGGCCUCAGCUACUAAACAAUAAACUCUGCUCCACUCAACUUGUGCUCAAAAUAUGACAGUGACCAAUUGUUCUACAAAAUUAGUAGGAUAAGCAGUUGACAGAUUUUAUAAUCCCUUUUGGUCAAAUAUUAUUUAAAUUCAUACUUUAAUCUUAAAUUUAUAGUUGGAUGGUCCAGGAUGUGGUAAAAUUUUUCAUUCAAACUAACGAUAGUAUGAAAAAAAGACUAAUUAAUAAAAAUACGAUCUCGAAAAAUUUUUAAUUCACAGUCACAAUAUGUGAAUUCGUGAUAAAUACAAAAAAGUAUGGUACUUUGAUAAUACAAUGAAGGAAAGCCAUAAAGAGCAGGCCAUUUACGGGAAAAGUUUUCAUUAAUAAAAAUACCAACUCUUCACGGCUUUUUUACCAGUCCUUCAACGUAUGAGCAAAGUGCCAAUAAUUAAAUUAGUAAUUUUUUCGAUUUAUACAUAAUUAAUUUUUUUUUGCAUUUCCACAAAAAACAAAUGAAAAUUUUUUAUCAGAAAGCACAAAAGUCAAAAUGAUUGGUUUAAAAGGGAAAGGAAUAGCAGAUAUGUACAGUACUUGUAUUUCACGUUCGAAAUGCUACAGUGCUAUUUUUGAAAAACACCCCCAACAAAAUCUAAUCCAAACGGAACCAAUUUUCAGUAUUUAAAAUACCAAAUUUGUGAAUGUGUUUUAACUGUUAUUCAUUGGUAUCCUAAAAUAUCAUUUUUUCCAUCAAAUAUCAGCUCUUUAACACCUAUUUUCCCAUAAACAAAUUUAUUUAUCGGAUAAAAUAAAAAUAAAUAGCUAUUUCCAAUAAAUAGCUGGUGUUUUAUUGGAAAAACCCGUUUUCCAAUAAAUAGCUAUUUCCAAUAAAUGGUUGGUGUUUUAUUGGAAAACGGAUUUAUUUUUAUUUUAUCCGAUAAAUAAAUUUAUUUAUGAAAAAAUAGGUUCUCUGUUAUAAUGGGAAACAGAGUACCUAUUUUAAACAUUUCCCAUUGAAUUUGUUUUGGAUAUUUAUUUAAAAAUUUGAUCAAAUUAAUAUUAUUUUAAAACUUUAUUACAAAAACUAUCAAAUCAAAGAAAGUAAGCGUACAGUAAAAUUGUUAGAAACCUCAUAGAGGUUCCUGAAAUUAUCCCUAACUUUUUUUUUUGUACUAAAAGCUCCAAAAAAGUGGCAGCUCAAACGGGACCAACAAUCUACUAUGUUCGCCUGUUCUCCCGCCGGACCCACCAGCCGCCGGCGGCCAUGGGUCAUCUAUAAAAGCAUAGAUCAAGACUACACUAAUCCCUCAUCAGUCCAGUCCAUCCAUAAUUCUCCUAUCUCCACAAGUCCUCCCGCUGACCACCAGCCGGCGGCGGCCCUGGGUCAUCUAUAAAAGCAUAGACCAAGACUACAGAAAUCGCUCAGUCCAGUCCAUCCAUACUUCCUCUUCAGGCCUCAGCUACUAAACAAUAAAUGAUAGGUUGCAUUUUAGUGGGUAUUUUGGGCAUUAUUGCAUAAUUAAUUGACUAAAUAUUUUCGUUAAUUGGGUGGAUUCUACUGAUAUUUUGUUUUGGUGCUAAUUGCAGGAAUGGUUGCUGAAAAGCGCUUAAAUUCAACUUUUAGAAGAUUCAUCGGAGUGGGGCCCGUUUGAGAAGCGGAAAAAACCUAAUUGUAAUAGAUUUUAUUUUAAUAUAUAUUUCUAGGGAGUCUUGCUGCAAUUUUGGAGAAGUAACAAUUUGUAAUUUAUCUCUGGCGCGGCUUAGGUUAGAGGAGAGUCUUCGUUUUUGGUUUUUGAAUGAGAGGAGAGAGCCGCAGCCUGGAGGGGAAAAAGGCAACGGACAGAAGCCAUCAUUGUUGACUUGUGAGAAACGAAUUCUUCAUGUUUUGACUUGACAACUUGAGAAAUCAAGCAAUUGAGAAACUUUCACUCUCGUGUAUCUUGACUUCAAUUGGAAAAAGGAAGAAAGCUUAAAGGAGCCGCCAUUGUUGACUUUGCUCUUGGGCUGUCCUACCUUGUGCGAAUCGAAUUGGAGAACAAAAGCAAUCUCUCGUAUGUUUCCACUUAACAAUCGAGAGCAAUACAAAUUUGAGCUUUCUCCUCCUGUGGUGGACCGAAGCGGGAUAAUCGAAGUGCAAACCUUUCUCAGUUUUCCACGCGCGGUUUGUCCUCCAUUAAUGGAGGGCUAAUUCUCUAAUUCUAGUCAAGGGACAGCUGAUGAAUUGGUUCAAUUAAUGCUGUGAGAUCUAAACCGCUUUUAAUUAUUUCCUCCGUUUAUUGGUAUUUAUAUGUUCUUUGCUUUUAACUGUUAUAGCUCUUGUGUAUGAUUGAUUAGUGCGCAAUAAUUGAUUAUUCAUAUAGGCUAUUUUGCUAAAUAGAGGUAAUUGAAUCCGUAAUUGUUCGUUACCUCUAUCCCAGUAGCAACUGGUAUAAUUGGGUUUAUGUCAGGGGAAUAUAUGAUCUAGCUUAAAUAAACCCUCGUAGCGUGUUUAUUGGUUAGGAUUGGGCCUUUCUAAUUAUUAAUGCAAUCUGGAAAUUGAAUCCUACGGUCGUACCUAGGGUUGUUUUUGGGUUAGAGAAAUAGCUAACGGUCGUACCUUGGCUAUCGAUAAAUUAAGGAAUGGUUGGUUGUUUAGCGCGUGCGAGACAACUAGAACCAAUCUAUUAGUAAAUGUUGGAAUUACCUUUGAAUCAAUGAUCAGUGCAUGAACCAUUUCUGAAGUAUACCCUUGGCUAGAGUUUCUCUCAUUUAUUUCUUUUAAUUAAUUAUUUUCUGCAGUUAAUUUGUUUAGUUGGCAUUUGAUACCAAAACCCCCCAUUAAUCUUGAUUUGAAAAGAAACAAAUAUCUCUCCAGUCCCUGAGGAGACGACCCUGCUUACCACUAUCUACUAGUUAGAGAACUCAGUUAAAUAAUUGAUUCAGGUAUAUCGGAUUAAGCAAACUCUUCGGGAACAGGGUGAAUCAAGUAACCCAUUGCACACCUAGAGUCCCUGCUCCAGUACUCGAAUUGAUUACUAGCUGUUGCAGGUGGUAGUUAGGAUUUAUUUAUUAUUAUUGCACAGGUUCGGCACCUGUCAAUUUUUGGCGCCGUUGCCGGGGACUGGCGUCUGAAUUAGUUGUUUCUUUUUGAAUUCAGUUUUUAUUUUGUUUUAUUUUAUUUUUCUUUUUCUUGGUACUUUUGCUAGUUUAUGCCCCGUUCUUCUCGCACAGGUGACUUGGUAUACGAUCCUGAGGUUGAGAAGGCAGCACGUAGGCGAAGGCAAGAGACCAAGAGACAAAAAGAAGGGUACUCAUUUUCUGAAAACGAGUCAAUAGAAGACGAAUUGAGCAUGGCCAACACCCAGACAUUACGGGAGCUGGCUACCCCAGAACUGACUCAUCAGCCCUUGUGCAUCACGUUCCCAACUCUGGCUGAGAAUACCUCAUUCGAGUUGAAAUCGGGGUUGAUUCAACUCCUACCUUCGUUCCAUGGCCUUUCUGGUGAGGAACCCCACAAACAUAUCAAGGAAUUCGAAGUGGUUUGCUCUAGCAUGAAACCCCCUGCGGUCACCGAAGAGCAAAUACGACUCAGGGCUUUCCCUUUCUCUCUCAAGGAUGCAGCGAAGGAUUGGCUAUACUACCUACCUGCAGGUAGUAUCACCACGUGGGCACAGUUGAAAAAGAAAUUUCUGGAAAAAUUUUUUCCCGCAUCCCGGGUUGCGAGUUUGAGAAAGGAAAUAUGCAGUAUCAAGCAGUACUCCGGGGAAUCAUUGUACGAUUAUUGGGAAAGGUUCAACAAGUUGUGCAAGGGAUGCCCACAGCAUCAGAUUAGCGAACAACUGUUGAUCCAGUACUUCUAUGAAGGGCUCCAGUCAACUGACAGGGGUAUUAUUGACGCUGCGAGUGGAGGAGCCCUGGCGAACAAAACACCGAGGGAAGCAUGGGACCUUAUUGAAGCCAUGGCAGAAAACUCUCAGCAGUUCGGCUUCCGUGAGAGCAAUCCUACCCGUAGGGUAAAUGAGGCAGAGACGUCAUCCAUCCAGCAGCAACUGUCAGAGUUGACGUCUGCAGUCAGGCAGUUGGCCAUGAGAGACACACCGCGAGCAAAGGUGUGUGGAAUCUGUACUAGCAUGGACCACUGCACGGAUUCGUGCCCCAUUCUGCAAGAGGACGGGGCGGAACAGGUAAACAUGGCCGGAGGCAUGCCCGCGCCCCGCAGGCAAUAUGACCCGUAUUCCAACACAUACAACCCCGGUUGGAGAGACCACCCCAAUCUCAGUUACGGGAACAGGCAACAAGGUUCAUUCCCGAAUCGUCCACCAGGAUUCCACCAGCCUUGGCAACCAAAAUCUCAACCCUCAUCCUCCAAUACAGGAAGCUCUUUGGAGGACCUAGUCAAGAACCUGGCCACGACUACUACCAACCUGGCCACGACUACUACACAGCUUCAACAGGAGAUCAGAUCCUUGGCCGCGAAAACCGAGCAGCUCCAGCAGGACACCAAAGCUGACAAGAAAGACCAAGAUGUUCGAAUAAGUCAACUGGCAACUGCCAUCAACCGCUUGGAAUCUCACGUUUAUGGGAAACUGCCAUCGCAACCCGAGGUAAAUCCCAGGAAUGUAAGUGCCAUGACGCUGAGGAGUGGCAAGGAGCUGGAAGAACCUAAAGUGAAAAAUUCAAAAAGCAAAAGCGAGGAGGAGAUAGAAAAGGAAAUUGAGGAGGAAGGACGUGUUCGUGAAGAUCCUAAGGUAUCCUCCACCUCUCCACUCACUAUCAGCUCUAACUUACCCCCUUUUCCUUGCAGGUUGGAAAAGACAAGGAAAGUAGAGAGGGAAAAGGAACUUUUGGAUGUAUUCAGAAAAGUAGAGAUUAACAUCCCCCUACUGGAUGCAAUCAAGCAAAUACCGAAAUAUGCCAAAUUUCUGAAGGACCUGUGCACCCACAAGAGGAAGCUAAGGGGAGAUGAACGAGUGGCGGUGGGAGAAAACGUGUCAGCUAUACUCCAGAGGAAGCUCCCACCAAAAUGUGGAGACCCAGGUAUGUUCACCAUUCCCUGCAAGAUAGGAGGUACUCCAAUUAGGAAAGCAAUGUUGGAUUUGGGGGCGUCAAUUAAUGUUAUGCCCAAGACAAUCUAUGCAUCUCUAAAUCUUGGCCCGUUAAAAGGCACAGGCAUUAUAAUCCAACUUGCAGACCGUACCAAUGCUUACCCGGAAGGGUUAGUUGAAGAUGUUUUGGUACAGGUCAAUGAGUUAGUUUUUCCUGCAGAUUUCUAUGUCCUAGACAUGGGGGAUGAAAGGGCACUAAAUCCGUCUCCUAUUCUGUUAGGUAGGCCAUUUUUAAGCACUGCUAGGACUAAAAUAGAUGUAAAUGAGGGUACCUUGUCGAUGGAGUUUGAUGGGAAAAUUGUAAAUUUUAAUAUUUUUGAGGCGAUGAAGUACCCAGAUGAGACUAACUCUGUUUAUGCUUUAAGUGUUGUUGAGCCCCUUGUACAGGAAAUAUUUGAAUUGGAUGGGGUUGAUGCACUGGCAGUGGCAUUGACCAAACAUCUUGAGUUGGGAGCAACUCUUGAUGUAGAAAUAAAUGAUGAGCUAGACCACGCUGUUGGAGCACUGCAUUCGCUCCCACCAAUUUCCCCAAGGUAUGAGCUUACUUCUGUUUUUGUACCAGAAACUCAGGCAAAAUUGUUGCCUUCUAUUGUGCAGGCGCCUGAGUUGGAGCUCAAACCUCUCCCAAAGCAUUUGAAGUAUGCUUUUCUCGGGGACAAUGAGACACUGCCAGUCAUCAUAUCUGCACACCUGUCACCAGGGCAAGAAGAUAGACUAAUUCGCCUUCUUCGAGAUCAUAAGGAGGCGAUUGGGUGGAGUGUAGCAGAUAUCAAAGGAAUUAGCCCCUCCUUAUGCAUGCAUCGAAUCCGGCUUGAGGAUGAUGCAAAGCCAGUUAGACAAGGGCAACGGAGAUUGAACCCACUAAUGAUGGAAGUGGUCAAGAAGGAGAUACUUAAACUCCUAGAAGUUGGAAUAAUUUUCGCCAUCUCAGAUAGUCCCUGGGUGAGUCCCGUGCAAGUAGUCCCGAAAAAGGUGGGAGUAACAGUUGAGGAGAACCAAGAGGGUGAGAUGGUCCCGGUGAGGAAACCCACAGGAUGGCGUCAGUGCAUUGACUAUCGGCGUCUGAAUGCUGUGACAAAGAAGGACCACUUCCCUCUACCUUUUAUUGAUCAGAUGAUAGAAAGGUUAGCUGGCCGUGUCUAUUACUGUUUUCUUGAUGGUUUCUCUGGUUAUUUUCAGAUCGUAAUAGCACCAGAGGAUCAGGAGAAGACUACCUUCACCUGUCCCUUUGGUACAUUUGCCUACCGGAGGAUGCCUUUCGGCCUCUGCAACGCCCCAGCAACUUUUCAGCGGUGUAUGGUAAGUAUAUUUUCUAAAUAUGUAGAAAAAAUUAUUGAGGUGUUUAUGGAUGAUUUUAGUGUGUAUGGAGAUAGUUUUGAUGAAUGCCUUGAUAAUUUAGCUUUAAUUUUGAAAAGAUGCAUUGAGACAAAUUUGGUUCUAAAUUGGGAAAAAUGUCAUUUCAUGGUGGAUCAUGGUAUUGUUUUAGGGCAUGUAGUGUCGUCCAGAGGUAUAGAGGUAGACAAGGUAAAAGUCGAUAUUAUCUCUGUUUUACCUUACCCCGCAAGUGUGCGGGAGGUGCGCUCCUUUUUGGGUCAUGCAGGGUUCUACAGGAGAUUCAUAAAAGACUUCUCGAAAAUUGGAGCGCCCCUGUUCAAGCUGUUGCAAAAAGAUGUAGCAUAUGACUUCACCGAGGAGUGCAAGGUGGCAUUUGACAGAUUGAGGGAGUCAUUGACAUCACCACCUGUUAUCCAACCUCCAGACUGGAGCCUCCCAUUUGAGAUAAUGUGUGACGCGAGUGAUUAUGCAGUGGGAGCAGUGUUGGGGCAACGGAUUGGUAGGGCGGCUCAUGCAAUCUAUUAUGCAUCAAAGGCGUUGAAUGGAGCUCAACUCAAUUAUUCUACAACAGAGAAAGAAUUACUUGCUGUGAUUUUUGCACUAGAAAAAUUUAGACCAUACUUGCUAGGUGCAAAAGUAAUAGUUUUUUCUGACCAUGCAGCCUUGAGAUAUCUGAUGACGAAGAAAGAUGCUAAACCAAGGCUUAUCAGAUGGAUCCUGCUCCUCCAAGAGUUCAAUUUGGAGAUUAAAGAUAAGAGUGGGGCAGAAAACUUAGUCGCUGAUCAUUUGAGCCGCUUGCUUGCUCAUAAGGAAGAGCCACCAUUGAGGGAGGCAUUUCCAGAGGAGCAACUACUUGCCAUUAACUCGUCUACACCCUGGUAUGCUGAUAUAGUAAAUUUCUUGGUGACUAAUCAAUUGCCUGCAGGGUGGCCCAAGGCUAAGAGAGACAAGUUGAAAAGUGAUGUCAAAUAUUACAUUUGGGACGACCCGUACCUUUGGAGACAAUGACAGGUGCCGAACCUGUGCAAUAAUAAAUACCUACUCGAGAAAAAUACAGAUUUUGUAUAUAGCGGUGAGUAGGGUCGAAUCCACAGGGACUGGGGAUAAUUCGUUUCUUCUAGAGUCCAAAGUAUGGGGGGUUUUGGAUUAAAUGCUAACUAAAUAAAUUAAUUGCAGAAAAUAAUUAAUUAAAAGAAAUGAUUGGGGAAACUCUAGCCAAGGGUACACAUCAGAAAUGGUUCAUGCACUGAUCAUUGAUGCAGAAAUAAUUCCAACAUUUAGCAGUAGAUUAGUUAUAGUUGUCAUGCACGCGAUAAACAACCAACCCUUCCUUAAUUUCUCGAUAGCUAAGGUACGACCGUUAGCUAUUUCUCUAACCCAAAAAUAACCCUAGGUACGACCGUAAGAUUUAAUUUCUAGAUUGCAUUAAUAAUUAGAAAGGCCCAAUCCUAACCAACAAACACGCUACGAGGGUUUGUUUAAAUUAGAUCAUAUGCUCCCCUGACAUAAACCCAAUUACGCCAGUUGCUACUGAGGUAGAGAUAACGAACAAUUACGGAUUCAAUUACCCAUAUUUAGCAAAAAUAGCCUAUAUGAAUAAUUAAUUAUUGCGCACUAAUCAAUCAUACACAAGGCCAUAGCAAUUAAAAUCAAGGAACAUAUAAAUACCAAUAAAUGAAGAAAAUAAUUAAAACAGAUUCGAUCUCACAGUAAUUGUCGAACCAAAUCGUCAGUUGUCCCCUUGACUAGAAAAGCUUAACCACGCCUCAUGAGAAAAUCUCCCCGUUGGGGAAUAUUGUCGAACACCUGGCGUGUGUCAGAGGCCAGUCCAAAGAAAGAAAACUAGAACUAAACUAAAACUAGAGAUGUCCCUGCUACUCUACGUUAUCCCUAUUUAAGCAACAAGAGGAAGAUGACUAAAGGCUAUCUAGGUGGUCCCCACACAUGUGGACAAAGCCCUCCAAGUACUUCUUGUUCCAAGUCUCUUUCCCGUAGCUUUCUUUUAAGAGCCCAAAUGACUAGAUGCUUUCCACUAGCUUGUGGUCCCCCACCAAUUCAAGGGCCCAAGAAUUGAAGCCCUUAGAAGUCUCCCUAUUUUCCAUAAAGUCCUUCCUUUUUGAUGGUUUUCUGCUUCAUUCCUGAAAUUAAGUCCAAUACCAAAUAUAAGUAAAUAUCAGCAAUUAACACAAUAUUUGUCAGGAAUAAAAGGGGAAAUUAAUAAUAAAAUUACUAACAAAUUAUACCCUAUCAGACAAUGUUCGGAUCAAGUGCUCAGGAGGUGUGUAAGUGCAGGUGAAUUUCACUCCAUUUUAAUCUUCUGUCAUUCGUUUGCAUGUGGAGGGCACUUUGGGCCCAAACGAACAGCUCGAAAGGUGUUGGAGAGUGGUUUUUACUGGCCCACCCUGUUCAAAGAUGCUUAUUUAUUCUGUAAAUCCUGUGAUAGGUGUCAAAGGGUGGGGAAUAUUUUUCGCAGGGACCAAAUGCUUCAAACCCCCAUGUUGUUUGUUGAAAUUUUUGAUGUUUGGGGGAUAGAUUUUAUGGGUCCUUUUCCCUCAUCUUUUGGUUUCCUAUACAUUUUACUUGCUGUGGAUUAUGUCUCUAAAUGGGUGGAAGCCAAAGCCACCCGUACUAAUGAUUCUAGAGUGGUUGCAGAGUUCUUAAAGUCUAAUAUCUUUGUCCGUUUUGGGAUGCCAAGAGCUGUGGUUAGUGAUAGAGGGACACAUUUCUGCAACAAAACUAUCACGGCCUUGUUUCGAAAAUACGGUGUACUGCACAAGGUAUCCAUACCGUAUCACCCGCAGGCGAACGGUCAGGCCGAAGUGUCGAACAGGGAAGUCAAGUCGAUCUUGGAGAAGAUGGUGCGCCCGGACAGGAAGGAUUGGAGUUUAAAGUUAGAGGACGCACUAUGGGCGUACAGAACCGCGUAUAAGACGCCAAUUGGGAUGUCUCCCUAUAGACUUGUUUUCGGUAAGGCUUGCCAUCUCCCCGUGGAGUUCGAACACAAGGCGUUUUGGGCAGUGAAGCAGUGUAACAUGGGAUUUGACGAAGCAGGGGUCCAAAGGAAAUUGCAACUACAGGAGUUAGAGGAGAUAAGAAAUGAAGCUUAUGAGAAUGCCACGAUCUAUAAGGAAAAGAGUAAAAUCUUUCAUGAUCAACAGGUUUCUAGGAAAACUUUUGUAGUGGGGCAAAAAGUCCUCUUGUAUCACUCAAGGCUUAAACUUUUUCCCGGUAAGUUGCGUUCUCGUUAGAUUGGUCCAUUUGUCGUUUCUAAUGUGUUCCAUUAUGGUGCAGUGGAGAUCCAGAGUUUAAACACGGAGAAAAAGUUCGUGGUGAAUGGCCAUCGUCUCAAACCUUAUUAUGAGGGUUUCUAUGUUGAAGAAGUAGAGGUUGAACACCUCCACGAUCCACUUUCUCAUGCUUGAGGGUUUUGGCCAUGUCUAGCCAAAGACAUUAAAGAAAGGCGCUACUUGGGAGGCAACCCAAGACUAUUUGUGGCAGUUUUCAUGCAUUUUUGAAGUUUUAGUUAUGUAUUAGUGUCGAUUGAUGGUUUGAUGUUUUGUGGCAGGAGAUUAGUGGUUAGGCGUGCCCACGCCGGGUGGUCACGCCUGACGGAGGAAAUUUUCGUUCAGGUUCUGCGGGCUACAUGGUAGUUAGACGUGCCCACGCCAGAUGGUCACGCCUGACGGAGGAAAUUUUCGUUCAGAAUCUGCGGGCUACAUGGCAGUUAGGCGUGCCCACUCUAGGUGGUCACGUUAAAAAAAAAAAAAAAAAAAAAAAAAAAAAAAAAACUUCCGUAGCCCUACUUCUCCUUUUCUUCUUUUUUUCUUUCUUUCUUCUUUCUUCUCCCUUUUCUUUCUUUUCUUCUUUUCCUUCUUUUGCUUGGUCGGCCGCCGCACCACACGCCGUCCAUCGCGGUCGCUGCACAGCCGCGUCUCCCAGCCGCGCGAGACCGCGCGCGCCUGCCGCCAGCCCAUCGCGCCGCCGCCUGCCUCGCCCAGCCUCGCUUGCCGCGCGCUAGCGCGCAGCCAGAAUCAGACCGCGCGCGUCUUCCUGCGCUGGUCCAGAUCCACCUAGCAACAGCGGGCAGCAGUCUCCUCGCGCGAGCUCCUCUCGCAGGCAGCCCAGACGCACGCGAGCUCUGUCCAGACGCGCGCACCGCCCAACAACCCGCGCGCCACUCCAGUACGCCCCAGUUGCACGACAGUGCGCUCCCGCAGCUUCGCGCGACACUACCGCCGCCGUCCACCAAGCUCCAGCCCAACUUGCAGCAGCCGCACAAGCUUCUCGAGCAGUCAACCCACCGCGCGGGCCACCAGACCCACCAGCCGCAGUCGCGGACCACAGGCGCGCCGCCCAGCAGCUCGCGCAACCUCUGCACAACUCAGCCAGCGCGCAGCCAACACCAGCGCGCCCCUUGUGCGUGCGACCAAGCAGCCUCUGCGCGACUCCGGUGAUUUCUUUUUCAAUUUCUGUCACUAAGUAGCUGAUGGUUCCGCUGCCAGAAUUUAAUUUUGUAGCUGAUGAUAGAAUGUUUAUUUGCUAGCUCAGGACAGAAAUCUUGUGCUUGAUUUUGGGUGCUGUGUUAUAUCCGUGGGUGAUUGCUGGCUAAUUGUCGAAUUUUGUGCUUAAUCAGUGAUAGUUGGGGGGGAAUUUUUACCCUGGUUGCCUGUUUAAUUAGUCUUGGGAAAAAUUGUUGUGUUUACCUACUUAAUUGAUUUUUGGGUUUAUUUGGUUGUAUUUGGGAAAAAUUUUGGUGUUCGCAGGUUUAAUUGACUCUUGGGGUAAUUUUAUUGUUGAUUUGUGCACUUGUUUGGGAUUGGGAGCUGUGGCUGGGGAUCAUUUGUUUUGAUUGGCUAUUUGUUGGCUAUUUGUUGAUCUCGUUGGGUUACCAUUCCCCUGCCUUGGACCUUCCCUCUGAUUUCAAAUGACUAAACCCAAGAACAAAGGCAAAAACACGCCCUCCACUUCCACCCCUCAGCCUACGGUCCCCUUAGAGCGACCUUCCCCAUCGACUGGGCCUGGAGGACCCCGUACUCGCCUUGGGCGGAAUAGGGAGGUUCAUAUCUCCUCUCCGGCCCAUUUUGGCGGUCACUUGACCUUCACCCGGGCUGCCGACAAGGAGCGGUAUGCAUCGGCUUGCACAAGGAAGAUUAUUUCUUGUAAAUACAUCCAUGGCCCUACACUUGAUAUUUUAAACCUGAGGGAUGAAGUCACGCAGCACUUGACUAACGUAGGUUGGACCCGCUAUGCUUCUAUCAUUUUACCUGCUUUCACUGAACUGACGUGGGAAUUCUAUGCUACCUUUGAACUUAAUAUUCCUGAUGAAUUUUCCGUUACCACUCCUGGGGUAGUGAGGUUUCGAUUAAUGGGUAGAGAGUUCAUCCAAUCUAUAACUGAGUUUAAUUUGGCUUUUGGGUUUAUUGAUAUUCCCUACUCCCAGAGUGAGGAGUACAUGCACAGUGUGUGCGAGUACUCGGAGCCAUUUUUCUCUCAUUACCUUGAUUAUUGGAGUGGUUUGUCAGUUGACCGACAGUGCUAUGACCCCAGUCAGUCUAAGGCCUCUUAUCUUAAGAGCGCCGCCUACCGCUAUUUACAUCGAUUCAUGGCCUAUAGUUUCUCAGGUAGGAAGGAUAGCUCGGGUACUCUGACUAAGCCCGAGUUCUUUUUCGUUUGGUGCAUGGUCACUCGGACUAAGGUCAAUGUGGGUGGCUGGUUUGCCCUCCAGCUCCGAACUGUGCUAACUAAGAAAAAUAAGCCAUUAAUCUUAGGCUCAUUUAUCACUCAGUUGGCAGUGAAUCUUGGGGUUUUGGACUUAAAUAACCAUAAUUUGCAUCGUGCUUGUACUAUGGAACCUCUCGAUUUGGUUUGUUUGGAGAGAAUGGGUCUUGUGCGACAGGUUAAUGGCGUUUUCCAGUUUGCUCCCCCGGGGCCAAUCUCUGUUCCUCCGAAGCGCAGCGCUUCCAAAUCCACUGCCCCGGAGACUGGUGGUCCUUCUACGGAUACACCUGGACCUUCCUCUUCGGCACCCCCACCAUCUUCCUCCGUCGAUAGCCAGCUUGCAGCUCUUCGGUUCCAGAUGCAACACAUGGACAAUCGUAUGGAUCGAAUGGAGGGCCAAAUGGCCGGCAUGGCCCAGAAUUUAGCGCAGUACCUCCACCACGUGGGUUUCCGGCCACCGUGCCCUCCACGACCUUAGUUCACCUCUGCCCCGCCAUAUUAAGGGAAGUGUCGUGCCUUUAUCGCUUUAUUUUCCUCUUUAUCCGCUUCCAUUGGGGACAAUGAAAGGUUUAGGUGUGGGGGAGGGUUAACUAUGCUUUGGUUGUGCUUUUCGUUGUCUGAUUGAGUUUUUCCUUGCCUUAGUAGUUGUCUUUUCUUUGAACGAUGAUGAAUGCGAAUUGGGAUAUAAGCGUACAUAGUAAGUUCAUGCCAUGGGGUGUUCCACUUUCCUUGAUACUGAAUUGAUUGAUUAAUAUGCUGAACUUGACAUCCAUUUGAUCACUUGUGCGAUUUUUUUUUGGCCUAAUUUUCGUUUUGUUGAGUGGUUAGUGCACAUGGUUUGUCAUUCUAGAACUUGCUCGGUUAUGCAUGUCAAGAUCACAUUUAAAUGAAUUUAAUGCAUUGAAAUGAUAGGGCACCUAGGAAUGAGCCAUUUUUGGGACUUUCUUAAAACCAACCCUUGGAUUAUUUAUUAUCAUUAGGGAGCCAAGUUGAGCCUUAACCCCUAUUCGUUGCUUGAGACCCCAGCUCUUAGCCGUGAAACCUCUUUUUAGACUUUGUUUUUGAACCUCGUGUGAAGAAGUGCUUUGAUUUCAUUAUACAGACUUUUGGAGUGUUAUUCGAAGGGCAUUACACCCAUUUAUGUAUCUAAAAAAAAAAAAGAGAAAAAAAAAGAAAGAGAGAAAGAGAAAGUUGACUUUUAUGUGAAAAGAAGACAAAGUGCAGGAAACCAGCAAGUAAAGUUGACUUUUAGGGUGCUGGUUGGGAGUAUUGGAAAAAAAAAAAAAAAAAAAAAAAAAAGGAGAAAAGGCGAAGGCUGUGGCAAGUGCUAGUUCGCUUCACUUGUGUGAUGGUUGAGGUGCCUUUAAAUUUCAAAUGUGCAAAAAUCUAUGUAAUGAAUUUCUGGGCACUUUCUUUAUACUUUUGCACCCUUUUGACUCCUUUUUAUCCUACCUUCUCACCCUAGCCCCACUACAACCUUGCAAAGUCCCUUGAUUGCUGCAUUUAAAUUCAUGAGUAGGUGGUGGAGAUAUGAUAUAUGAGCAAGCUUAUGGUAGUGUCAUUCUAUUGUGUUGAUUUGAGAGCCAUCUUAUAUACAUUUCAUAUACACUUUGGAGUGAACGAGUGCAUUUGGAACUGUGAGCAUUGUUGAUUUGGUAUAUUCUGAUUUCGAUGAGGUUAGUGGGGAGAUUGGGAUGCCGUUUUUGGUAUGAACUGCUGUGAUUAGCUUCGUAUCUCGAUUGUAUUUCUGAGUAAUUAUGCUUGAGGGCAAGCAUAGUUCAGGUGUGGGGGAGAUUGAUAGGUUGCAUUUUAGUGGGUAUUUUGGGCAUUAUUGCAUAAUUAAUUGACUAAAUAUUUUCGUUAAUUGGGUGGAUUCUACUGAUAUUUUGUUUUGGUGCUAAUUGCAGGAAUGGUUGCUGAAAAGCGCUUAAAUUCAACUUUUAGAAGAUUCAUCGGAGUGGGGCCCGUUUGAGAAGCGGAAAAAACCUAAUUGUAAUAGAUUUUAUUUUAAUAUAUAUUUCUAGGGAGUCUUGCUGCAAUUUUGGAGAAGUAACAAUUUGUAAUUUAUCUCUGGCGCGGCUUAGGUUAGAGGAGAGUCUUCGUUUUUGGUUUUUGAAUGAGAGGAGAGAGCCGCAGCCUGGAGGGGAAAAAGGCAACGGACAGAAGCCAUCAUUGUUGACUUGUGAGAAACGAAUUCUUCAUGUUUUGACUUGACAACUUGAGAAAUCAAGCAAUUGAGAAACUUUCACUCUCGUGUAUCUUGACUUCAAUUGGAAAAAGGAAGAAAGCUUAAAGGAGCCGCCAUUGUUGACUUUGCUCUUGGGCUGUCCUACCUUGUGCGAAUCGAAUUGGAGAACAAAAGCAAUCUCUCGUAUGUUUCCACUUAACAAUCGAGAGCAAUACAAAUUUGAGCUUUCUCCUCCUGUGGUGGACCGAAGCGGGAUAAUCGAAGUGCAAACCUUUCUCAGUUUUCCACGCGCGGUUUGUCCUCCAUUAAUGGAGGGCUAAUUCUCUAAUUCUAGUCAAGGGACAGCUGAUGAAUUGGUUCAAUUAAUGCUGUGAGAUCUAAACCGCUUUUAAUUAUUUCCUCCGUUUAUUGGUAUUUAUAUGUUCUUUGCUUUUAACUGUUAUAGCUCUUGUGUAUGAUUGAUUAGUGCGCAAUAAUUGAUUAUUCAUAUAGGCUAUUUUGCUAAAUAGAGGUAAUUGAAUCCGUAAUUGUUCGUUACCUCUAUCCCAGUAGCAACUGGUAUAAUUGGGUUUAUGUCAGGGGAAUAUAUGAUCUAUCUUAAAUAAACCCUCGUAGCGUGUUUAUUGGUUAGGAUUGGGCCUUUCUAAUUAUUAAUGCAAUCUGGAAAUUGAAUCCUACGGUCGUACCUAGGGUUGUUUUUGGGUUAGAGAAAUAGCUAACGGUCGUACCUUGGCUAUCGAUAAAUUAAGGAAGGGUUGGUUGUUUAGCGCGUGCGAGACAACUAGAACCAAUCUAUUAGUAAAUGUUGGAAUUACCUUUGAAUCAAUGAUCAGUGCAUGAACCAUUUCUGAAGUAUACCCUUGGCUAGAGUUUCUCUCAUUUAUUUCUUUUAAUUAAUUAUUUUCUGCAGUUAAUUUGUUUAGUUGGCAUUUGAUACCAAAACCCCCCAUUAAUCUUGAUUUGAAAAGAAACAAAUAUCUCUCCAGUCCCUGAGGAGACGACCCUGCUUACCACUAUCUACUAGUUAGAGAACUCAGUUAAAUAAUUGAUUCAGGUAUAUCGGAUUAAGCAAACUCUUCGGGAACAGGGUGAAUCAAGUAACCCAUUGCACACCUAGAGUCCCUGCUCCAGUACUCGAAUUGAUUACUAGCUGUUGCAGGUGGUAGUUAGGAUUUAUUUAUUAUUAUUGCACAGGUUCGGCACCUGUCAAUAAACUCUGCUCCACUCAACUCUUUCCUCUGUGUCUUGUGCUCUUGUCCGAAAAUGGCGGCGUCAGAAGAAGUGAAAGUGCCAAGAAUCAAGCUGGGCUCGCAAGGUCUUGAAGUUUCAGCUCAAGGGCUGGGCUGCAUGGGCAUGUCAGAAGCCUACGGGCCGCCGAAGCCCGAGCCUGAUAUGAUCAAACUCAUCCACCAUGCUAUUUGCAGAGGUAUCACCCAUCUUGACACCGCCGAUAUGUAUGGACCUCACACCAACGAAAUACUCAUUGGCAAGGUACCGUAUUUACAAAUUUUCUGCUGUUGUGUGCUGUGCAUAAAAUCUUGUACUUUUAAUUUCUGAAAGAGCAUAUUUGUAAUAUUUUAUUUGGGUAUAUUAUACUUGACCCCCUGCACUUCAAAACUUGUCUCCCUUUGGGCCCCCUUAAUUUUGUUUGUGAGCACUUGAACUCCAUUUGUUUAAAUUGUAAGUAUUAUUAGUCAAAUAGGACAUUGUUCUUCUUUUCUUUUGCUUCAUUUCUUCAUGUUACUGCCUUUUCAGUUUGUCCUCCUUUAUAGACAUGGGAUGAAUUACUUUGAUUUUGAUUUUGGCGCAAUUUUGUAUAAAAUGAUUUUUGCUAUGAAGUUAUUGAUUUAUUAUGAGCUAUGCGUUGUAUAUUUACACAAAUUCUGCUAGCUAAACUUUUACUUGAGCAAGCCUUCCAUACAUGAGCAAUAUAAUUCUCUAUGGGUGCAUUUCGUAAAAUUGAAGUUUGAAAAUUAAAAUCUAAUUUAAGUCUAAAUUCAUAAAGUUAUUAAAUUGUUAAGUAUUAAAUUUGAUACGUUUGAGUGCAUGUCACAUCAAACGAUCAGUGAAUAAUUUAUCACUUAUUUUUUGGAGCAAAUUUUGUUUAAGAAAUUCAAUGCCAUUUAAUUAAUUCCGAUAUUCAAUUUUUUAUUAUCAAACAUGUUUGAAUAUGUUAAGAUUUGAACCUAUUAAUUUUAAGUGUUGAAUUGGAUUAUCAAAUAAGACUUAUAAUCAUUAGGUAACCAAGCAGACAACAUGUUUAGUGUAUAAUAGUAAUUAACUUUCAAUUGUCUCAUUAUUCUUUGGUAAAGAACUCUUUGAAUAUUAAUAAUAAUUUUCUCAUACACGGGAAUCAAAAUAAUUGAAGUUUUAUCUCUACCAUUGAGAUAUGUUACCUUCUAAAAGAAAGGAAAGGGAAGGAAACAUGGGGGAAAAAUAGGGAAAGGGCAAAGUGAUGAUAAAUAAAGUUGGAAGUAGCAAAACGAGACAAGUGAAUUAUUGCAAGGCGUUAAGUGUAAAUUAUGUUUAUUUUAUUAGACUAUUUAACCAGAAAGACUGGACUCUUUUAAGGCACCAAUCAAAAGUUCCAAUUGCUGGAAAUAACAUAAAAACCUAGACUUUGGUUUGGCGUUUUUGGAGGUGGUUCAUGAAAAUUUUAUUGUAGUUUUUUUUUCUUCUUGAAAAAUAUAUUUGUAAGAGAAAAAAAGUGGUUGAAAAAAAAUUGAGAGUUUUUUUUAAUAAAUUGUUUUCUAAAUAGUUCAGUCACCCAAAAUUUUCAGUAUUCCGACAACGGCAUCCAUGUGGUGUCAAUUGUCAAACGUGCAACAAAGUUGAGAAGAGAAGGUCGCAGGUCUAGCGCAUACGUUGAAUAGCUAUCAUCUCUACAUCAUAAUGGAGUUGGUAAAAUAGUAGUAUUUUCGUCUUUGAUGUUAAACUUUUCAUCAAUUUAUGGAAAGUUUGCUAUUUCUCUGAUAAGAGAUAGUAAAAUUUACUUUUUAUGAGCAGUAAAGUUUUAAAGAUUAUGAAAAGAGAAUUGUAUGAAGGAAUAGAAGGGAAAGAAAGGUAAGAAAUGGAUGGAUUGUAUUUGGAUUGAUUUUGAGAGAGGAAAGGAGAGGAAACGGAAAGAAAAAGGAAAUGGAUGUAUUGUGUUUUGCUCAGACAUCAUUUCCAUACAAAAGUAGACGGAAACAGAGGGAAAGAAAAUCUUGUUGAUGAUUUUCUAGUAAAAUGCCUCAAGCACCCCAAUAAAUUGUGGGAUGCAACAGCAGGCUACGAAUGUUUGACGAAGCAACUUAUGUAAAUAUUUUAUCGUUAAGUAAAGUUCCUCUUUUGCUGUUAAAAAAAAAAGAAGAAGAGGAAAACAGUAUAUUUAGGUUUUCUUUCUUUCCCAACCAUAUCUGAUCCAAAUAAGACAAAUGAGAACUAUUUUCCUCUACUCUCCUUUCCUCUCUUUUUCACCAGGAUGUUUUAUUUAUAUAUUUAUCCUUUCCUUUGAUCCAAAUGGUUCCUAAAAGGGCAAUUAUUCUACAUUGAUCAGUUCCCUAUUUUCGUAUUAAUUUGCAUGUGCACGAUUCUGUGUAUGUUCAUGUUGUGCAUCAAAUCUUGUGAAUGAUAAAGCUAGAGUGUAAAUUUAAGUUGAAGAAACAUAAACCAAAAAAAAAAAGAAAAUGGAUUGGCUCCUUUAAAGUAUCAGACUUCUAAACCCCAAGGAUUACAUACUUUUCAUAUCCUUUGCCAUACAAAGAAGUGGCAUAGCCUUAACAAUGAAGUGUUGGAAAAACUCCAGAAGGACUGUGCCAUCCAUGAAAUCACAAAUCCACUUGUUAUACCAUGCAAUAAUGUGUAUGUCCUUGAUGAUUAAUAUAAUGAAACCAUGGUUCUAGGCCUUGAAGGAAGGAAUAAGAGCGAAAGUGGAGCUAGCAACCAAAUUUGCAAUCAGUUUUCAGGAUGGGAAGUUUGAUGUACGUGGUGAUCCAGCCUAUGUGAGGGCUUGUUGUGAAGCAAGUUUGAAGCGGCUUGAUGUGGACUGCAUUGAUCUCUAUUAUCAACAUCGCAUCGAUACAAGUGUGCCCAUUGAAGUCACGGUUUGCUCCAUCUUGCCUUUCUUUUAUUUUAGCUCCACCUCAUUCUUGAUGAAACAAAAGUUUGAUCAACUCCAAAUUUAGAAUAAUUCAGUUUCAUGUCCGUUUCAAUUCUUCAAAAAUUGCACAGAAAAGUUAGUCAACCUUAUGGUCUCGGCUAAUCUGCAGUAUGGUAUAGCUGAUUUUGCACAAGGCAUCCUGAAAAGUGAAAACAAUGAAAAUGUCUUGUAUUAGCUUGACAGUCCUGCUGAGGGAUAUACAGAUGGAUAUCAUGCUAUACAUUGUACAGCUUUCCUUUAGAACCAAGAGACCUGAGCAUUCUCUUUCAUUUGAGAUAGGCUAUUUACUUACAUUGUCAUUCGUUUUCAGUCGGUGCCAAAAGCACUGCGGAUAGACAUUUAUUAUUGAUAUCUAAAAAACAUGGUACUCAUUUUGUUCAGAGCACAGCUUUUUGUCUAAUUGUGAAAGCCAGCUGCAACUGCCCCAUUGACCUCUCCAAGCAAUUCAAAGAUUUCAGCAGCUUGCUUACAUUAAGCUUUUAUGAAACGAUUUCUCUGUCUUCUUUUUCUCAUGUAAUCAGCAAAGAAUUGUCUUGUUUUCCCUGAGUAUUAGGUAGAAACUUUCUUGCAGUUUAAUCACUCAAAAUACAGGCAAGUAUAACGGAAAUCAAGCAAAAUUGGCAACUGAUAAUUGAUAUGUACGGCCAUUAUUCUAUAUAGAAGUCAACAAUGCCAUGUAAUCAUAUUGGAGGAGCAUUAUGUUGGCAUGGUCCAGUAGAACUAAGUCCUCCGGUUGGCUGUACAUAGAGAACUAUCACUGGAUGCUUAUUGCCAUUUUCAUCAAUUAGUGAUUUCAGUUUGAUGUAUACUUUGUCCACAACUUCGUUGAACUAGUGCAACUUUUACUUUUUGCACGUAAUAUUUCGAUUAUCUGCCUAAGUGUUGAAUGUAAUAAAUCAGCUUAGCAUCUUCUUGUCCAUUGAAAUUCUCUAGAUAGGAGAGCUCAAGAAACUGGUUGAAGAGGGUAAAAUAAAGUAUAUAGGUCUGUCUGAGGCCUCAGCUUCAACAAUUCGAAGAGCACAUGCUGUUCAUCCAAUAACAGCUGUACAGUUGGAGUGGUCAUUGUGGACCAGAGAUGUCGAGGAAGAGAUUAUUCCCACUUGCAGGUAGUGCAUAUAUUCUGCUGAAUUUUCUAAAUGGUCUAGAAGAAAUAUGAAGUUCUCAAUUCAGUUUUUGGUAUAAUCUUUCAGAGAGCUUGGCAUAGGGAUUGUUGCAUACAGUCCACUUGGACGAGGUUUCUUCUCAUCAGGUCCAAAGCUGAUGGAGAAUUUGGCUGAAGGUGACUUUCGAAAGGUUUGUACAUAUGUUUUUGAGUAUAGAUUGUUUAUAGUUCGAAUAAGUUUCUCACUCAUCUACUUUUACCAGAUUCAGUGGCAAUCUGCAAGUGUCCUGAUAGCUCAAAAAUGUACCCGUUUUCUAUUUUGAGUUCCCUCGUUAAUGGGAAAUGUGUUGCAGGAUCUACCUUCUACAAUUGAUGUUUCUUAGAGUACUCAGUCCACCUUACUUGAUUGUUCCUUCCCCUGAACUUUGUACACCUCAAACAAUACUAUCCAUCAUCUUGAAGUUAUUCAUAUUGUCUUCAUUUGUAGACGACACAUGCUUCACUCCCUUUUGCAUUUCUGGCGUUACAGUUGCUUGAAAUUUUGAAAUUCAUACAAUGUAGGGUUUGCCAAGGUUUCAAGCAGAGAAUUUGGAGCACAACAAGAAGUUGUAUGAGCGGGCCACUGCCAUUGCUUCAAGGAAGGGUUGUACUCCAUCACAGCUAGCAUUGGCCUGGGUCCAUCACCAAGGCAAUGAUGUUUGUCCCAUACCUGGCACUACCAAGAUUGAGAACCUCAAUCAGAAUAUAGGAGCUUUGUCUGUAAAACUGUCGGCAGAAGAUAUGGCGGAACUUGAAUCUAUUGCUUCUGCAGGAGUCAAGGGUGAGAGAUACGGGCCUGAAAUCAGCACUUGGCAAAAUUCUGAAACUCCACCAUUGUCAACCUGGAAGAGGACAUGAAGACAUAGCUUUGUUGUGGCAAUAAUUCCUUCUAGCUAUGUGCCUGAUGGUGGAUUUCACUAUAUUAAGAGUUGAGUGAUAUGUAUUUGUUCCAAUAAAUUUCGUCAUACUAUUGUCUCCAGGGUUAAGGCAAGUAAAGUUUCUUCAGAAAGGUUGUAAUGAAUAAAGAUAUGGUCAUGUAAAAGCAGAACAUAAUUUUCCUUGCAGUUGAAUGCAUUAAAGGUUAUGUAUUGUAAAGUGGUCCAUUUUUCAUGUGCUACUGCUACGAGAGUUAUAGUGCUAAUGCUAAAGUGGUCCAUUUUUCAUGUGCUACUGCUACGAGAGUUAUAGAUUGUCGGACAGCAUUUUUUGGUUGGAAUGUUUACAUCAAAAGCGUCUCCAAGGACAUGUCAUUCUAAAGUGUAAACUACAUCAUACCAGCAAAAUGCAGAAAAAGGUCUAAAGUAUGGGAUAUUUGUAAAUUUUCAUGGGAGGCUUGUGAUAGCAAAAACUUCAGGAGGCUUCUGAAAUUAUCCCUUAAACUAAACUAAAGGAGGUAAGAUUUUAAGCACGUCUCGGUAAGUUAAAAGGUUAAAACUUUACAUACAAAUAAAUGGUCAAAUUCACUUUAAAUUUGUGGUGUCAUCCUCCACCUUAAACUUUUGUACUAUCCAAGUUCGUUUUAAUUCCUUUCGGAAAUCAAACAUCAAAUGCAUUCCAAAAAAAGAAAAAAAAGAAAAGGAAAUGGCUUACCUUUGCACUUACGUAUCCAAUUCCAAUUUGAACAUUACAUCAUCCAUCCAAUUGAAACAAACUCCUAUGGAGUUUUUUUUUUUUUUUUUGCUUUAUUUUGUUGUUAGAUAUGAAUUUAUUUCACAUUUGGUUGUCAGAUCUAAAUUUUUUUUCAAAUUUUAAAUCUAUUUCAACAUAUCUCAUUAUCAUUAUUGAAACUUAAAACCGUUUAUUGGCAAAUCUGGUGAUUGCCAUAAGCACGGAAGAUAGACACUUUUAAAAUUCUUUAUAUUUUUUUUAGAUUUGUUUGUAAUUUUCAAAUCUAUUGUAUCUGUUAAAUUAUGAUCUGUAAUUUUUAAUGGAUGUUUGGCCUGCCAUUAGGGGAGUUAUGCAAAUCAAAUCAUGUUAGAUGAUUUCCAAAAAAAACUUAACCGUCAAUUACUCUUCCCCUUUUUAUUUGUCCACUUUUCAAUUGUCAAUAACUCUUUUAAGAAACUUUGUAAUACAAAAAUCAACUGAAACCAGUAGAAUAUUACUUUGUAAUAUUUUUUUGACAAAAAAAGUAGAAUAUAUAAUUAAUAGCAGUAUUCAUAUUAUGUUUUUGUAUAUUACUUGUACAUCUAAUUAGUCCCAUUUGGAGAAAAAAAAGGAUGAAAACAAAAACAAAAACACAUAAUAGUCACAAAAAACACAGAUCUAGCUCAAAAUAUGGCAGUGACCAAUUGUUCUGCAAAAUUAGUAGGAUAAGCAGUUGACAGAUUCUAUAAUAGCUUUUGGUCAAAUAUUAUUUAAAUUAGCUGGAUGGUCAAAUAUUACUUUUAAUUUUAAUCAUUUAAAUUACCAGUUACUAUCAUCAUUGGAAGAAGCACAUUGAAGGAAUGAUACUCUAAGAUGACUACAGAAAUUUUCUAGUUGGUUAUACAACAUAUUAAUAGUUGAAUGUUGACCUCCUUUUUUUUUUUUGUUUUUGCUGACACGGUGGGUAUCCGGGAUUCGACGGGUUAUAUUCUAGGCCCGACUAUUUCCACUACGCUUGUGUCCCCGCCCCCCGAAAGACACAAGACGAUAACAGGGUUCGAACCGCGACCACGCGGUGCUAGGACCUAAGGAGGUACCCCCAGCACCAGUCGAGCCAAACCCGAGGGGCGAAUGUUGACCUCCCAUUCCACUAAAAUUUAUAGUCUUUGGUAGUGGGCAAUCAUCCAAAGAGCUAUUGGUUUGUUCCCACCCUGUUAGGAACUAAAGGUUUUCGACCUUCUAAAAAAAAUGUUUGUGUUUUUUGUUUUUUCAAAAAUUAUUUUCGUCUAUCACCAACAGCCGGCGGUCAUGGGUUAUUCAUCGAAGCAUAGAUCCGAGCAACACUAAUCCCUCACCAGCCAUCCCUCAUUCCUUGUCGCAUCCUUUUUAUGAAUUGGAUUCAUCUAUUUGGUGUUCUAAAAUCACAUUUAAAAGUUUUUGUUUGCAAAAGUGUUAUUAUUCAGGAUGUGUAUGAUAAUUUAAAAUUUUAAUAGUGGACCUAAAAAUAAAACUUGUAAAUUUUACAUAUGAGCCUACCUACUUUUAAAAUAGAGGGAAAAAACACCACAUAACUUCAAGUCCAAGAUUGUAUGCAGUUUGUCCAAUAAAUAGAUAUUCAUAAUUCAUAAUUUCAUAUAUACAUGUUAACUAGAGAUGUCAAUCACAAUCCAAUUAUAUUGAUCCGUUCAAAACUGUUCACUAAUAACCCAUCCAAAUUCACUCAUUAAAAUUUAAAUGGGUCUAAGUGAGUAUCUAAUUAAAUCCAUUUAAUUGGUGGAUAGUUGAUUGAUUCGACUCACCCAUUUAUAACCAUUUAAAAAAAUAUAUUUUUAAACUCAAUUUUUACUAAGUGUUAAGAAGAUAAAUUUGAAUUUCCUACGAAUCUAAUAACAAUCAAAUAUCAUUUUUCUUGUUAAACGACAUGCGAAAAAUUAAAAAAAAAUAGAAUUUCAAAUCAGUGUAAAUGGAUAAUUAAGUAUUUUCAUAUCCAUUUAUUAAAUAGAUAUAAAUGGAUUGAUUCAAUUAUAUCUAUUACCCAAUUAUAAUUUGUUGAAACUCGUACAAGUCACUCAUUGUGAUGCUUCUAAUGUUAAUAUAUACUCACAAGUGAAGAGUGCAACAUUGGUUAGGAAGAUAUACUUAUUUAUCUCAAUAUUAUAGUCGUUUUUUUCAUUACAAAAGUAUUGAUAAUUUCAUAAUUUCAUCGAAGUAUGUAAUCAGUGACAUAACAUUACAUGAAUUUCAACGAAGUAUGUAAUCAGUGACAUGACAUAACAUAUCAUUAGUCUUCAGUGGUGAAUCUUUUCACGAGGCUUCUUUUCAAAGCUUUGAUUAUGGCAUACACUUCUGACAAUAUGCCCCUUUUAGAAUAGGGAUAAUUUCAGAAACCUCCCUAGGGUUUGUAACAAUUUCAUCGAGAUUUCUUGAGAUUUUUCAAUAUUACACUUACCUCCCUUGAUGAUAGACAAUGACUAUAAUAACCUUCAUAAUUUUUUCAAAGACAAGCCAUUGAUAAAAAAGAUAACAAAAAAAAAAUGAAAACAAUUCUUCUUGGCUAAGCUACAUAUUGUGACUAAAUUGUUUCACCCAUGACCACUAAAUUGUAAUUUUCUAUUACUCAGAAAAGGAAGCAUUUUGAUAAUUGAGGGGCUUGAUUGUUUGAGUGGGAAAAAGGUAAGAAUUGUGAAUUUUAUGAUUGACGAUUUGGUAGACAACAUAUGGAAGAAACUUAUAGAGAGGUAAAAAUUAUAAAGGUAAAAAUUAUGAUGGUGGAUUUUGACAUCUAAAAUAACGAGCUUGUUCGAAAAAAGGAAGAAAUGAUAAGAGUUUGAAAACUUGGGCCAGAUGUAGAAAAUUAUGAGAUGGAAAAUAUUAGAACAUUGGCUAAGUAAUAAAACUCAUAGGUUUAUAGUAUACAAGUGUAUUCUUGAUUUUUGAAAAAUUUUAAUCACUAUUCAUAUUUUGAAAAUUAGAUAAGGGCAAUUUCGGGCUUUCAUAUAUUUUUUUGGUCUUACAUCAUCAAGGUGAAACUCAAACCUAUGUUUUAGUAAAUGUAUGUGUAAUUUUCAAAACGUGAGGAAAGCUGUAUGAAAUUAUCAGAAACCUCAGGGUGGUUUAUGAAAUUAUCCCUAAUUUUUUAUUUUUUAUUUUUUAUUUUUUGGUACAAAAAACUCCAAAAAAGUGGCAGUUCAAACGGGGCCAACAAUCUCCUAUCUUCGCAAGUCCUCCCGCCGGCGGCCCUGGGUCAUCUAUAAAAGCAUAGACCAAGACAACACUAAUCCCUCAUCAGUCCACUCCAUACUUCUUCUUCAGGCCUCAGCUACGAAACAAUAAACUCUGCUCCACUCAACUCUUUCCUCUGUGUCUUGUGCUCUUGUCUGAAAAUGGCGGCGUCAGAAGAAGUGAAAGUGCCAAGAAUCAAGCUGGGGUCGCAAGGUUUUGAAGUUUCAGCUCAAGGGCUGGGCUGCAUGGGCAUGUCAGCCUUCUACGGGCCGCCAAAGCCCGAACCUGAUAUGAUCAAACUCAUCCACCAUGCUAUUUGCAGAGGAAUCACCCAUCUUGACACCUCCGAUAUCUAUGGACCUCACACCAACGAAAUACUCAUUGGCAAGGUACCAUAUUUGCAAAUUUUCUGCUGUUGUCUGCUAUGCAUAAACUCUUGUAAUUUUAAUUUCUAAAAGAGCAUAUUUGUAAAUAUUUUAUUUAGGUAAAUUAUACUUAAUCCCAUGCACUUCAAAAUUUGUCUCCAUUUGUGCCCCCUUAAUUUUGUUUGUCAGCACUUAAACUCCAUGCACUUCAAAUAUGACAUUGUUCUUCUUCAUUUUUUUCAUGUUACUGCCUUUUCAGUUUGUCCUCCUUUAUAAAUAUGGGAUGAAUUACUUUGAUUUUGAUUUUGGUGCAAUUUUGUAUAAAAUGAUUUUUGCUAUGAAGUUAUUGAUUUAUUAUGAGCUAUGCGUUGUAUAUUUACACAAAUUCUGCUAGUUAAACAUUCACUUGAGCAAGCCUUCCAAACAUGAGCAAUAUAAUUCUCUAUGGGUGCAUUUGGUAAAAUUGAUGAUUGAAAAUUGAAAUCUAAUUUAAAGUCUGAAUCCAUAAAAUUAUUAAUUUGUUAAGUACUAAAUUUGAUACGUUUGAGUCCAGGUCACAUCAAACUAUCAGUGAAUAAUUUAUCACUUAUUUUUUGGAGUAAGUUUUGUUUAAGAAAUUCAAUGCCAUUUAAUUAAUUCAGAUAUUCAAUUUUUGAUUAUCAAACAUGUUUGAAUAUGUUAAGAUUUGAACCUAUUAAUUUUAAGUGUUGAAUUGGAUUAUUAAAUAGGACCUAUAAUUAUUAGGUAACCAAGCAGACAACAUGUUUAGUGUAUAAUAGUAAUUAACUUUCAAUUUGUCUCGUUAUUCUUUGGUAAAGAACUCUUAGAAUUAUUAAUAAUAAUUUUCUCAUACAUGGGAAUCAAAAUAAUUGAAGUUUUAUCUCUACCAUUGAGAUAUGUUACCAUCUAAAAGAAAGGAAAGGGAAGGAAACAUGGGGAAAAAUAGGGAAAGGGCAAAGUGAUGAUAAAUAAAAUUGGAAGUAGCAAAAUGAGACAAGUGAAUUAUUGCAAGGGGUUAAGUGUAAAUUAUGUUUAUUUUAUGAGACCAUUUAGGCAGAAAGACUGGACUCUUUUAACGCGCCAAUCAAAAGUUCCAAUUGCUGAAAAUAACAGAAAAACUUGACUUUGUUUGGUUUGGCGUUUUUGGAGGUGGUUCAUGAAAAUUUUAUUGUAGUUUUUUUUUCAUCUUGAAAAAUAUACUUGUAAGAGAAAAAAAUGGUUUAAAAAAAUUGAGAGUUUUUUUUAAUAAAUUGUUUUCUAAAUAGCUCAGUCACCCAAUAUUUUCAGUAUUCCGACAAUGGCAUCCAUGUGGUGUCAAUUGUCAAACUUGCAACAAAGUUGAGAAGAGAAGGUUGUAGGUCUAGCGCAUACGUUGAAUAGCUCUAUCCCAUUAGAAGUAACACGAAGGAUUAGAACUCUUCUACCAUCUCUUUAUUUUCUUUUGUUUUUUCCUUCAAAAUUUUAUAUCAUAAUGGAGUUGGUAAAAUAGUACUACAUCAAUUUAUGGAAAGUUUACUAUUUCUCUGAUAAGGGAUAGUAAAAUUUACUUGUUAUGAGCGGUAAAGUUUUAAAGAUUAUGAAAAGAGAAUUGUAUGAAGGAAUAGAAGGGAAAAGAAAGGUAAGAAAAUGGAUGGAUUGUGUUUGGAUUGAUUUUGGGUGGGGAAAGGAGAGGAAACGGAAAGAAAAGGAAAUGGAUGGAUUGUGUUUUGCUCAGACAUCAUUUCCAUACAAAAAUAGACGGAAACAGAGGGAAAGAAAAUCUCGUUGAUGAUUUUCUUAUAAAAUGCCUCAAGCACCCAAAUUUAAACUUGAGUAACCAUGUAUUUCAUAGCUGUAGAACUUGCCAUUUGUGAAACCUGCUUUAGAUAUGAAUUGUGGGAUGCAACAGCAGGCUAGGAAUGUUUGACUAAGCAACUUAUGUAAAUAUUUUAUCGAUAAGUAAAGUUCCUCUUUUGCUGUUAAAAAAGAAGAGAGAAAAACCAUUCCUUUAAACAGCAUAUUUAGGUUUUCUUUCUUUCCCAUCCAUAUCUAAUCCAAAUAAGACAAAUGAGAACUAUUUUCCUCUACUCUCCUUAGUCCUUUCCUUUCUUUUUCACUAGGAUGUUUUAUUUAUUUAUCUUUCCUUUCCUUUGAUCCAAAUGGUUCCAAAAAGGGCACUAAUUAAUCUACAUUGAUCAGUUCCCUAUUUUUGUAUUAAUGUGCAUGUGCACGAUUCUGUGUACGUUCAUGUUGUGCACCAAAUCUUGUGAAUGAAAAAGCUAGAUUGUAAAUUUAAGUUGAAGAAACAUAAAACAAAAAGAGAAAAUGGAUUGGGUCCUUUAAGAGUAUCAGACUUCUAAACUCCAAGGAUUACAUAAUUUUCAUAUCCUUUGCUACAUAAAGAAGUGGCAUAGCCUUAACAAUGAAGUGUUGGAAAAACUCCAGAGGGACUGUGCCAUCCAUGAAAUCACAAAUCCACUUGCUAUACCAUGCAAUAAUGUGUAUGUCCUUGAUGAUUAAUAUAAUGAAACCAUGGUUCUAGGCCUUGAAGGAAGGAAUAAGAGCGAAAGUGGAGCUAGCAACAAAAUUUGCAGUCAGUUUGCAGGAUGGGAAGUUUGAUGUGCGUGGUGAUCCAGCCUAUGUGAGGGCUUCUUGUGAAGCGAGUUUGAAGCGGCUUGAUGCGGACUGCAUUGAUCUCUAUUAUCAACAUCGCAUCGAUACACGUGUGCCCAUUGAAGUCACGGUUUGCUCGUCUUGCCUUUCUUGUUUUUUAGCUCCACUUAUUCUUGAUGAAACAAAAGUUUGAUCAACUCCAAAUUUUGAAUAAUUCAGUUUCAUGUCCGUUUCAAUUCUUCAAAAGUUGCACAGAAAAGUUAGUCAACCUUAUGGUCUCGGAUAAUCUGCAGUAUGGUAUAGCUGAUUUUGCACAAGGCAUCCUGAAAAGUGAAAACAAUGAAAAUGUUUUGUAUUAGCUUGACGGUCCUAUAUACAGGUGGAUAUCAUGCUAUACAUUGUACAGUUUUCUUUAGAACGAAGAGACCUGAGCAUUCUCUUUCGUUUGAGAUAGGCUAUCUGGUUGAGUAAUGAUCUGCUAUUUACUUACCUUGUCAACCAUUUUCAGUUGGUGCCUAAAGCACUGCAGAUAGACAUUUAUUAUUGAUAUCUAAAAAACAUGGUACUCAUUUUGUUCAGAACACAUCUUUUUGUCUAAUUGUCAAAGCCAGCUGCAACUGCCCCAUUGACCUCUCCAAACAAUUCAAAGAUUUCAGCAGCUUGCUUACAUUCAGCUUUUAUGAAACAAUUUCUGUCUUCUUUUUCUCAUGUAAUCAGCAAAGAAUUGUCUUGGUUUCCCUGAGUAUUAGGUAGAAACUUUCUUGCAGUUUAAUCACUCAAAAUACAAGCAAGUAUAAAGGAAAUCAAGCAAAAUUGGCAACUGAUAAUUGAUAUGUACAGCCAUUAUUAUAUAUAGAAGUCAACAAUGCCAUGUAAUCAUAUUGGAGGAGCAUUAUGUUGGCAUGGUCCAGUAGAACUAAGUCCUCUGGUGGGCUGUACAUAGAGAAGUAUCACCAGAUGCUUAUUGCCAUUUUCAUCAAUUAGUGAUUUCAGUUUGACGUGUACUUUGUCCAUGACUUCGAUGAACUAGUGCAACUUUUACUUUUUGUACGUAAUAUUUUGAUUAUCUGCCUGAGUGUUGAAUGUAAUAAAUCAGCUUAGCAUCUUCUUGUCCAUUGAAAUUCUCUAGAUAGGAGAGCUCAAGAAACUGGUUGAAGAGGGUAAAAUAAAGUAUAUAGGUCUGUCUGAGGCCUCAGCUUCAACAAUUCGAAGAGCACAUGCUGUUCAUCCAAUAACAGCUGUACAGUUGGAGUGGUCAUUGUGGACCAGAGAUGUCGAGGAAGAGAUUAUUCCCACUUGCAGGUAGUGCAUAUAUUCUGCUGCAUUUUCUACAUGGUCUAGAAGAAAUAUUAAGUUCUAAAUUCAGUUUUUGGUAUAAUCUUUCAGAGAGCUUGGCAUAGGGAUUGUUGCAUAUAGUCCACUUGGACGAGGUUUCUUCUCAUCAGGUCCAAAGCUGAUCGAGAAUUUGGCUGAAGGUGACUACCGAAAGGUUUGUGCAUAUCGAAAAAGAUGGAGUUUUUGAGUAUACAUUGUUUAUAGUUCGAAUAAGUUUCUCACUCAUCUACUUUUACCACAUUCAGUGGCAAUCAUGCUUGAUAUCCCUAUUGUUGUCUAUCACAAGCAAUGGGUAGUAUCAAAUUUUAAAGUGCAAAGAUGUCAAAAGAGGAAGAAACUAUGUCACUUUUUAAGUAAAAGUCUCUUUACAGUUUUGAGGGGAAACUAUCAUUUUACCUUAGACUUCAAUUUCAUCAUUUAAUCUCAGGCACAGAACUCAUGCUGUCCUGUGAAACUAUCAUUUUUCCUUUACCAUUAAUCCUAAAACUGAGUUUCAUUGGUCAGAAAUAUACUUCAUAGUAGUACCUCCUCUAUCAUUCAUAGUAGUACCUCCAUCGUUCAAACAAACAAAAAUUAGUUGAUUUGUAUUUUAAGUUUCCUCUUUGAUGGGAAAUGUAUCUCAGAACUUAACUCCAACAGUUGAUGUUUCCUACGUGGAAUAUUCAGUCGAACUUGAUGCAUUGUUCUUUCCCCUGAACUUGUGCCCUUCAAACAGUAUUUCUGAUCAUCUUGAAGUAAUUAGUACCGUCUGUUCAUUACUCCCUCCCGAUUUCUUGCAUUAUAGUUUCCUCUUUAAUGGGAAAUGUAUCUCAGGAUCUACCUUCUACAAUUGAGGUUUCUUAGAGUACUCAGUCCACCUUACUGGAUUGUUCCUUCCCCUGAACUUUGUACACCUUAAACAAUACUAUCGAUCAUCUUGAAGUUAUUCAUAUUGUCUUCAUUUGUAGACGACACAUGCUUUGCUCCCUUUUGAAUUUCUGGCAUUACAGUUGCUUAAAUUUUGAAAUUCAUACAAUGUAGGAUAUGCCAAGGUUUCAAGCUGAGAAUUUGGAGCACAACAAGAACUUGUAUGAGCGGGUCAAUGCCAUUGCUUCAAGGAAGGGUUGUACUCCAUCACAGCUAGCAUUGGCCUGGCUCCAUCACCAAGGCAAUGAUGUUUGCCCCAUACCUGGCACUACCAAGAUUGAGAACCUCAAUCAGAAUAUAGGAGCUUUGUCUGUAAAACUGUCGGCCGAGGAAAUGGCGGAACUUGAAUCUAUUGCUUCUGCGGGAGUCAAGGGUGAUAGGUAUGGGCCUGGCCAUGGUACUUGGCAAACUUCUGAAACUCCACCUUUGUCAACCUGGAAGAGAACAUGAAGACAUACUUUGUUAUGUCAAUAAUUCCUUCUAGCUAUGUGCCUGAUGGUGGAUUCCACUAUAUUAAGAGAAGUGAUAUGUAUUUGUUCCAAUAAAUUUUGACAUACUAUUGUCUCUAGGGUUAAGGCAAGUAAAGUUAUAAGAAGAAUGAAGUUUCUUCAGAGAGAUUGUAAUGAAUAAAUAUCUGGUCAUGUAAAAGCAGAAUAUAAUUUUCCUUGCAGUUGAAUGCAUUAAAGGUUAUAUAUUGUACUUUUGAAUGCUAAAGUGGUCCAUUUUUUAUGUGCUACUGCUACGAGAGUUAUAGAUUGUCGAACAGCAUUCAAUUCAGGACUUAUUAAACAUAAGCAUAUAAACAUUUUAUGCUCGGAAUGUUUACAUCAAAAGAAACUCCAAGGUCACAUCAUUGUAAAGUGUAAACUACAUCAUAUUAACAAAAAGCAAAAAAAAAGGUCUAAAUGAGGAAAAAAAUGUACUAUAGAAGAAGUCAACAAUGUCAUGUAAUCAUUUUAUCCUAAAACUGAGAUUAAAAUUUAGUUGAUUUGUAUUUUGAGUUUCAUCUUUGAUGGGAAAUGUAUCUCAGAACUUAACUCCAACAUUUGAUGUUUCCUACUUGGAGUACUCAGUCCACCUUGAUGCAUUGAUCUUUCCCCUGAACUUGUGCCCGUCAAACAAUAUUUCUGAUCAUCUUGAAGUAAUUAGUACCAUCUGUUCAUUACUCCCUUCUGAUUUCUUGCAUUAUAGUUUCCUCUUUAAUGGGAAAUGUAUAUCAAGAUCUACCUUCUACAAUUGAGAUUUCUUAGAGUACUCAGUCCACCUUACAAGACUGUUCUUUUCCCUGAACUUUGUUCACUUCAAACAAUACUAUGAUCAUCUUGAAGUUAUUCGUAUUGUUGUCUUUUGUAGACGACACAUGCUUUACUGCCUUUUGAAUUUCUGCAUUGCAGUUGCUUAAAUUUUGAAAUUCAUACAAUUUAGAAUAUGCCAAGGUUUCAAGCAGAGAAUUUGGAGCACAACAAGAAGUUGUAUGAGCGGGCCACUGCCAUUGCUUCAAGGAAGGGUUGUACUCCAUCACAGCUAGCAUUGGCCUGGGUCCAUCACCAAGGCAAUGAUGUUUGCCCCAUACCUGGCACUACCAAGAUUGAGAACCUCAAUCAGAAUAUAGGAGCUUUGUCUGUAAAACUGUCAGCAGAAGAUAUGGAUGAACUUGAAUCUAUUGCAUCAGCUGGAGUCAAGGGUGAUAGAUAUGAUCCUGGCCGUGGUACUUGGCGAACUCCUGAAACUAAACCUUUGUCAACUUAGAAGACUACAUGAAGACAUACCUUUGUUGAGGUAUUAAUUCCUUCUAGCAUUCUACCUGUUGGUGAUUUCACUGUAUUGAGAGUUGAGCGAGUUGUAUUUGAUCCAAAAACUUCGUCAUACUAUUGUCUCGAGGGUUAAGAUAUGUAAAGUUUUAAGAAGAAUGGUGUUUCUUUAGAGUGCUUAUAAUGAAUAAAGAUCUGGUCAUGUAAAAGUAGAACACAACAUACCAACAAUGUCAUUGUAAACUACAUCAUACCAACAAAAAAGUAGAAAAUGGUCUAAAGUGAAUAAGAAAUCAACAAAAACUAUGUAAGCACCAAUGGAAAGCAGAAAAGUUCUUGAUACCAUAGUAAACACCAAUGGAAAGCUAAAAGUUCUCGACGCCAUAGAAAUUAGGGAUUCGUUGGGCAAAAAAGUUCUUAACACCAUACUCCAUAGACGUAGGGGGUCCAGGUUUGGGCAUCUAGCUAAGUGGAACAGGUAAAGGAAAGCUGCAUCACAGAUGUAGCAAGUAGUUCCAAUGCCCUUGCCAAUGGUAUAGGCUUUCUUGCUUCCAACAUGGUCUUGAAAGUGCAGAUUAGAGAAGGAUAUCAAAGCCGGCCAGCUGCGAAUCCUGUGGGGUGAAAACCAUACAUUUGAGAACAUAAACAAAACAGAGCUGCCUGGUCCUCAAUUUAAGCAUUAUACUUGAGAAGGACAAUACAAGCAUUCAGGGAUAUUUGCAGCCCCAUCCUCAAUGUUUGAGAAACUAAACUUUACAUGCAGAAAGCAAAUAAAUGCUUGAAAUUACACAAUGGAUGGAUGUUGAAAAGAAUCACUAACGAAUAUGUCUAGAAGAUCGAUCUGUUAAGCAUGGGAAGUUCAAAGAGUAGCAUUUUUUUUGAGUCUCAGAAAAAUGAAGAGUAAGGUACAGUCCAACAAUUUAGGGAAUUCAAACUCUAUUUGUGAAUAAACUGCUUGUAUUUUUCCUUUUUCUAGUGUAAGAUUUAAGGAAAAGUUAAAAUCACUUGACCCCUGAUCAGUUCUUUACCAAUACAUUGAUUUUGACUUCAAUCAUGAACAAAUAAUUCAGAUUAAGACUGAAUAGUUAAUAAAUUGAAAAAAAAAGGGGAAGACAUCAGAACUUAGAUGUAACACACUAAUCCAUAACAUCCAGUCCUUCUUACUUUUCGUGCCUUUGGCCCAGUGUUGCAAAAGGCCUUGCCUGAGGUGAGGCAUUUGUCUCUACUCCAGCAGCACGAAAGCCUUGGAGCAUGGGUUGUAAUUCUCAUGAAUUUUAAAAUUUUUGAAUAUUUAAAAAUUUUAAAAAUAUUGUAAUAGUUAUGCAAAAUAUUAUUAAAACACAUAUAACUAUAAUAAAAUAUGUAAAAUUUGAAAAUUAUAGAAAAAUAUAUUAUCAUGAUAUGCGGUAGUAAUGACAGUAUAGAAAAAAAAAAUAUGGCAAAAAUUCGACGAAUACUAGUCGUGGGCAUCUGAAAAUGGUUAUAGAUGACAAGGGACGAUGAUUUUACUUGGAAACUUGGGUUUUUACAUUCUUGUGGUAUGUAUUACUAUACAAAAAUGGUAAAAUUAAAAUAUAACCAAGUUUUGGGGUUAAAUAAGAAAUUUGAGAUAACAGGUUAGCUAAAUUUUUAAAGUGAGCCAAAGCACAAGGACUUAAUACUACAUGUUUUACUAAAAUGGGACCCACAUCUCUAAAUUCAGGCCUGUGUGCUUUGUUCGCAAGCCCAAUUUCUCAGCCCAAAUCAUCAAACGCUUCCUUCCUCCCCUUUUUAUUUAAUAAACCCGAUACGACUUCCUGAUUAUUCCAGGAUCCAACAAUUAAAACUUUACAUACAAAUAAAUGGUCAAAUUCACUUAAAAAUUGUGGGGUCAUCUUCCACAUUAAACUUUUGUACUAUCCAAGUUUGUUUUAAUUCCUUUGGGAAAAUCAAACAUCGAAUGCAUUCCCCAAAAAAAACAAAAAAGGGAAAAGGAAAUGGCUUACCUUUGCCCUUACGUAUCCAAUCCCAAUUUGAACAUUACAUCAUCCAUCCAAUUGAAACAAACUCCUAUGGAGACUUUUUUUUUUUUUGCUUUAUUUUGUUGUUAUUUUUUUUCCAAACGAUAACAUUGCAUUAAAUCAUAACCGGAUACAAAAUCAGAGCAACUGCUCCUGUAGAUCAGCCUGAGCUAACUCAAGCAACCACGCUGGGAAGCUAAGCUUCCAUUCAGCUACAUCAAUCAGUGUUAUAGCAAACUUUGCUAAAUAGUGACUUACAUAGUUGUUGCUCCUUCUAGUAUAGGAACAACAACAUUUAUCAAAAUCUUUCAUCAGUCUCCAAAUAUCCAACUGAAUUGUGGCUAUGCUGACUUCCUCCUCCCUUGCAUUGAUCUUGUCCACUACUAACUUACAGUCCGAUUCCAGCUCCACUUUCCUCCAUCCCAUUCGUUUGGCUAAUACCAUAGCUUCUCUUAUUGCCAGAGCUUCCUCCACCUGUGCCUCAGCACAGCCUUCAGUUGGCCUCGCCUAUGAUCCUACCAAUUCCCCUAAGCUGUUCCUGGCCACUACACUCCACCCUGCCUUGUUACGCUUUUGGUCCAAAGCUGCAUCAGUAUUGAGCUUGAUCCAGCCAGCUUGCGGUGCAACCCAUCUCCUGCCCUUCUCCUGCUCUCCCACUGCCAAAUUGUCAUGUUUUGCUCCCCCCCUUGUGCCAGCUGAAACUCAUUCCAUGCCAUUAGUGCCUUAUUCACCACCACUAUAGGCUCACUGCUCCUGUUGUUGAAUUGCUUAUUAUUCCUGGAUUUCCAAAUCUGCCACAAGAUGUUUACCGUAAGAGUUAUGUGCUCCCUUUCUCUCUCUCGAGUCACAGCCCCCCUAACUUCUUCCCACCAAUGCCAAAAAUUGUUCCUAAACUCCUCCAAUCCAUCCCACCUCAAUGGUGCCACCUUCCAGAUUGCCCUAGCAUUACAGCACAGAAAAAACAUAUGCUCUAAUGUCUCAGGGCUAUCGCCACAACACUUGCACACAUGAUCCCCCUUACCACACUUUCCCUUCACCACUGCAUUUGUUGGUAAUAUUCCUUGCAAACAUUUCCAAAUGAAGUGUUUGAGUUUAUUUGGCAUGCUCAAGCCCCACAGAAAACUCCAGUUUUGAGACUUGAUCAUCCUACUGCUACUUGGUUCUAAAGUUCCUCCAUGCUGACACUGUCUCCUCUUCAUUUCCUUGACUAGUUUGUAUCCAGUCUUGACGGAAUACACACCAUAACUUGAUUUUGCCCAAUAGGUCCUAUCCAUUACCUUCCCCAAACUCAGUGGUAUCUUUAGUAUUUGCAACCUGUCCUUCUCCUCAAAUUCCUGCCUUAGCAAUUCUCUAUCCCACUUACCAUCCUUGAUCAACUCACUAACCCUCUGAACCUUGCUAUCAACCUUCCUCUGAGACCUUAUCUUCCCAUCCUCUAUCCUUGGCAGCCACCUAUCUUCCCAGAUUUUAAUAGAUUCCCUAUCUCCCACCCUCCUUCUUAGUCCAUCCUCCAGCACUCCUCUGGCACUCAGUAAACUCUUCCAGCACCAUGAAUCUGAGCCUUUUGGUUGUGCAUCCCAUAUGGAUUUCCCACCAAAAUACCUCGCUUUCAUAACUCUACUCAUCAGCAAAUUAGGCUGCAUCAAAAUUCUCCAUAACUGUUUCCCCAAUAAUGCCAAGUUGAAGUCCUGUAAAUCUCUAAAUCCCAGGCCCCCUUCAGCUUUGAUAUCUGUCAUUCUACUCCAUUUUAUCCAGUGAAUUUUCUUCUCAUCCUCCCUCUGCCCCCACCAGAAUUUAGCCAUUUCUGAACACACAUUCUGACACAAUGCCUUUGGCAGCCUACAGCAAGACAUCACAUAUGCCGGGAGAGCUAGAAUGACAGACUUCAAUAAAGUCUCCUUUCCUGCUUGGCUUAGAAGUUUUUCCUUCCAACCCCCAAGUCUUUUUAUUGCUUUCUGUCUAAUGAACUCAAAUACUUGUCUCUUUGACCUUCCUAUAACCAUAGGAAGCCCAAGAUAUUUGCUCUGAUGGACUUCUCUCAUGCCUUCCAGCUCCUUAAGCACCUCUUCCUUUCUCCUUCCUUUGACAUUUUUGCUGAAAAAGAUAGAGGAUUUUUCUUUGUUGAUCAACUGGCCAGAUGCUCGUCCAUAUUCUUCCAACACCUGCAUAAGCUGCACAGCCUCCCCAACCUUGGCUUUACAGAAGAUUAAUGAAUCAUCUGCAAAGAAGAGAUGAGACAAGCUAGGAGCUCCAUUAGCAAUCUUCAUUCUAGACAUUCUGCCUUGCCUAUUAGCUCUUCUGAGCAGGGCAAAGAAACCUUCUACACAUAUCAGAAAUAAGUAGGGGGAUAGGGGAUCUCCUUGCCUUAGGCCUCUAGAAGGCUUGAUAAAUCCCCUUUUUUCCCCAUUAACAUUCACAGAGUAGGUGACACUAGUAAUACACUCUAAGAUCCACUGAAUCCAAACUGGACAGAACCCCAUUUUUUGUAUCAUCUAUGCCAAAAACACCCAUUCGACCCUAUCAUAAGCCUUAGACAUAUCAAGUUUGAUAGCCAUAUAACCAUCUUUUCCAGUUCUCUUAUUAUUAAGAAAAUGAAUACUCUCAUGUGCCACUAGUACAUUGUCCAGAAUCUGCCUGCCAGGUACAAAAGCAGACUGCGAGGAACUAAUGCAACAAUCUAGCACAGUUUUAAAUUUGUUAACUAGAACUUUUGAGAUGAUCUUGUAAGUGACAUUACACAAACUGAUAGGUCUAAACUCAGUAAUCAGAUUAGGUGAAUCAGUUUUAGGGAUAAGGCUGAUCAAGGUCUCAUUUAUGGAUUUUAGAAUGUGACCAGAAUGAAAAAAACUUUGAACUGCACUAAUAACAUCACACUUGACAAUAUGCCAAAAUUUUUGAAAAAAGAUAGGGGACAUACCAUCUGGUCCAGGAGACUUGUUUGGGUGCAUGGAAUUUACAGCAUGACUGAUUUCUUGAUCAGAGACUGGCCUUGUCAACUUUCUGUUCAUGUCAGCAGUUAUAGACUGUGGAAUCUCCUCCAAAAUAGCACUGAAAUCAGUUGGAUCAUCAGACGUGAACAAAUGCUGAAAAUAAUCCCCAAUUUCCUCCUUAAUCUCCUCCUCAUUCCUACACCACUCCCCACUUCUCCUUUUCAGCCCAUUAAUCCUAUUCUGCUUCCUCCUACUCAUUACACUAGCAUGGAAGAAGCUAGUGUUUUUGUCACCCUCCUGGAGCCAUUUAAUUCUUGCCUUCUGGCUCCAGUAUAUCUCCUCUCUCUUGUAAGCCUCCACCAGCUUCCUCUUCAGUCCUAUAAUUUUUGUUCUGUCCUCUCUGCCCUGACUAUCCCUCACCUCUUUAAUUUCCUUUUUAAUCUGUUCUAUCUGCUUUUUUGAGUUCAGAUUCAAUUUUUUGCUCCAACGCAGCAGAUUCAUACAAACUUGUUUAAUUUUGCUCUGCACUCUAUACAACCUUGACCCCUGUUGCUCCUUUCCCCAUGCCUCCUUGAUCACCUCCCCAACCCCCUCCUGCAUAAUCCACCUCUUAUCAAAGGCAAAUCUCCUCUUCCUUGGUAUUUCUACAGGGGUCAGAUCUAGUACCAAGGCACAGUGAUCAGAGGCUUCUGUUUCAGUAUGAAUAACUUUAGCUUUUCCAAAGUUUCCACACCACUGCUUAGUACCCAUCACUCUAUCAAUCCUUUUCUUAAUCACUCCUUCAUUGUCCCUGUUAUUACACCAGGUCCAAGGCACUCUCUCAAAACCAACGUCUAUCAGGCCUGUCCUAUUAAUGAAACCAGUGAAACUUUCAAAACUGCUAGCAGGCCUGAUUCUACCCCCCACUUCUCCCCAUUAGACGUGAUAUCAUUCAAGUCUCCCAUUAAAGCCCAACAAUCACCCCAAAUCUGUGUUCUCCUCUCUAGCACCCUCCAUUGCUGCUCCCUAAUCUUAUCAUCUGAACUGGUAUAAGCACACACACACCACCAAUCCCUACUACCUCCCUGAUCCCCAAUAAGUAACUCUAUAGUAAAACUAGUGAACAAGAUGCUUUUCACCUGCAUAUCCCUUUUCCAGAUCACAGCUAAACCACCUGCAAUCCCCACGGGAUCUACUACAAACAGCUCAUCAAACCUUACCCAUUGCUUAACACUAUUUAUGAAGGUCUUUUUCUUUUUUGUCUCUGAUAAGAAUAUCAGAGAUGGAGAGUGGACUUGUACAAGUUCCUUAAGUUGGGGAACUAUCAAGGGGCUCCCCACACCUCGACAGUUCCACACCAGAGCUCUCAUUGAGGGGUGUGAGCCCCAUUAAGGGAGGGCUCCACCACCUCAGUCAGCAUCACCACAUCCUCAACCCCUUCAAUCAGCCUAACUUUCUUCUUACCAUCAACCUCCCUCAGGUUCCUUUCCAGCUCAUCACCACCUGCUCCCUGUCUUCUCUUUCCUAUUUUCGUGCCAUUCUGUACAGUUUCAAUCUCAGACAGAGGCUUCCUCUUACUCACCUCCUGCACCAGUCUUUUCCAAGUCUUACUGAUCCUAUACUUUCCCGUGCUAGUUUUAUUACCCUGGUCUUCCUGCUGAUCUUCCCUCCCUCCCUUUUCCCUCUCCUUCAUACUCUUACCCUUGUGCAAACAGUGGUUGUUCUCAUCAUCAACCCACAUCUUAUCCUUAUCACUCCCUCCCCCCACUGCACUCCCCACAUCCACUACCUUGAGAAUCAGUGAAUCCCCUCCCAUAUCUACUUCUGCUACCUCCUUUAUCUCCUCUAAAACCUGCCCUCUAUGCAUACUCUCUUGCUCCCCCCCACCACAUUCUUACCAAUUCCCUCACCCUCCUGCCUCCCUUUCCACUCCUCUCCUUGGCCCCCCUAGUUGCUGUUCCCCAGUUCUCCUUCUCAUUGGAUUGAGUAUCUGUCUUCCCAUUUCCCCUAUGGAAUUCUUUAGUGUAGGUAAGCAAAGGAUACAGCUGCCUCCCAGUUUCCCCAUCUGAGCUUUGAUCCCUAUACCCCCCUUUUCCUGAUGUUUCCUGUUCCCCAUCAUUCCUGCCUUUCUUCCUUGGGUUCCUAGGGAAACUGGCUCGAAACCAGUUACCAUACUGGUUUUCCCUAUCCACAUUUACCCCUUUCCUAUUGCAAAUUCGCUCAUUAUGUCCUAUCAGUCCACAACAGAAGCAAAAAUCCGAACAUUUUUCAUACUUAAACUCAAUCCAUCUAGUUCCUCAAUUACUUUUCACCAUAGUACCUCUAGGCAGAGGCUCUUUAAGGUUCACUUCAGCUAAGAUUUUAAGGUGUUUACCUUCCUUGCCCCCUCCCUGAGGAAUAAUGACAUCUCUUACCCCUGCAAAAAUUCCACCUAUUUUCCGCCCAGCCUCCUUAGUUACCUAAUGAAGAGGUAAAUUCCAGAUCUGAACCCACACUAAAGUCCUACUAAACGCCUGCUCCUUCUCCUCUAGAUCUGCCUGCCAUUCCAGCAAAACCAGAGGCUGGCCAUCAUAGAUCCAAGGCCUUUUGCUAAGCACUAACUCAAUAUCCUUUCUAGACUCAAAAACAAAUUGAAACAUAUUAACCUUAAUCUCAGUAAUUUUUACGUUUCUCAACUGAGGCCACACAUUAGUAGCAAAACUCCUCAUACCAGUUAUGUUAGUUGUUUUUCCCCCCCAAACUCUCCCUAUUAGACUCAAUCUGCACUCCUUCACACCUUUUUCCAAGUCCUCAUUCCCUAAACAAACUCCUUCCCUCUCAUUCUCAGAUAAAGUGAAUUUCCUCAUUACCUCUUCGAUGUGCUCCAUCUUCGAAGAUCCCACAGUCCAAACUGCCGCCAAUUCCAGAUUGUUGCAGAGCCAAUUCAGCUCCAGAAAUCGUCACCGUUUUCCAGUCUUCCAAUCUUCGUCUCCUUGACCACACUGCUACGCCCCUAGAUCAGCGAUCUAGCUGAGCAACCUGAAAGGCAACAGACAAACAAAAGACACAAAACAACAGAAAAAAAACUCCACGGCGAUCACGACGCAAACCACCCACGAACUGACUGAUGAACUAUAUGGCUAUCAACUGUAAAUGUUAAGGCUAAUCUAAAGAAGAUGAUGUACUUAGCUGAAACGACUAAUUUGGAAAGGAUGCUAAAAUAGGAAGGAAAAUUUGAUGAAGAGAAUCUGUUAUUUUGGGAUUCAAAUUUUUUUGAAAGGUUGUUAGAGAAAGCACGACUCCCAUAGGAGGGAGAUUUCUCUCUCUAGGAUAGAGAGAAAGGGGCUCUCAUAGUGAGAGAAGUUUUUUUCCAACUUUAUUUUGUUGUUAGAUCUGAAAUUUUUUUCAAAAUUUGAAUCUAUUUUAACAUAUCUCAUUAUCAUUAUUGAAACUUAAAACCAUUUAUUGACAAAUCUGGCAAUUGCCAUAUGCACAAAAGGGAGAAACUUUAAAAUUCUUUAUAUUUUAUUAGAUGUGUUUGUAAUUUUCAAAUCUAUUGUAUUAGUUAAAUUAUAAUCUGUAAUUUUUAAUGCAUGCUUGACCUGCCAUUAGGGGAGUUAUGUAAAUCAAAUCAUGUUGGACGAUUUUCAAAAAAAAAAAAAAAACUUAACCAUCAAUUACUCUUCCUCGUUUUAUUUGUCCACUUUUCAAUUGUCAAUAACUCUUUUAAAAUAUUUUGCAAUACAAAAAUCAACUGAAACCAGUAGACAUUGCAAUUAAUAGCAGUAUUCAAUUCAUGUUUUUGUAUAUUACUCGUACAUCUAAUUAGUCCAAUUUGGAGGAAAAAAAAGAUGAAAACAAAAAAAUAUAAUAGUCACAAAAAACACAGAUCUAGCUCAAAAUAUGGCAGUGACCAAUUGUUCUGCAAAAUUAGUGGGAUAAGCAGUUGACAGAUUCUAUAAUCCCUUUUGGUCAAAUAUUAUUUUUAAUAUUUAGGUCGUUACAAUUUCAAUCAUUUAAAUUACCAGUUACUAUCAUCAUUGGAAGAAGCACAUUGAAGGAAUGAUACUCUAAGAUGACUACAGAAUUUUUCUAGUCGGUGAUACAACAUAUUAAUAUUUGAAAAAAAUUCUAAUCACACAAUUUGUUAUGAAACAACUAAAAUGUGGAUGUUCCUUUGUAUUCCCAAGAGGAUUAAUUCAUGAUUUAUGGCUAUAUUAUGUAUAGAAGUUACAAUCCAUAAAUCUAUUCAUGUAGUGGAGAAACCGUUUCAUAGGUUUCUUCAUAUUCUUGUAGUAGUGGGUGUUUAAUAGAAUUGAUGCACUUUAAUCUUGUAGUACCUAUAUAUAGAGGUACAUUGAUACUCUUUGGGAGGACUUUUGUAUCUUAUUGGAAUAUAAGAAUAUCACUCUCCAUUUCUCUACUUCUUUCUCCAAUAUUUCACUUGAUAUUAUAGUAGUUUAUUUUAUUAGUUUUAUAACACGUUAUCAGCACGAAAUCUCUACUUUUGAGCAAAAGGUGAAAACGGGGGCUCUACCUUGAACAAAGGUGAAGUACAAGAUUUUGUCGAAAUUCUGUCCAUAUUUCUUCAAGAAAAUUUUGAGGUAAAUUUCUAACUCAAAAACUUAUUUCAAUUUCUUAUGGCUAAUAUUUGAAUUAUCGCAAAAUACAAGUACCUACUGUUGAACAACCACUAAACACAAACAUAUAUUGUUUGAUAUCUUUGAGGUAAUAUUUCUCCUUUUAAUUCUACUUAUUUAUCUUUAUAAUUAUUUGUUAUAAAUAAUUAUAUUCUGAUGCAUUGAGUUUUGGAGAUGUUAUUAUAAAAAAUCAAUUAUAUUUGAGGAUCUACUUGUCCUUUGAAAUAUUUAAAGAAAAAGAAUCGACCACUUGAAGAUGGUCGUUCUUUAACGAAAAUAUUUGACCACCAGAAGAUGGUCAUUAUUUCAAAGCCUGGUAUGAUAAAUUUACUUAUGGCUGCAAGUACAUAAUUCUGCUAUGUUUAGAAUUAUUUCUUAGUUGAAAAUAAUAUUCUCUACAUAUUUCUCAAAUAUGCUCUUGUAGUAGCAAUAUUAAGAGAAAAUUUGAGAAGUAUUUUGUACUUAUUGCAUACUAAUCCUAGUCCAUUCCCAGAAGUGAAUGCGACUAAAUUUCAAUUUACUAGUUAUGGUUGAUGCCAUGACUAUGAUUUUGGUAAAUAUAUAUUUUACCAUGACAAGAGAAAAAAUUACCACUUGAAGUGGGAUAAUAAUGAUAAGGACAAGAAAAUAAAGGUCCUAAAGAUAAAUGUCCCGAAGUACAUUUGACAAAUCAAAAUUAUAAUCGCAUCCGCACAUGGCCAAUUUCUUUAAACACCCUGAAGGUGUAUGAUGUUUGAUUUAAUUUAUGAUAGUAAUUAGCUUUUCUUCCUGAAGAAGAAAUGAAUGUUAAAUAUUUGGGAUCAAAAAAAUUAUGGUGAUGAUAUUUGUCCCAUAAGAAUUAUGGUGACAAUGAUAUGUGUCUCAUUAAUAAAUGCUACUAUUUUCCAACAAAAGAGACAAACACAAUUAGUGGUAGUGCUUAAGUGAUUGAAAGCUCCGGUAGAGCCACUGCUAUAUUUCUCCCUGUAGGAGAAAAGUUUAUCAUAAAUAAAGCACUACUUUUUACCAUAUCUCGAAAAAUUUAUUGAAUUUGAAUAUCCGUUGAAAUGGAUAUCAAAUUGAGAUAUUAAAUGAGACAACAAUAGAGAUCAUGUUUAGAAAUCAAAUGAGAUAAAGGUUAAUUAUAUCAUAAUAAUCAUUCGAGAGAGAAAUGGUUAUCAAUAUAGUUGUCUUCAUUCUCAUUUGAUUUAUAAUUAUCACCUGCAGUAAACCAGAAGUUUACUGAUCCCAAUGAAUACAUGAUUUAACGAAAGUGAAAAUAUUUGAGAGCCGACAAAUGUUUAUACAUACCCCCGUUAUAUUAUAUAUGGCUCCAAAAAAAAAUUUAAUAUUUAUGUCGGGUAUGAAUCACCUUUUACGAUUAAAUAUCGUAAAAUAUUGAUGGGUGAUCUAUUGAAUGAUUUAUUUAUUCUGAUGAACUACGAUUCCCGACAUUAGGGGGAGGAAAAGAUCAACCGAAAGGAAAUCAUUUAAAAAAAAAAUUAGAUUUCCUCGAUCCUCAUACAAAAUAACGUGAACUGGAAGUUCAAGAAAUUAUUCAUUUGCUGAAAACUGCAAAUCAAUUGUCAGAUAUAUUUAUCGACUCCAAAAGAGCCAUUAAAUCAACUAUUUCUGCGGGAAAUGCCUUGAUUAAAAUUGAUGUCCCUGAAGGACAUGCACAAGUGCUACAAAUAAAUUUAAGGCCGGCCUACCUAAAUAAGGUAUAAAUUGAUUUCGAAUAACUCCGGAGAUUAAAUAAAUGUCAUGACAAAAUUCAACCUCUUGAAGAGGUCGCUCCCGAAGAGCCAACUCCUGAAGAAAAUGAAAUCAUAGAAAAUUUAAUUGGAGCCUAAUAAAAUGUAGCACUUGAUAUUAUAGAAGUUGAUGAGGAUCAUGAAUCUAAAUCGGUUGAUGAAUGUCGGUAUAGAAAUAAUUGUUCAAAGUGAAAAGAUACAAUCCAAUCUGAAUUGGAUUUAUUGGUUAAAAGAAAAGUUUUUGGACUUGUAGUCCAAACACCUAAAGGUGUAAAGCUAAUAGCUUAAGGAUUUUCACAAACGCCUAAAUUUGAUUAUGAUGAAACGUAUUCACGUGUAGUGGAUGCUAUCAUAUCUUGUGAGUUUUGCAGUACAUGAAAAAUUAGAUAUGCGUCUAAUGGACAUCGUUAUUGCAUAUUUAUAUGAAAAUCUUGAAAAUAAUAUUUAUGUGAGAAUCUCCGAAGGAUUCAACAUGCCUGAAGCAUGCAAAUCAAAUCCUAAAGAUAUUUAUUCUAUUAAAUUACAAAGGUCUUUGUAUGGCCUAAAACAAUCUGGACGUAUGUGGUAUAAUCGCCUCAAUGAAUGUCUGACUAAAGAAGGUUUACCAAUGAUCCAAUAUGUCCAUAUGUUUUUACCAAGAAAAAUGGAUCAAAUUUUGUGAUCAUUGUUAUAUAUAUUGAUGAUCUAAAUUUGAUUGGAACUCCUGAAGAGAUUCAAAAUAAUGUUGAAUAUUUGAAGAAAGAUUUGAGAUCAAAGAUUUUGGAAAAACAAAAUUUUACCUUGAUUUACAAAUUGAGCAUUUAAAAAGUGAAAUUUUUGUUCACCAAACUGCAUAUACCCGGAAGGUAUUAAAGCGGUUUUAUAUGGAUAAGGCACAUAUAUUAAGUACUCCAAUGAUCGUCAGAUCAUUAGAUCCUAAUAAAGAUCCUUUUAGAUCUUGAGAGAAAGAUGAAGAGAUAUUUGGUCCUGAAGUACCAUAUCUCAGUACAAUUGGCGAAGAAUAUUGGAAUGCGACGAUUAAAAGAUCUCAAAUGAUGUUUGCAUCAAGGGGAGAAAUUAAUACACAGGAAUAAUGUACUCUUUUUCCUUCACUAGGGUUUUUUCCCAAUGGGUUUUUCUCUAAUAAGGUUUUAACGAGGCAUAUUCUUUGUGUAAUGGACAUCCAAGGGGGAGUGUUAUGAAACAACUAAAAUGUGGAUGUCCCUUUGUAUUCCCAAGAGGAUUAAUUCAUGAUUUAUGGCUAUAUUAUGUAUAGAAGUUACAAUUCAUAAAUCUAUUCAUGUAGUGGAGAAACCAUUUCAUAGGUUUCUUCAUAUUCUUGUAGUAGUGGGUGUUUAAUAGAAUUGAUGCACUUUAAUCUUGUAGUACCUAUAUAUAGAGGUACAUUGAUACUCUUUGGGAGGACUUUUGUAUCUUAUUGGAAUAUAAGAAUAUCACUCUCCAUUUCUCUACUUCUUUCUCCAAUAUUUCACUUGAUAUUAUAGUAGCUUAUUUUAUUAGUUUUAUAACACAAUUGUAUUUGAUCUCAACGAACCAUCACUACUUUGAAUUAAUUGGGAUCGCAAGUAAUGUCAUCCCUUUAUGUGAAUAUUAAAUAUGAAAAGUGCAUGAUAUAUAUGAGGAAAAAAAAAUAAUGCACUAGUUUUCAAUUUCUUUAUGUAGAGUAUUUUCUUGAAUAUUAAUUUUUGACGUAUCUUAGUCAAGGUCAUUAAUCAACCCGGACCUAAUCAACUCCAAAACCAGGGCAAAUUUCUUUGAAAUAUUGCCAAAAAGAAGUUCAAAAAAUAUUGUUGAAAAGUUGAGUAUUUUUCCAUCUAGACUCAUUAUUGUGUCUCUUACAUGCAGUGAACUAGUUUAUGCGUUCCAUUUUCCUUUUAUAAAAGGAACCUGCUGCAUGUCAAGAGACAUGGUGAGCCACAUUUAAAAAUUGGUACCUAUCAUAGAGCCUAUCAUGUUCUGACACACGAUGAACUGUUUUUUAAACUUUUUUUUUUUUAAAAGCAGGUGAAAAGUGUUGCAACUCUGGACUUGGAUAGUAAUUUUAAAAUUUAAUAGUGCACCUACCUUUUAACUUUUUUCGUGUGCUUUUACGGUAUCAAAUGGGGAAAAAAAACCAACACCAUCCAACUUCAAAUACAAGAUGGUACGGAAUUUGUCAAUAUGUAGAUAUUAAUAUACAUUGACAUGUAAAAAGUGCAACAUUUAUCACAAAGAUAUUUAUACUAAUAUUACAGUCAUUUUUUUUUUCCAAAAUUCAACUUUUCAUGCAAACAUGUAAUCAAUAUGCAUAAAUAGAUAACAUUAGAUGAAUUUAAACAAGUAGCCUUCAAAUUUAAAAAUAUUUGAUUCCGUAAAGGUGCAUUCGCAAUUUAGAAAAGGUACUUUUCAAAUGGCAAAUCUAGAGAGUAACAAAUACUCCUACUUUAUUUUGAUUUCAGAUCUUCUUUUGACUUGUCAAAAAAGUGAAAACAUGAAACUAAUAAUGGAUCAGAUGGAGAUGAGUAUUAGAAAUUUGUUUUCUAGACUCUUUGGUCUCGCAAUUUUUUCAACAGUCAACUCCGACCAUUAUCACGGUCAUGUGAUUGUAGGUCUACCAGGUUUCGUAGUCCACAAACAUGGAUUGGAUAUAUUGAUUAGCUGCCACCUUUUGGCAGGAGUAGAUGGUUCAAACCUCACGUGUAGUAAAAAAAAAAAAAAAAUUUAAGGGUUGUGUCACAGUAUUUCUUUAAUUUAGUUGAAUUUGUAUAUCCACUAACACCUAACAAAAGCCUCUUUAUGCUCCCCUAAAUUAGGAUAGAAUAGGCUAUAUAAUUGUAUCGUUGUCGAAAAAAAAUAUUAGUUGCCACCCUAUUGUCAUUAUUUUUCUUUUGUCAAUCAGCAACGUCUAUUCUACUCAUAGUUAUUAAACCCGGCCCGGAGAGGAGUCCGGUGAAAGAGGUGGGUCAACGGGUUACUAGUUUAACCGGUGGGUGAGUGGUCCAACCGUUAGGUCACUAUAUAUAUUUAAAUAUUAUGUUUUAUAAUUUUUUACGCCAUAAUAAAUAUUCAGUUAGUUUAAUUUAUUAUAGAUUCAUUAAUUUUUAUAAGAAUUAACAACCUAAAUUUAAUUAGUAAUCCACCAACUUUCAAGUAUAAAAUUUUAUCUCAGUGUAAUUAUCUAGUUUAUUUAUGAAUUUUAAGUGCAAAAGUUUAUUAAGAAUAAUAUUUGCCUUUAAAAUGAUUUGUGUAAUAUGUUAUUUUUAAGUCAAUUUCAUAAUUUAUAGAGUUCAGGGAAUAAUAAAAAUAUUAUUAAAAGAUUCCAAAUAACUAAUACUCUAAUAUUUAGUACAAGAACAAAAUAAUUAAUAAAUGGUUGGCUGGUCUAGCGGUAAUGGUAGUCUACUUCUUUGCAUGAGAUCACAUGUUCGUAUCUCCAUUCUAGCAAUGUUUAUACAUUUUUUUCGUAGAUCGGUUCCUUGUAAAAUCGGCCGAUUCAAUCGCCGGUCCAUUGAAAAGUUAACGGGUUCAAUGUAGAAACGAUCUUAUUAAGAACUUGUCUCAGUUUCAUGGCCGGUUCACCGGAUUGAUCGAUUGAACUACCGGGCCGGGUCGGGUUUAAUAACUAUGAUUCUACUUCUAUUUUGAUUUCUAUUUUAGGGGAAGGAGAGGUCCAAUUGAAAAAUUGAUGGCUAUUGAACCACCAUCGGAUAAAAUGAGUGCACUACGCACGUAUGCGAAUCUAGGAGAAGCCGGCGCAAUGAUGGGAGGCAAUGUUUGAAUUUUUACCUGCCAUUCCACUAAGAUUUAUAGUCUUUGGUGGUGGCUAAUCACCCAACGAGCUGUUGGUUAGCUCCCACCCUAUUAGAAACUAAAGGUUUUCAACCUUCUAAAAAAAAUGUUUUUGACUUUAAAAAAAAUGUUUUUGUUUUUUGUUUUUUCAAAAAUUAUUUUCAUCUAUCACCAACGGCAGUCAUGGGUUAUUUAUCCAAACAUUAGAUCUGAACAACACUAAUCUCUCACCAGCCAUCCCCUCAUUCCUUCUCGUAUUCUUUUUAUGAAUAGGAUUCAUCUUUUUGGUGUUCUAAAAUCACAUUUAAAAAGUUUUUUUUCCGAAAGUAUUAUUAUUUAGGAUGUGAAUGUUAAUUUUAAAAUUUUAAUAGUGGACCUAAAAAAAACUUGUAAAUUUUACAUAUGAGCACAAAGGGCAAAAAAACACCACAUAACUUCAAGUCCAAGAUUGUAUGCAGUUUGUCCAAUAAAUAGAUAUUCAUAAUUCAUAAUUUCAUAUAUACAUGUUAACUAGAAGCGUUAAUCACAAUCCAAUUAUAUUGAUAUGUUCAAACCCGUUCACUAAUAAUCCGUCCAAAUUGGCCCAUUAACUUUAAAUGGGUUAAAGUGAGUAUAUAAGUAAACCCAUUUAAUUGAUGGAUAGUUGAUUGAUUCGUCUUACCCAUUUAUACCUAUUUAAAAAUAAAUAGACAUUUAAACUCAAUUUUACUAAAUGUUAAGAAGAUAAAUUUGAAUUUCCUACGAAUCUAAUAAUAAUAAAAUAUCAUUUUUCUUGUCAAACAAUAUGUGAAAUAUAAAAAAAAGUAGAAUUUCAAAUUAAUCAUAAAUGCGUAAUUGAGUAUUCUCAUAUCUAUUUGUUAAUGAAUAUAAAUGAAUUGAUUCAAUUAUAACUAUUACUCAACUAGAAUCCGCUCAAACCCGUCUAAGUUAAUCAUUUUGACGCCCCUAAUGUUAAUAUAUAUUGACAAGUGAAAAGUGCAGCAUUUAUCACGAAGAUAUACUUAUUUAUCUCAAUAUUAAAGUCAUUUUUUCAUUACAAAAAUAUUGAUAAUUUCAUAAUUUCAUGGAAGUAUGUAACCAGUGACAUCACAUAGUCGCCAGUGGCGAAUCUUGUCACGAGUCUUCUUUUCAACGCUUUGAUUAUGGCAUACACUUUUAACAAUAUGCCCCCACGUUGUUUUUCGAUCACUUUUUUUUUUUUUUAACCUCACAUUCGUUCGUUAUGUAUGUAUAAUUUCUUUACAAAAAACUCCAAAAAAGUAGCAGCUCAAACGGGGCCAACAAUCUACUAUGUUCGCCUGUUCUCCCGCCGGACCCACCAGCCGCCGGCGGCCAUGGGUCAUCUAUAAAAGCAUAGAUCAAGACUACACUAAUCCCUCAUCAGUCCAGUCCAUCCAUACUUCUUCUUCAGGCCUCAGCUACUAAACAAUAAACUCUGCUCCACUCAAUUCUUUCCUCUGUUUCUUGUGGUUUUUGUCUGAAAAUGGCGGCAUCAGAAGAAGUGAAAGUGCCAAGAAUCAAGCUGGGGUCGCAAGGUUUUGAAGUUUCAGCUCAAGGGCUGGGCUGCAUGGGCAUGUCAGCCUUCUACGGGCCGCCAAAGCCCGAGCCUGAUAUGAUCAAACUCAUUCACCAUGCUAUUAGCAGAGGCAUCACCCAUCUUGACACCUCCGAUAUGUAUGGACCUCACACCAACGAAAUACUCAUUGGCAAGGUACCGUAUUUGCAAAUUUUCUGCUGUUGUGUGCUAUGCAUAAACUCUUGUACUUCUAAUUUCUAAAAGAGCAUAUUUGUAAGUAUUUUAUUUGGGUAUAUUAUAUUUAACCCCCUGCACUUGAAAUCUUGUCUCCCUUUGUGCCCCCUUAAUUUUGUUUGUCAGCACUUAAACUCCAUCUGUUUAAAUUAUAAGUAUUAUUAGUCAAAUAAGACAAUAAUAUUCUUCAUUUCUUCUUCUUCUUCUUCUUCUUCUUCAUUUUUUCAGAUGUUUGUCCUCAAUUGUAAGAGAAGGUCGUAGGUCUAGCACAUACGUUGAGUAGCUGUAUCCGAUUAGAAGGAUUUAGAUCAUAAUGGAGUUGGUAAAAUAGUACUAUUUUCGUCUUUGAAGUUAAAAUUGUCAUCAAUUUAUGGAAAGUUUACUAUUUCUCUGAUAAGAGAUGGUAAAAUUUACUUUUUACGAGUACUAAAGUUUUAAAGAUUAUGAAAAGAGAAUUGUACGAAUGAAUAUAAGGGAAAAGAAAGGUAAGAACAUAAAUAGAUUGUGUUUGGAUUGAUUUUGGGAGGGGCAAGGAGAGGAAAGGGAAAGAAAAGGAAAUGGAUGGAUUGUGUUUUGCUCAGACAUCAUUUCCAUACAAAAGUAGACGGAAACAGAGGGAAAGAAAAUCUAGUUGAUGAUUUUCUUAUAAAAUGCCUCAAGCACCCAAAUUUUACAUAAACUUGAGUAACCAUGUGUUUCAUAUCUGUAGAACUUGCCAUUUGUGAAACCUGCUUUAGAUAUGAAUUGUGGGAUGCAACAGCAGGCUAGGAAUGUUUGACUAAGCAACUUAUGUAAAUAUUUUAUCGUUAAGUGAAGUUCCUCUUUUGCUGUUUAAAAAAAAAAAAAAAAAAGAGAGAGAAAAACCAUUCCUUUAAUGUCUGUCAUUCUACCAAACAGCAGAUUUAGGAUUUCUUUUUUUCCCAUCCAUAUCUAAUCCAAAUAAGGCAAAUGAGAACUAUUUUCCACUACUCUCCUUUCCUUUCUUUUUCACUAGGAUGUUUUAUUUAUUCUUUCCUUUGAUCCUAAUGGUUCCUAAAAGGGCACUAAUUAUUCUACAUUGAUCGUUCCCCAUAUUUGUAUUAAUGUGCAUGUUCACGAUUCUGUGUACGUUCAUGUUGUGCAUCAAAUCUUGUGAAUGUCAAAGCUAAGAUUGUAAAUUUAAGUUGAAGAAACAUAAAAGAAAAAAGAAAAUGGAUUGGCUCCUUUAAGAGUAUCAGACUUCUAAACCCCAAGGAUUACAUAAUUUUCAUAUCCUUUGCUAUACAAAGAAGUGGCAUAGCCUUAACAAUGAAGUGCUGGAAAAACUCCAGAAGGACUGUGCCAUCCAUGAAAUCACAAUUCCGCUUGCUAUACCAUGCAUUAAUGUGUAUGCCCUUGAUGAUUAAUAUAAUGAAAUCAUGGUUCUAGGCCUUGAAGGAAGGAAUAAGAGCGAAAGUGGAGCUAGCAACAAAAUUUGCAAUCAGUUAUCAGGAUGGGAAAUUUGAUGUACGUGGUGAUCCAGCCUAUGUGAGGGCUUGUUGUGAAGCGAGUUUGAAGCGGCUUGAUGUGGACUGCAUUGAUCUCUAUUAUCAACAUCGCAUCGAUACACGUGUGCCCAUUGAAGUCACGGUUUGCUCCAUCUUGCCUUUCUUGUAUUUUAGCUCCACCUCAUUCUUGAUGAAACAAAAGCUUGAUCAACUCCAAAUUUCGAAUAAUUCAGUUUCAUGUGCGUUUCAAUUCUUCAAAAAUUGCACAGAAAAGUUAGUCAACCUUAUGGUCUAGGCUAAUCUGCAGUAUGCUAAAUCUUAUUUAGCACCAGGCACCCUGAAAAGUGAAAACAAUGAAAAUGUCUUAUAUUAGCUUGGCAGUCCUGCUGAGGGAUAUACAGGUGGAUAUCAUGCUAUACAUUGUACAGCUUUCCUUUAGAAGCAAGAGACCUGAGCAUUCUCUUUCAUUUGAGAUAGGCUAUCCAGUUGAGUAAUGAUAUGCUAUUUACUUACCUUGUCAUUCGUUUUCAGUCGGUGCCAAAAGCACUGCAGAUAGAAGUUUUUUAGUCGAUAUCUAAAAAACGUGGUACUCAUUUUGUUCAGAGUAUAGCUUUUGUCUAAUUGUGAAAGCCAGCUGCGACUACCCCAUUGACCUCUCUAAGCAAUUCAAAGAUUGCAGCUGCUUGCUUACAUUCAGCUUUUAUGAAAACAAUUUCUGUCUUCUUUUUCUAAUACAGUCAGCAAAGAAUUGUCUUGUUUUUCCUGAGUAUUAUGAAGAAACUUUCUUGCAGUUUAAUCACUCAAAAUACAGGCAAGUAUAAAGGAAAUCAAGGAAAUUGACAACUGAUAAUUGAUAUGUACAGCCAUUAUUAUAUCUAGACGAAGUCAACAAUGUCGUGUAAUCAUAUUGGAGGAGCAUUAUGUUGGCAUGGUCCAAUAGAGCUAAGUCAUCCGGUGGGCUGUACAUAGAGAAGUAUCACUGGAUGCUUAUUGCCAUUUUUGUCAAUUAUUGAUUUCAGUUUGACGUAUACUUUGUCCACGACUUCAUUGAACUAGUGCAACUUUUACUUUUUUGCACGUAAUAUUUCGAUUAUCUGCCGAAGUAUUGAAUGUAAUAAAUCAGCUUUGCAUUUUCUUGUCCAUUGAAAUUCUCUAGAUAGGAGAGCUCAAGAAACUGGUUGAAGAGGGUAAAAUAAAGUAUAUAGGUCUGUCUGAGGCCUCAGCUUCAACAAUUCGAAGAGCACAUGCUGUUCAUCCAAUAACAGCGGUACAGUUGGAGUGGUCAUUGUGGGCCAGAGAUGUCGAGGAAGAGAUUAUUUCCACUUGCAGGUAGUGCAUAUAUUCUGCUGCAUUUUCUACGUGCUCUAGAAGAAAUAUGAAGUUCUUAAUUCAGUUUUUGGUAUAAUCUUUCAGAGAGCUUGGAAUAGGGAUUGUUGCAUACAGUCCACUUGGAAGAGGAUUCUUCUCUUCAGGUCCAAAGCUGGUCGAGAAUUUGGCUGAAGGUGACUGCCGAAAGGUUUGUGCAUAUCCAAAACUAUGGAGUUUUUGAGUAUAGAUUGUUUAUAGUUCGAAUAAGUUUCUCACUCAUCUAGUUUUACCACAUUCAGUGGCAAUCUUGCUUGAUAUCCCUAUUCUUGUCUAUCUGUCAUAUGUUGCUGCACUUUUUGAUGUCCAAUAAUUUGAUUAAGCCUUAUAAUAUGAUCACAUUUAAUCAAAUUUCUAUUAAGCAGAGCAAAUCAACAGGCUUUUUUUUUUUCCUGUCGAACAAGUCUUGAGGUCUUUAGUUGAUUGAAUGAAUGCAGAUUUUGGUGUCCUCUGUAUUUAGUUCAAAUUAAAAGAUAUAGCGCUAGCUUUGUCAAAUUUUAGAUCUUAUAUUAAUUGAAGGUUGUUAUUGCAUGCUGGAGAUUUAUAUAGUGGACAACAAUCACAAGCAAUCGAUAGUAUCGAAUUUUAAAGUGCAAAGAUGUCCUAAGACGUCAAAACAGGAAGAAACUAUGUCACUUUUUAUGUAAAAGUCUCUUUUCAGUUUUGAGGGGAAAUGGACCUUGGACUUCAAUUUCAUUAUUUAGUCUCAGGCACAGAAUUUCAUCAUUUUGUCCUGUGAAACUAUCAUUUUUCCUUUACCAUUAAUCCUAAAACUGAGUUUCAUUGGUCAGAAGUGUACUUUUUAGUACAAACAUUAGUUGAUAUGCAUUUUAAGGUUCCCCUUUGAUGGGAAAUGUAUCUCAGAACUUAACUCCAACAGUUGAUGUUUCCUACUUGGAUUAUUCAGUCCACCUUGAUGCAUUGUUCUUUGCCCUGAACUUGUGUCCUUCAAACAAUAUUGCUGAUCAUCUUGAAGUAAUGUACCGUCUGUUCAUUUCUCCCUUCUGAUUUCUUGCAUUAUAGUUUCCUCUUUAAUGGGAAAUGUAUCUCAUGAUCUACCUUCUACAAUUAAUGUUUCUUAAGAGUACUCAGUCCAGCUUACUGGAUUGUUCCUUCCCCUGAACUUUGUACACCUCAAACAAUACUAUUGAUCAUCUUGAAGUUAUUCAUAUUGUCUUCAUACCUAUCACCCUUCACAGUUGCUUAAAUUUUGAAAUUCAUACAAUGUAGGAUAUGCCAAGGUUUCAAGCAGAGAAUUUGGAGCACAACAAGAACUUGUAUGAGCGGGUCAAUGCCAUUGCUUCAAGGAAGGGUUGUACUCCAUCACAGCUAGCAUUGGCCUGGGUCCAUCACCAAGGCAAUGAUGUUUGCCCCAUACCUGGCACUACCAAGAUUGAGAACCUCAAUCAGAAUAUAGGAGCUUUGUCUGUAAAACUGUCAGCCGAGGAAAUGGCGGAACUUGAAUCUAUUGCUUCUGCGGGAGUCAAGGGUGAUAGGUAUGGGCCUGGCCUUGGUACUUGGCAAACUUCUGAAACUCCACCUUUGUCAACCUGGAAGAGAACAUGAAGACAUACUUUGUUAUGGCAAUAAUUCCUUCUAGCUAUGUGCCUGAUGGUGGAUUCCACUAUAUUAAGAGUUGAGUGA
rnacentral:lncRNA from 1 species